AGUGCUGCUGCUCCCAUGCUUCUCAUUUGCUCCGGCAUUUGAUGGUAGAACAAUUCUUGAAGUCCAACCGUGGCAAAUGCAUAUGCGAGGCCAAGAAUCAAAUAUUGUGGGAGUAACCACCAUACCCUCAUUGGUACUAUUGCUUUAGGUUUAUCCAUAAGAUUGUAGUCUUUUGCAAUGUUGAGCCUUUUGGCCUCUACUAGAGCUGACACAACCAUAACGAGUAUGGAUAGAACUAGCCCAGUGCCGAUUCUUUGUAGCACAGUAAUACCCGAGGGGUGUCCCGUAUAUUUUCGGGCUAUUGGGACAAAAACCCGGUCGUAGAUUGGAAUAGUGAUUAGAAUUACAAUGCCAGUGAGGCCUUGAAUCGAUGCCGGAGGAACCUGGAAAUGGGGACCGAUCGAUAGGAUAGUUGUGCUACUUUGUUUGGUGAAGAAGGUGUUAUGUUGGACUUGGAUUACACCAAACAUUAGGCAACUCAACCAUAGGGGGAUGAGUCGGAGGACGAGCUUCACUUCUUCCACUUGAUUGAGAGUGCAUAGCCUCCAUGGAUUUCUAGGUUCCGUUGAUGCAUCUAGUUCGUCUAUGAUCAUUGCUUUGUCCAAGCACCUGCAUUAUUAUUUGUUUUCAUUACACAAUGAGCUUGUUAAUUAUAACUAAUGAGAGUGUGGAUCUCGUACGGGAAAAUUAGAGCCAAAGGACUGGCUACGUACUUUUACUAUAGGAAAAUGGGGAAGAACAGCCAAGGGGAAAAGAAUAUAAUCUAUGAAUGCAUGUGGACACCCUAACUAGAGGUUCGGACGUCUACGUCAUCUAUGACUAUGUAUGAUCUUAUGCUUCUAUAUAACCUAAAAUUGUCUAAUUAGUCAUUGACUAAGUCAUUAUAUGUGUCUGUUUUGUUAAAAUGAAUAACAAAAAUGUGACAAUUGUGAUCAACUCAUAAUCCAACGAUCAAGAUUCUUUGUAUUUCCAUUUACAUACCCAAUAAAUUAACCUGACCCAUUGAAAUGAUUAGAGGCUCUUUGUCGCUCAAAUUACCCUUAGGUUGGCACCCUUAUAGUAUAUGUCCAUAUAUGAUCAUUAUGUCAUAUUGAAUAAUGAAUUCCACAUUACAUUUUGUUUGAUUAUCAUCAUUAUCAUUGUAUAGUUUUAAUAAUAAAGAAUAUUGCUAAUCUAUUUAUUUAUUUAUUGUUUACAUUUAAGAAAAUCGAUAGUGAAUAUAUCUAAUUAGAGAUUCUCUUAGAAAAUUAUUGGAAGUUCUUAGAAUUGUAAGAUUUAUUAUUUUUUGAACAAACGAUAUUAGAUACUAUAUACGUUAACGGAGGAGGGGUGGUUGAAAUCAUUUAAGCGGCAGGAUUUGUGCCUAAACCCUAGUUUUUCUCUGAAUGUGGGUUUUCUUUUGGGCGGCUAGGGUUUGCGCCUAAACCCUUAUUUUUCUUGCCUAAAUUGGGAAUGCUAGUAGACUAGGCAGCAGUGCAAGUUUUAUUGCCGACUCCAAGAUGUCGUUCAUGAUGUGCAUUUAAUCAUGAAAUUUUCUUUUCAUCUAGUUAGGUUUUGGGCAUCUCCGUGACUGACAUGCUCAUGGCUAUGAAAAAACCAAUUUGUCCGUGGUCAUUCCUGGAUGAGGGGACUGUUAAACCUCCAUUGUCCUUUUGCUUCGGUUGUGGCAAAAGCGGCUAUUCCGUUUUCAAACUUGCCGGCUCCGGUUGUUCAGGAUGGGAAAACAACAGCCACGAUUUCUGAAGAGGGAUAUCAAUCUGACCUUGAUAAGUCCAAGAAUAUGCUACGUGAACGUCUCCAAUUGAAUGCUAAGGAAAAACCCUACACUCCUGCGGAUUUGGAAAAGAAACUAGCUAUUCUAUGCUGUGGUUUGGGGUCUUGGAGCAUCAUCCCUAUAGCCCAUAUGCAAAUGUUUUUACACGUUCAAUUUUGCUUCAGAGUUUCUCUUUCUACGGUUUUGGGCUAAGGGAGCAAUUAUGUUGAAACCUGGAACUUUGAGGUUUUCGAAGUGGUUACCGAGUUUUUCCCCAGAGAACCAAUGGAAUACCAAUGCAAAUAUUUGGACGUUUCCGGGAUCUUGGUUUAGAUUUUUGGGAGCCAAGAACUCUCUUCGAAGUGCCAAGUGGCACUGGAGUGCCCGUAAAGAUUGAUGAUAACACUUUGGGAAGGAAAUUUGGACUUUUUGCUCACUUUUUGGUCGAUGCAAAUUGAUCUAUAGACCCACCUUUACAGUCGACGACCAAGCGUAGGAAUGGGGCAUCAAUAGAAAUUGGGUUAGAAUGUGAAGAUUUGCAGGUUCUUGUUACCACUGUGGGAAUGUGCGGCAUAUGGUCAGUCGCUGCAAGUAUGCACAGCAAGGGCAAUCUUAUAUAGAUCUGAAUGAUGGAAAGGGUGAUGGAUAUGAACGUUGCGGUCAUUCAAGACGGCGUAAUGCUAGAAAACGCCGUACUGCCUCUAAGGUUUUUGUUCCUAAACGGACAGAUAAUUCCUUCAAGGGCAAAGCUGUUGCGGUGACUGAAACACCAACGAAUUUUGUUAACCAUCGAGAAGGUCCGUCUUUUGCACGAAAAUUUAUCCGUCUUUUGCACGCAAAUUUAUCUCCCCACAUAGGUCAACUAUUAAGAGAAAUGCCAAUAAAGAACACAUGCCAGGACAACAUGAUACUAUGGUAAAUGAACCUCAAGAAACUGUUAUCAGUCAUGAUCAAUUUGUUAAAGUCCCACAUUGGUGGGUUCAAAGAAACCCAAUGGGUUUAAAUAGAAUUACCCUACUCUAACUAAUAUUGAGAUUUUUUGUGGUAAAACCCCACACCUGACAGAUUGGGCAGGUUGUAAAGAUGAGAACAAUAUCGGUGUCGUUAGAGUGGGACGGACCCUACAAUCUAAAAAUCUAACAUGGUAUCAGAGCCCACGGUUUCAAGCCCGUGCAAGCCAACGAGCUUGUCACCCAUAAGGAAACAAGUCUGAACUCUUAAUAUAAAGGCAACCGCUGAGUUCCAUUGAAAACAAGUGGGCCCAACGUGAGUCAACCUCUGAGUUUCAAUUACCAAUGUGGUUCUCCACGUGUGAACCACUACCGAUGUUGGAUCUCCAUGUGUGAACCACUAAAUGAGGUUACACGUGAGGGGGAGUGUUAAAGUCCCACAUCUUCGGUUUCAAAGAAACCCAAGGUUUAAAUAGAAUUACCCUACUCUAACUAAUACCGAUGUCAUUUGUGAUAAAACCUCACACUUGACGGAUUGGGUAGGUGGUAAAGAUAGGAACAAUAUCGAUAUUGUUAGAGUGAGAUGGGCAUAGCAAUCCAAAAAUCCAACACAAUUGGAGCAACAAAGACAUCUUAUGACUGGUAAUAUUGAGGAAAAUACUAUUCAGAGUGAAGAAUUGUAAUAGACGGUUGUGGAAAACAAUGUGUUAGAUCAGAAUCUUUUGGUGGAUGAAUAAAUAAUUUUGUCGCGAAUGCAAGGAAUAGUGGGGUUGAUGAUGAAGGCUCUAAGAGUGGUGGCCCAACGUGGCCCAACGUGAGCCGACCUAUAAGUUUCAAUUACCGAUGUGAAUCUCCACAUGUGAACCACUAAAUAGGGUUACAUGUGAGGGGAAGUGUUAAAGUCCCACAUCGGUGGGUUCAAAGAAACCCAAUGGGUUUAAAUAGAAUUAGCCUACUCUAACUAAUACCGAAGCUUUUUAUGGUCAAACUCAACAUCUAACGGAUUGAGCAGGUGGUAAAUAUGAGAAUAGUAUUCGGUGUCAUUAGAGUGGAGCCGACCCGGUGAUCCAAAAAUCCAACACAAUUGGAGCAACAAAGACAUCUUAUGACUGGUAAUAUUGAGGAAAAUACUAUUGUAAUAGACGGUUGUGGAAAACAAUGUGUUAGGGCAGAAUCUUUUGGGUGAAGAAUAAAUAAUUUUGUCGCGAAUGCAAGGAAUAGUGGGGUUGAUGAUGAGGGCUCUAAGAGUGGCCAAUCCCAUGUUUCUCGAACACCUUUGGAGGGUUGGUAUGAUAAGACUGAAAGAGCAGAGGUUGAAGCGGAAUUAACUUUGGUAACAUCUAAAGCUUAAUGGAGGAUAACGCGUAAAGCAGUGUUGCAAGCUUUGAUUUGGUCUAAAUUUAUUACUCUUAGAAUGACUAUAGUGGCGUGGAAAAUCUUAUGUGGUCGCGUUUUAACCGAGGACAUGCUGCAAAGACGCAUGAUGUCUAUGGCAUCUAGAUGUGUUUUAUGUUGUUUGCAUGUGGAAUCUUUUGAGCACGUUUUAGGUACAUGCACUUUUAUCAUGUCAGUUUGGCAGCAUAUUUGAGAUGAUUUUGGCUUGGGUACACUUCAUGGCUCCUUAUUAGAACGUUUUCACCAUAGAUUGGCCUUGAAUAAGAGUUCACAAUUACGAGAUUUUGGUUGGCAGCUUUUGUUUCCACUUUGUGACCGUAAAGGACUUAGUAUUAAUGUUUCUUAUGCUUUUAAGCUUAUUGUUGGUCAGAUCCAUUAUUCAAAUAUAUAGAGUCUGGUUAUAUGAAUAAUGAUGUUUGCGAUUUAUCUGUGUUGAAAAGGUUUGGUGCUACAUGUAGGCAUCAUCGUGCCCACGUUAUACUAGAGGUGUGUUGGCUUCCUCCUAAUCCUGGUUAGGUUAAGUUAAAAAUUGAUGGUGCUCAGAAGAGUGGUUCUGGUCGUGCUGGUUAUGGUGGUGUGUUUCGGGAUUUCAAAGGCCAGUUCUAUGGAGCCUUUAUUUGAACCUGGAGAUUCCUAACUCUGUAGCAGCAGAGGUAAUAGCGGUAAUUAAGGCUAUUGAAUUAGCUUCAGUUCGGGAUUAAUAUUUUAUUUGGUUGGAAGUUGAUUCUAGUUUGGUUCUACAUUUCUUGUGCUCUUCUCAAUUGGUUCCUUGGCAAUUGAGAUGGAGUGGAGGAAUUGCUUGCAUAGAAUGCAUUUCGGUCUUUUCACAUUUAUAGGAAAGGUAAUCAAGUUGCUAAUCCCCUUGCAAAUCAUGGUUCCUUUUCAAUUGGUCUUGUUUGGUGGAAUUUCCCUCUAGAUUUCAAUUUGCCGUAUUAUCAUCGAGAUUAUGUAGGGUUUUCUUACUACUGCUUUAGAUAGGUUAUCUUUUGUUGGCCUUGUUAUAUUUUAUAUUGGUUGUUAGAGGUUUUGUUUGUUAUUAUGGUCAAAGUUAGGCUUUAUGCCAAUUGACAGAUUGUAUUUUCCUUUUUUUAUUUUAUUUUAUUUUUUAAUAAAGCUACCUCAUUUUCACUUCCCACAAUAACAAUGCUAGAGUGGGAUUGAUUUUAUGAUUUUACUAAAAACACAUAGGCUAACCGUAACAGUUAUCUUUGUUUCCUUUAUUACAAUUAUAUGACUAGAUUCUCACUUGUUCUGAUCUUUCAUAUGAAUUUAUUUUUUUGAAAAAGAAAAAAAAUGAAUGGUUUAAAUCAUGAAAGCACAUUAGAAACUUGAAAGAGUAGUACUUUAUGUGAUAUUAAGUUGUACCUGAGUUGAUUAGUACGAGCCAAAACUACAGGCUGCGACUGACCUUGUAGCUGGCCUUCACCCUUCUCAUCUCCAUAAUAAACAUUCUCGCAAUUGAGUGUCUCAGUGACAUGCCAUUUUCGAGCUGCUGCGACGAGCACUUGUGCCACCGUAGUAAAAGGGCUCCCUGGGGGCCUUUGCUUCCUGUACCUCUUUGUUCCCAACAAGAAUGAUACUAGUGACACCACCAAAACCCCUGCCAAUAUUCCAAACCCUAAUCCCCACCCAACAUUAUCCUACAAGUGUAGUAAUUUCAAUUAAUUAGUGUACAUAAUUAAUAAUUAAUUGACAAACGAUAGGACAAAUAGUAAGAUUAGUAAUGUUUUCUCUUUUGACAAACGAUAGGAUAAAUAUACUAAGAGUUUUUCUAUUUACAUCACGCAAUCAUCUGAGUUCAUCCCACAAAUUAUUUUUUUGCGAUAUCCAAUUUCACUCUUAAGGAAAUACACCCACAUCCUCAUCACAUGUAAAUUUCUCCCCGACAAGACAACAACCACCGGCGUCCCUCUCAUCACCAACGGCGUCCCCUACCAACCUCACUGUCAUCCUUCUUUCUGUUGACAUUCAAAGUUUGCUAACUCAAUACCAAUUACGUGGGUGAUAGGUUUAUAAACUCCAUCACACCUCUCACUUUUACACUCUUUGAAGCUGGACCGACAGAAAGAAAAGAAGCAGCAAGCUUUGAGAAAAAAAAUACUCUCAUUUAUUAAAAGAGUUUACAACUCUUAUUGCUGAAAUGAGAUUAGAAUAUUAAAGCCUUACAGGGAAGACUUACUUAUAUACGCAGAAAAGAAAGAACCACACAAGUGGUUUUAAUAAACAAUACAAAACAAAGACUAACGCAUGCAAAAUAAAUGAAGGUGUUCAAACUCUUUACACCCUUUUAAAAAAACAUACAGCAGCUUUAGAUUUUUGCGCACGCACACACACUGCAUUACUCGACUGGUUGCAACCACAUCUUCGGCCAGCACAGAAGAAGCAUUUAAUUUUGGUAGGUGCAGGAAGCAUGAGUCAAAAAAUAGCUAGCAGCACACAAACAUUGAAAUAAUGUUUUUAUUUGAACUUCCAACACUUUCUCUAUCACUCUCGCAGCCAGUAUCCAAGUUCCUUCUUCCCUUCUCGAAAUUAUAUGAAAUAUGAAAUUCCCGCUAACAAAACCCAAGAGCAAUGAGUUCCUUCAAUUUAAAACUUGAUUUGUAAGUUCUUUGAAUUCAGAUUCUUAUUUUGAUGCAAUGUGUUCUUGAUCUUUUGAUGGUUGAUAUUUUUGAAUCCAAAAUCAAUAAGAGAUACAGAGGGAGGGAGAGGGCAACAAUCAGACUGGUAAGGAUCACUGGUGUCGUAGUCGAGGAUCGAGGAGGGGUGCCUGUAGGGGGAAGGGGGAGGGGGCGUCUUGUGUUUCCUUUUAUUACUCUUUUCUUUAUUUUUUAUUUUUUUAUUUACAAUUUUUUAAGGGUAAUUCGGAAAUCAAAUACUUUAAAAUUUUUGUGGGGUGAACUUAGAUGGGUAAUGGAGUGUAACUAGAAAAACUUAUAUACUAAUUUCAUCUAAUAAACUACGGGCAUUUAAUAUUUGGGUGAAAAAGAGUAAACUGUUGUAGCCAACUUAAUUAAAAUUUUGUUGGUUACAAUUAUGAUUUGUAAUGUUUUGCAAGAUGUGUGAUAUUCACACAUCCUAUUUUACUUCUCACAUACCUUUUUAAUUUUCAGCCGUCGGAUCGGAUGAAUUGAAGAAGAUCAACGGACAAAAAUUAUUAAAGGUUGUGUGAGAAGUAAAAUGGAAUGUGUGGAUAGCACACCCCUUUUGUAAUACCAAUAAAAUAUUAAAAAAAGAAAGAGGAGCACAAAAUUCAAUAAAAGUCAACAAGGUAAUUUCACGAAUAUACAAGUUAUUAGUAGUAUUGACCAGACAAAAUAGCUUAUUCAACAAUUGGAAGUAUUAAAUACCUUUUGUGAUUUUGUUUUUAUUUUUAGAGUAAUACUAUUCAUAUCAUGUUUUUGUACCACAUUUUCAUACCACCUUAGGUGAUAUUUGAUGUGGAUGGCCAUAUUAUUUGAAUUAAUUAGAUUUUUAAAUUUAGUUCAUUAUUUAAUAAACUAAUAAUUAAGAAAAACUAGUUAAUUAAAUGAUGAUUGUGAUAUACAAAGAGUCUUUCUCUUUCCUUUUCUUGAGUUUUGUAAAUUUUUCAAAUGAUGUGGCUGUCCACAUCAGAUGCUGCCUAGUAUAGAAAUGUGGUAUAAAAACAUAGUAUGAAUAACAUUACUCUUAUUUUUAUGUACUGUUAUAAUCUAAAUACUUUUGGGAGGAUGUGGGAAUCUAGAACAAAGUUGUUACCUGGAGAUAUACAACUCCUAGUGUGGCAGAAGUGGCAGCAAACACGAACCCCAAGUACCACCAGUUGAAGAAGGAGCUCUUGGCCUUUAUCUCUUCCGGCGUGUUCUCAUCGAACUGAUCUGCUGCAAAUGUUUGCAAGCAUGGCUGCUGCCCACCUUGAGCCACCGAUAAAAUGUAGAGCGCCACAAAGAACACUGCUCGGCGACGUUGUGAAGGAAUUACUGAGACGGACAGAGUCAAAAGAACUGUGCCCUACAAAAUGAUAUAUAAGCCAUGAACACAACUACACAAGGACAUCUAUCCAAUCAAACAUGAUUAAUGUUUUCUUGUCAAAUAACCUGGCUACGUUCUAUAUGUUUAUGAUAUCAAACUGUAAAUCUGAACACAUUUAGACUACAACUUUCUAACUUAUUUAAUAGUUUAGAAUCACAGUCUCGCAACACAAGUGAGCGUCAUACGUACUUAACAAAACUGAACAUUGGACACAUAUAUUAUGGGGAAAAACUCUUAGAUGAUUUACCAGGAAAUAGAGGGUGACGGAGAAGACGAUGGUUUUGAACCGACCAAAAUAUGAAUCUGCAAGAAAGGCUCCGAGGACAGGGAAGACUGAUGAGACACCAAGCCAGGUGGUGACAUUCUUAGCCGCGGCGGCUAAGGGCUGGUCCAAAACAUUUGUGAGGUACAUGAUGAGGUUACUUGCCAACCCAUAGAAUGCGAACUGCUGGGCCACCUCAACCACUGCAAAUAAAAUUUAAUUAAGCACAAAUAAAUAGAGUACUCAUAAAAGAUGAAACUCCAAUAUAUUUUCAGAAAACUUAAUGAACUGAAUAUAACUAUUCAUUGCAAACAAAAAGCACAAGUAAUCGUGGAAUUAAAUGAAAAAUAAGAUGCUGAUAAAAAAAACUAAAAAAUAAGAUGAACAUAGAAAAAUUGCUUACAGAUGAUGAAAAUAGCAGCAUUCCAGCCACCCUUACUGGAUUUUCCAUGUGCAGUAGAAGCAAUAUUCAUAAUUGAUGGUGUUUAGAGAGCUAAAGUAUUAUUGAACCACCUCAUCAAGAGAGAAAAGUACUUGAGAUUUCUCAGGAUAUGUGGUGGUUUUACAUGAAAUUUUUUCUUGUUGAAUUACUAUGAAUCGUGUUUCCGAGCUCAUAUAUAUAUAUAUAUAUAUAUAUGGGAAAUGCUAGGGAGACUAAAUUUGUAGAUAAAAUUUUAGAAACUAAAGGACAUGGAAGUUGAUGAUUGAUUUAUUACUUAAGGUUGAUUACGUGUUCAUUUCUUUUGGUGACACAUCAUUUAGUUUGUAAAUUUUAUCUCCAAAUUUAGUUCCCUUAGCAUUAUCCAUGUAUAUGUGUAUGCGUGUGUGCGUAUAUAUAUGGUGGGCACUGGGCAACUAGAAUUUAUAAAGUUAUUUAGUUUGAAGCUAUUGUGGCCUUCUAUGCAUGCUUAUACAGAAUUAUAAGUUAUUUAGUUUGAAGCUAUUGUGGCCUUCUAUGCUUAUACAGAAUUAUUUUAGGAGGCAAAGUUGCUGGCUGAGCCCCCCAAGACAGGAGAGUGCAGCAUAUUUCAUUGCAUGGUUGCAUGCAUGGCAGCUGGAGGACAUACCCACGUGACUGUGAUUCAUGUUGAUGAAUUUUAUACAGGGAGAUACACUAUUAACAAAUCAACUCGUGAUCCAUGCACAGACUGGCAUCACCGACAAUUACAAACGUUGUCAAUAAGUGUGAUAUAGUUAAUGACCCUUUCAAAAUGUUAUCCUUGAUGAUUUUCAGGGGUAACAUGUCUGACCUAUCCAGUAUGGUACGUAUUCGAUAUAUUUGUCAUAAUAAUUUAGUACUGAAAAUUUCACACAUAAAAUUUUUAACUAACAAAUAGAGAGAAAUAUUAAUCCGUACUAUUAACUGACAACAUUACUGCUAUGUUUAAAUUAUUUACUUAAGUUGUACUCUCUUUGAAUGUGAAAAUUUUAAAAUUAUACAUAACUUUAGAUUCAAUUGUUUAGAAAUACAUUGAAGAAAAAUCAUAAUGAACUCCUCAAAGAACUUAAAGGGAAAUCUCAAACAUUACAAUUGUAUUACAAGGACAAUGAGCAAAGGACUUUGAAAAUGAUACUUUUUAAGGUGUUAUUCGAAAUUUACCUCCCUUAUAUAACAUUUAGUAUGUAUCGGCACGUGUUCUGUUACGCUUGUCUCCACAUGCUUCCUUGUAUCCUUCUCACUUGCCCUAUCUGUUCCUUAGGCAGAUGUGGUAUCUUCUCUGGAAGCAUAAGAUGUUGAAGAUGAGUACUCUAGAGCAAUGCCAGGUAAGUAAUCAGGCAAGGGGUUCCAGGCAGUCAGUUCCUGACUAGAAGCUUGAUUCCAAGUGCUGACUGAUUGCUCUCUUUCUCAUUGUCUUGCAGGUAAGAACAAGGCCAAAGGAAAAGACAGGGAAAAAGCAUGAUAUAGGAUACUUUUGCUUUUAACCCUGAUGAUAUGAGAUACUCUUGCUCUGGUGUGGCUUGUUUGCAGAGGUAUUAUCGGGAAGAAAAGAAGCUGAGUAUUUCGAGAGACUCUGCUGAGAGUGCCCUCUCAGAUGUGAAGAAAAGUUGAGCAUUUUUUUAUUUGCAGGUUUGCCUGGCUGUGGAGGAUGGAGGUCGACAUAUAUAGGAGUCUCCCUAACAACAAGUAGUAGUGCUAUUCCUUUACCCUUCUUGGUCGUAGCAAUGUAGUGGGAGCUGCAAGCUUCACAUGUUUUAACUUUGUCAAAGAACUUUGAAAAAGUGGUAUGUGGUAUCUGGAAAGCUGAUGUUGCGUGUGAAGAUUGCAGACAAGCUUUAUCCAAGGAAAUCUGGCUUUCAAAGCUCGGAGAGCGAUGCCUCUUUGGUUUUCGAACAAGUAAUCCUGUCGGGGAUCUGGCUCUCAAGAUUCGGAGACCGGUGCCUCUUCGAUUUUUAAGAAAGCAAUCCUGUUGGGAGUCUGGCUCUUGAGAUUCGGAGAGUGGUGCCUUUUCAAUUUUUGAGAAAGUAAUCCUGUUGGGAGUCUGGCUCUCGAGAUUCGGAGGGCGGUGCCUCUUCGAUUUUUGAGCAAGUAAUAAUGCUAUUCCUUUACCCUUCUUGGUUAUAGCAAUGUAGUGGGAGCUGCAAGCUUCACAUGUUUUAACUUUGUCAGAGCACUUUGAAAAAGUGGUCUGUGGUAUCUGGAAAGCUGAUGUUGCGUGUGAAGAUUGCAGACAAGCUUUAUCCAAGGAAAUCUGGCUCUCAAAGUUCGAAGAGUGGUGCCUCUUCGGUUUUCAAACAAGCAAUCCUGUCGGGGAUCUGGCUCUCGAGAUUCAGAGAAUGGUGCCUCUUCGAUUUUUGAGAAAACAAUCUUGUUGGGAGUCUGACUCUUGAGAUUCGGAGAGCAGUGUCUUUUUGAUUUUUGAGAAAGUAAUCUUGUUGGGAGUUUGGCUCUCGAGAUUCGGAGAGUGGUUCCUCUUCAAUUUUUGAGCAAGCAAUCUUGUUGGGAGUGUUUUCUCAAAUGUGACUAAAGGUUGGGCAUUUUUGCCAGUCUACCUUGCCACGGAGCACGGAGGUUGACACACAUUGAGACUUUCUAGUUAUCAAGUAGGGUAGCUGGACCUUCAAAAUUUAUGUGUCUAAACUUUGUUAGAGAUCUUUGGCAAAGUUAUCUGCGGUACCCAAUGAGCUGAUGUUGCGUGUGGAAAGUGGUGCCUCUUCGAAUCCAGAAAGUGGUGCCUCUUCGGAAUCCGGAGAGUGGUGCCUCUUCGAUUUUUGAACCAACGACCCUGUUGCCCUUUCUUUUAUAAGGGCACCAGUUGUGUGCAAGGACUACAUUCAGAGAGUUAUUGCUUGUAGGAAUUUUCCCCUUACUUCAAAGAUUUAUUGCACCUCAUUUAUCCCUCAUCAUUUCUGAGAAUGUUUGGCCCAUCCGACCGUCGUUUUGACUUGAACUUUGGUGAAGAGGCAGCCAUACCUUCUCAAGAUAACAUAUGGCGCCCAUCCUUCUUAUCCCCUACUGGUCUUCUUACCGUUGGGACUCUGUCAUGAAGAAUGAUAUGACCACUGCGGUGGUGGCCAGGAACCUUCUCACUUCCAAAGAUAACAGACUACUUUCCAAAAGGUCUGAUGAGUUGGCUGUUAAGGAUUCUCUGGCUCUCAGUGUUCAAUGUGCAGGUUCUGUGUCUAAUAUGGCCUAACGCCUAUUUGCUCGAACCCGCCAUGUUGAAUCAUUGGCGGCUGAAGUGAUAAGUCUCAAACAGGAGAUCAGAUGGCUCAACCAUAAGAAUAAACAGUUGCACAGGCUUGCACAUGACUAUGUUACAAACAUGAAGAGGAAGCUCGACCAGCUGCAGGAAUCUGAUGGUCAGAUUUUACUUGAUCAUCAGAGGUUUAUGGGUUUGUUCCCAAGGCAUUUAUUGCCUUCGUCUUUUGGGGCUGUACCGCGUAAUGAAGCUCCAAAUGAUCAACAUUCGGUUCCUCCUCCUUCUGGGGUUCUGCCUAGCACUAAGGCUCCGAAUAACCACCCUCUGGUGCCUCAUCUUUCUGGAGCUCUGCCUACUGCUGAGACUUCUCCUAAGCAACCUUUGUGAAGGCUCCCUCUUGUUUGUUUAUUUUGAUUCAUGUAUAUGUACAUAUUUGUAACUUAUCGGAGAUAUCAAUAAACAAGAUUUGCUUCAUUUCAACAUAUUGUGUUAAAUACACCAAGGCCUUUGUAACGACCCAAAAUUUCUAAUUUGGAAGCUAAUUAUCAAGAUAGGCCCAAAUUAUUUUUCUUAGCCAAAUUCCAAGAAAAGAAUAAUUUCAGUUAUUUUAUUAUGGCUGCAUCUAACCUCGUUAGACUGUCUACGUACCCUACGAAGGGAUCAAGCCAUUCGUAGUUCACCAAUUCAAUUUUUAACUCAUUUCCGAAUAUAUAACAAUCAAGUGACUAACAAUCACUAACUAGGUUCAAACAAUUGAAUCAGGUGACCAUGGUUUAAGUAGUCUAUUGAGUAUCAUCAUCUCUGUUGUAUUCUUUUGGACUAAGAAUGUAAGCAUAAUUCUACAAUUAAUUAUUUAUCUAAACCAUUUUACAAUUUUCUAGCCACUCGUUAAUUCAUCCAAGCUUUCAACCUUGUGGUCAGAAUUCAAGCAUAUACACUUAUACAAUAGCUAGCUUACCUUAUAAAUCAUAUUAAUCUACGAGGAAGAUUGGCAUGCAUACCUCCAGGCUCUCUUAAAUUUAGAAUUACUUAAAUCGAUUGAAAAGCUAAUGGAUGGGGAGAAGGACAUGCACCUGUUCGAGCAUGCUUUCUUCCUUUCUGGCCUUGUCCACUGACAAAGUCAGACAUGACUUAAGACAGCAAGGGGUGUAUCUGAUGCGGCAUCAAAUCUUUCUAUUUUGGGGUCUUCCCAAGCAGAAGAAGAACCAGCUCGGGCUGCCAUGGAGGAACACUGAUAAGUCUCCCUGUAAACAAAGCUAUGAACUUCUGCCUUGUUUGGUGAUUUCUGGUAAAAUCAAGGUGACAAACGUGAUGGGCUCGACGAGGGCUUGAGUUAAGAUGUAAGAUUGGUCAAAAUCGAUGAUUAAAGGAAAGAGGUAUAAGAUUUGUGUUUAGGGGAGCCCAAAACAGAAACAAGAACAGCCCCUCUUCCUUUUUCCUUUUUUUUUUUUUUCCUUCCCCCCCGGGAAGAAGAAAAAGGUCUCCUCCCUUCUAGAAAAAUCUCCUUUUUCCCAAUUUACUAUAUUGCCCAUCAACAAAAAGAUUAAAAAUCCGCAACUUCUUCGCCGAAAUUCCGAUUAGCCCCCAAUUUGCACUCACACAUUCGUGGCGACGAACAUUAUUCAAAUAUACUAAUUAAUAUGUCAAACGUGUCACGACCACGAGGUAACAAAAGUCAACACAUUUUCAUCUUUUCACUUAUCAAUAAAUUUUACGAUGUAAAUUAUAAUAAUUUCUGAAACAAACUUUAAAAGUUCUUAAUUAAAUUUUUCAUAACCAUAAAUCAUUUAUUCUCGAUUUACUCCACAUAACCAUGUAUUUUAAAUUUUCAGGGUAUUACAUUCGACUCCCAUUAAAAUAAAUCUCGUCCUCGAGAUUUCUACCAUCGAGUAACUGAAAGGAAUUAACGCUAAUUCCACCAUUCCAUUUAUCGUGAAUAAAAUCAUAACCUCAGUCUACGAUUUUAUUUGAGUUCCAAAAAUACAUAAUUCAACGAAAUAAUCAUCUAUACUCAGAUUUCCUACCACCCUCAUUGGUAGAAUGAUAUCAUAAAUCCUAACCAUACACAUUGGCAAAAUAAAUAUUAAAACAUCAAGCCACAAUCCUCAUGGCCUAAAUAAAUACUAGAUUAUCAACCUCAUCUACUGUUGGUUAGGUAAAUACUAGCAUCAUAAUCACAAUCUUUGGUAAACUACUUACCAUCAUUGCCACAUUUACCAUUGGCAAAACAAUUAUCAUAAAUUUCCCAACCGUAACCAUCAUCGGCCAAAUAAAUAUCAAAAUUUCAAGCUAAACCAUUUAAAUUGGCAAUUCAGUUAUAAGAAAUUACAGCCAAAUCAUAGGAAUUUGAAAUCACAAUCACUGGUAAAAUCACAUACCAUUAUUGGUUAUACAUAGCCGUCACCACGAUUCACUCCCAGAACUCGGGUGCCAACAUAAUCCAAUCUGAUGACCGGUCCCGCGACCGAUUACCCUCACUUCACUCUGACCACAACAGCCCGAAGUAGGAUAACGAGAGUGUCCAUUUAAUCCUACACCCCAGAACCAAGUACCCUCCCCACGGGAUAUGGUACAUGUCCGGCCGUGUAGGCCCCCAGAGGUUUAGGGGAUCGAAACCCAAGGCAGCGCGCGGUGCCCCUCACUCCUGGUAACUCUCAAUCCAGGAGUGUCCAUUUCCAACGGCCAUACCACAUAGACUAUUCCGCAAGAGUAGCCCGACCGUAUAACACCCUCUGAAGGUUUAGGGGAUCGAAACCCAGGGAAACCACACAAUCCCUUUCACUCUCAGGUCUUCGAAAUAAUUCAUGUGAAUGUACCUUCAUUCAUAAUACUCAUGCAAUGGUUCAAUAUCACCGCAAGUCAUAUUUCACGCCAAUAAGAGUGGGGACAACGUAAGUAGUUUAGCUAAAGUGUAAAGACAGUAGAGACUAGAUUAACUCACAACACUAGCUACUCAUAUAUGCAAUUUCCCAAUUCACUUCACAGUUUGAUUUUUAACCCAUAGCUGUGAAUAUAUCAAUGAUCUUCCUUGUUAAACACAGUGCACCUGAUAUAUGUGAGUAGCCCCAUAUACAAUUCUUGUCAAACGCCAAUGUCAUAAAAGAGGAAAAAUGUCUCGGUAAGCCGAAAUUAUAGCACACAUCAUAACUAUAAAUAAAUCCUUGUAAUCAAACAUUCUGUUGAUGCACAAAACCGGAUGGUCUUGGAACAACGUAAAUCCGACUGUGAAUCUGCAAGUAAUGUAAAUGACACAAGAGUUAUCGUGGUUCACCCCAAGGUUUGGGCUACGUCCACACUGAUAGUUGAUUCUGUUUCUCUGUAAGUGUAUGGAUACAAGUGUUUGGGGGAAGUCCCCGGAGAAAGAAGAGAAGGGAGAGGAGAGCCUCGGUGGUGUGAGAUCUCUCCUGAAUGUAAUGAUAGCUUCUCUUAGCCUUCUUAGGCUUGGCUCUUUUGCCCCCCCCCCAGAAUGAGGGGAGGAGUCCCCUUUUAUAGAAUAAGGGGCUCCUCCUCUUUUACAAAGUAUGGGCUUUAGUGUGAGGCCCAAAUACAAGGCCCAAGGCCCAAAUAUACGAGGCCCAAUAUAUGGUACCAACAGGAGUCCCCCAAGUCUUCAGUCAAAGGAGUCUUUUGGCUGGAGACUUCAAAUCCAAUCCAUGUACGGGCCGAAGUGGCUAGAUGUCUUGAACCAGUAUCAACCCAAGGUAAUGCUCAACAUAAAGCAAUACUCGGCUAGAGGUAUCACACGUUACGAGACUGCUCGGCUGGAGGCGAUACUCGUUACGAGGCUGCUCGGCUAGAGGCUAUGCUCGCGGCGAGGCGGCUCGGCUCGUGGUAUUCCUCAUUGCAAGUAUCUACUUUAUGUCGACAUGCACUCAGUAUGAGUUGAUUCUCGACAUGACUCGGGUCUGCUUGUCGGGUUCGCAUAUUGGGUCUAUGUGUCGGAUCCGCGGAUCGGGUCCGCAAGUCGGGUCUUUGAAUUGGGGCCAUACGUAGGGGCAUCAAGUUGGGACUAUCUGUAGGGUCAUCGAGUUGGGUCCGAGCACAUAGGUGUCCCAAUAAGCGAAUGUCCGAGCAAGUGGGUGUCCGGUCAGACAAGAGAUCACCAUGAGCACGUGGCUCAUCAGUCUAUAAGUUGGUAGACUUCGUUAAUCAGCAACAACGUUAAUCAGUGGACCUAGUUGCUCAAUAAUUCCUGACAAUAAAUGACAGUAUAAGUACGACCGUAUAAUGAAUAAAUCAAAUUGACAAAGUUUGUCAAGGCAAAAUAUUGUACUAUGUUCUUCUAUAAAUAAAUAAUUUAUUCAGUCGUGUGGUAAAUGAUUUGUAUCAUAUAUCAACAAUAUAACAGGUAUUGCCUAAACGUGUGUGUAUAUAUAUAUAAUCAUGAAUAAAUGAUUUAUUUAGUUCUUUGAUAAAUCACAUGACAAUGAUAUUGAGAAAACAUAAUUAUAUUUCUUUCAUGGCCGACAAUAUCAAAGUGAAAAGUAGAGACUUCAUAAUAAAAGUGUUCUUAUCUUGAGUUUUACCGUGGCUUUUUUCUGUUAGACAGAUGGAUAAUGGGUAUAUAUUAUACCCUGUAAUAUUAAAUAAUAAUAUUUGUAAUAGCUUUUCAGAAAAUGGGAUGCAUGAUGAAAGUUUGGCCAUUGUGUAAUCAAAUGCUGAGAAAAAGUGGAUUUCGAAAGAUGUGUUGCUGAGUCACUACUAACUAAUGCUUUUGGUGCCAUAAUAUAUGGUUUGUUGCUUUCUCCAACAUAUAAUGUAACGUUCCCUUUGUUUUUUGUGUUAAAAUAAUAAAAUAAUUAUAAUAAAAUUUAUCUUUUUAGACGGAGCGGGCAGCACUUAUAGAACAAUUGAGGCAGACAAAACAAAGUAAAGCUGGCACCAUUUAUAGAAUAAUUAAGAAAUAACAUAAAGAAAUAUAAAGUUUCUGACAACCACUUAUCUUUUCGUGGGUGUGGUUUGUGGCAUGAAAUGCUCUUCCAUGAUGAUACAUCUCCUUCAAACCGAUAGUCCAGUGAUCCCAUUCUAUGCCACUCAGCUACUAGAAUUGCACUUUUAGCUGCAUGAAACAGGUUCCUUUCCAUUAAGAAAUCAGGCCGUCCAAGUAGGCUCUUCCAUGGCCUGAGCAAGAGAUGGCUGCCACCUGUUCAGCUUGUUUACUGUCGACGGGAACCGGCGGGUACAGCCUCAUGCUCUCGUACAGUGCCAUGUGGGUGUACACCAUCUCCUUCACCUCGUCGUGACCUCCCCCCGCCGCUAACUCAGACGACGAUGUGUCGUUGAUCUCCUUCAAGAUCUCUUGUUCUACAUGUGGGUUCUGCGAAAGCAGCCAGAAGAACCAGGUGAGAGCAGCCGAAGUGGUGUCCCGGCCCACGAGGGUAAAGCUGAUGAUGAUGUCGGUGACAAACUUUUUGUCGGAGUGAUGCACUGGAUAUAUGGUGAUGCCCCAAUCAUUCUUAGCAUGGUGGAGAUCGGUGUGGCAUAUCCCACAGUACAAGAUCUUUAUGGUCGCAUCGUUGAUCCCAUUUUCUCUUCGUUUGAAGACGAAAGGAGUGGGAUGGUAGAAGCAGUAGCUAGUCGAUUGGGUUUUGCAGAUUCACGGCGGGGGGUGAAAAAAAUGAAAGAGAACCGACACAACUUUUCGUAUCGUUUCCCACAGACGGCGCCAAAUGUUGAUGCACAAAAUCAGCGAAGACUUUGGUACAACAGAAAGUGUCAGGUUUUGUGACCUUCGCUUGGUUGCUUCGGUCACUAGUGAGGAUAAGUACGUAAAUGAAUAGAGACAGAGAAGCAAACACAGGAUGUACGUGGUUCACCCAGAUUGGCUACGUCCACGGAGUAGAGGAGUUCUUAUUAGUAGUGAAGGGCUUACACAAGUACAAAGGAUCAAGCUCUCAAUUUAGUGAGUUCUUGUGAAUGAUUUAACACAAAUGGCAUUAGGCAAUAUUGUGGGGGAAUGACCCCUAUUUAUAGAAAAACUUGUAGCUUUGUCACAUUGACAUGUGUCAUGUUAUGAUUGGUUCUUGAUGUUGACACGUGCUGCGCUCUGAUUGGCUUCUAAUCUUGACACGUGUCGAGUAGUGAUUGGCCUCCUGGUCGGAGGGGAACUCUUCUGGGUCCUUGACAGUAUAGCGUUGGCCGGUGCUCGGUAGUUUCGGGAUUGGUCAAGUAUGGUACAAACAGUGCUCCCCUAAGUUCCCGAGUGAGGGAAACUCCUCGGUUGGGGACUUGCAAGAUCCAAUCCCUUGAGUAAUCACGAAACUUCUAAGUACCGAAGUGUGGUCUGAUCUUCAUCUGCCCUUCUCUGGAAGUACCUUUCCUCCAUCCGGGAAUGGUGUAUUUAGCUGAUGUUGACGCACAAGGUAAUGUAUCAAAAGGAGGCGAAGCUUAGUUGUAGUUUCGGGCUUAGUCAAGUGUGAUACAAACCCUAUAGUAGGAGUCCCCCAAGUCGCCGAGCUAGGAGAUCUGCCGAAAGAGGUGACAGACAAGGUAAGCAGUCAAACUUCCAAGUAAGCAACCCAGGAUCAGAGGUUUGACUUCGGCUUCCGGUUGAUUGUUCUCAUUCUCCUUGUCUCUCAUUCAACUGCCAGGAUAAGGAGAAGCAAAUGGAUAAGAGAUGAUAUGAGAUACUUUUGCUUUUGAAGAAGUAACUUUCCACAGGCUUAUUCUUGAACUGUGCUGGAGGGUUUUCUGGUGCCCUUCAGAGUAUAAGGCCGACUCAAAAAUUUGAGGGUCAAAACAAGUCCAUCAAAUCUAGAGUACGUUCGACCUUGAUGAUAUGGGAUAUUUUUGCUGUUGACGGAAUAAUGAAUGUGGUAUGGAAAGGUGUCGUGCUGUAGUGAUCUGUUUCAACUCACCAUUGAACCUUCUGCUUCAAUCUUUUGCAUGGCAGAAGUGGUGUGCAACCUUUGCAUUUAAAUGGUCAUUCAGAACAUUCCUUCAUAGUGACUCAUCCACGCUUGGCAGCUUCAGUGUAAAGAGCCAAUAUCUGAUCAACUGUCAUGAGGUAUUUACCGGUGGAAUUCGUGACCUUGACAGCAGUUGAGGAUGAGUACUCGAGAGCAAUGCUAAGUAAGCAACCAGGCAAAGGCUCCAGGCAGUCAGUUCCAAAUUGGAGGUUUGAUUUCAGGUUCCGACUGACUGCUCUCUUUCUCCUUGUCCUGCAGGUGUGGACAAGGACAAAGACAAAGACAGGGAGAAAGCAUGAUAUGAGAUACUCUUGCUUUCGACCCUGAUGAUAUGAGAUACUCUUGUUCUUGGUGUGGCUUAUUUGCUGAGGUAUUAUCGGGGGGAAAUAAAGCUGAGUAUUUCGAGAGGUUAUGUUGAGGGUGCCUUUUCGAAUGCGAGAAAGGGUUGAGCAUUUUUGCAGGUUUGCCUGUCCGUUGAGGAGGGAGGUCAAUGUAUAUAGGGAUUUCCCAAUAACAAGUAGUAAUGCUAUUCCUUUACCCUUCUUGGUCACAGCAAUGUAGUGGGAGCUGCCAGCUUCACGUGUUUUAAUUUUGUCAGAGCACUUUGAAAAAGUGGUAUGUGGUAUCUGGAAGCUGAUAUUACGUGUGGAAGAUUACAGACAAGCUUUAUCUAAGGAAAUCUGGCUCUCGAAGUUCUGAGAGUUGUGCCUCUUCGGUUUUCGAACAAGCAAUCCCGUCGAGGAUCUGACUCUCGAGAUUCGGAAAGCGGUGCUACUCCGGUUUUUGAGAAAGUAAUUAUGUUGGGAGUCUUUUCUCGAAUGUGAGUAAAGGUUGGACGUUCUUGCCAACCUGUCUUGCCGCAAAACACGGAGGUCGACACACAUAGGGACUUUCCAGUUGUCAAGCAGUGGUGCUGUUCCUUUACCCUUAUGGGUAAUAGUAGGGUAGCUGGAACUUCGAAAUUCUCGUGCCUAAACUUUGUCAGAGAUCUUUGACAAAAUUAUAUGUGGUACCCGAUGAGUUGAUGGUGCAUAUGGAGAGCGGUGAUUGAACAGUAAGAUUCACGUGCUUUCUACUUCACCAGAAAUCUUCGACAGAUUGCCCGUAAUUUCCGCAAAGCUGAGUGUGCAUGUGACAGGUGCUGACGAGGCUGAAAAAGCAGGUGCUUCUUCGAUUUCUGAGAUCGGCCCUCGUGGUCUCUGAGCAGCCCAGCUUUUGAGAAAGCAAACGCCUCUUCGAUUUCUGAGAUCGGCCCUCGUGGUCUCUGAGCAGUCCAGCUUUUGAGAAAGCAAACGCCUCUUCGAUUUCUGGAGCUCCGUCGAGUGCAGAUUUUUAUAGAGGCUGGCAUUAAGUUCCACAGCACACUUGAAUCUCUACCAGUAGAAGCUCAUUUCUUGCACUUCUAAGAUCUUGAUUUGUCUGACCUCUUCCCUCUUCAACACAUUUGAAAAUGUCUGGACCCUCCGACCGUCGUUUUGACUUGAACCUUGGAGAAGAGACAGCCACGCCUUCUCCAGACAACAUAUGGCGCCCAUCCUUCAUAUCCCCUACUGGUCCUCUUACCGUUGGGGAUUCUGUGAUGAAGAAUGAUAUGACCGCUGCAGUGGUGGCCAGGAACCUUCUCACUCCCAAAGAUAACAGACUACUUUCCAAACGGUCUGAUGAGUUGGCUGUUAAGGACUCUUUGGCUCUUAGUGUUCAGUGUGCAGGUUCUGUGUCUAAUAUGGCCCAACGCCUAUUUGCUAGAACCCGCCAAGUUGAAUCAUUGGCUGCUGAAGUGAUGAGUCUCAAACAGGAGAUUAGAGGGCUCAAGCAUGAGAAUAAGCAGUUGCACCGGCUCGCCCAUGACUAUGCUAUAAAUGUUGAUGCACAAAACCGGAUGGUCUUGGAACAACGUAAAUCCGACUGUGAAUCUGCAAGUAAUGUAAAUGACACAAGAGUUAUCGUGGUUCACCCCAAGGUUUGGGUUACGUCCACACUGAUAGUUGAUUCUGUUUCUCUGUAAGUGUAUGGAUACAAGUGUUUGGGGGAAGUCCCCGGAGAAAGAAGAGAAGGGAGAGGAGAGCCUCGGUGGUGUGAGGUCUCUCCUGAAUGUAAUGAUAGCUUCUCUUAGCCUUCUUAGGCUUGGCUCUUUUGCCCCCCCCCAGAAUGAGGGGAGGAGUCCCCUUUUAUAGAAUAAGGGGCUCCUCCUCUUUUACAAAGUAUGGGCUUUAGUGUGAGGCCCAAAUACAAGGCCCAAGGCCCAAAUAUACGAGGCCCAAUAUAUGGUACCAACACAUUCUAACUAGAGUUCCAGUAGCUUGGAUCCACCCAUAAUAACCAACGACUUAACCAAUGUAGCAAUUCAUUUUAAAAUAGAUAAAUUCUUCAAAUACAAAAGUAACAAAUAAAUCUCACAAUCUUUAAAAAUAGCUUUUAAAAAUUUACCUAGAAUUGUAAAGCUCAGCUCCAUAACAUUGUAGCUGAAAACGAUUGCCUAAACUUUGUAGCUCAAAAUGAUUCAUGAAUAAAAAUUGACACCAAAACUUAUGAUUUUUGGGAAAGGUUUUUAAGUGGAACAACUAGUUUCUGCUUUCUGAGCAGCAAACCAACGAAGAACUCAAGCAUAACGCAUAUUGUAGAGUAGAAUCGUUCACUCUGAUACCAAUUUUUGUAACGACCCAAAAUUUCUAAUUUGGAAGCUAAUUAUCAAGAUAGGCCCAAAUUAUUUUUCUUAGCCAAAUUCCAAGAAAAGAAUAAUUUCAGUUAUUUUAUUAUGGCUGCAUCUAACCUCGUUAGACUGUCUACGCACCCUACGAAGGGAUCAAGCCAUUCGUAGUUCACCAAUUCAAUUUUUAACUCAUUUCCGAAUAUAUAACAAUCAAGUGACUAACAAUCACUAACUAGGUUCAAACAAGUGAAUCAGGUGACCAUGGUUUAAGUAGUCUAUUGAGUAUCAUCAUCUCUGUUGUAUUCUUUUGGACUAAGAAUGUAAGCAUAAUUCUACAAUUAAUUAUUUAUCUAAACCAUUUUACAAUUUUCUAGCCACUCGUUAAUUCAUCCAAGCUUUCAACCUUGUGGUCAGAAUUCAAGCAUAUACACUUAUACAAUAGCUAGCUUACCUUAUAAAUCAUAUUAAUCUACGAGGAAGAUUGGCAUGCAUACCUCCAGGCUCUCUUAAAUUUAGAAUUACUUAAAUCGAUUGAAAAGCUAAUGGAUGGGGAGAAGGACAUGCACCUGUUCGAGCAUGCUUUCUUCCUUUCUGGCCUUGUCCACUGACAAAGUCAGACAUGACUUAAGACAGCAAGGGGUGUAUCUGAUGCGGCAUCAAAUCUUUCUAUUUCGGGGUCUUCCCAAGCAGAAGAAGAACCAGCUCGGGCUGCCAUGGAGGAACACUGAUAAGUCUCCCUGUAAACAAAGCUAUGAACUUCUGCCUUGUUUGGUGAUUUCUGGUAAAAUCAAGGUGACAAACGUGAUGGGCUCGACGAGGGCUUGAGUUAAGAUGUAAGAUUGGUCAAAAUCGAUGAUUAAAGGAAAGAGGUAUAAGAUUUGUGUUUAGGGGAGCCCAAAACAGAAACAAGAACAGCCCCUCUUCCCUUUUCCUUUUUUUUUUUUUCCUUCCCCCCCCGGGAAGAAGAAAAAGGUCUCCUCCCUUCUAGAAAAAUCUCCUUUUUCCCAAUUUACUAUAUUGCCCAUCAACAAAAAGAUUAAAAAUCCGCAACUUCUUCGCCGAAAUUCCGAUUAGCCCCCAAUUUGCACUCACACAUUCGUGGCGACGAACAUUAUUCAAAUAUACUAAUUAAUAUGUCAAACGUGUCACGACCACGAGGUAACAAAAGUCAACACAUUUUCAUCUUUUCACUUAUCAAUAAAUUUUACGAUGUAAAUUAUAAUAAUUUCUGAAACAAACUUUAAAAGUUCUUAAUUAAAUUUUUCAUAACCAUAAAUCAUUUAUUCUCGAUUUACUCCACAUAACCAUGUAUUUUAAAUUUUCAGGGUAUUACAGCCUUCUUCACUAAGUUCUUUGAAUUUUUCUUUUUGUUGAAGCUUGUAUGUUGAAGCUUUGUGAGUAAAGCAUGUAGGUUGAGGUAGUGCUCCCUUAAUUUCCCGAGUGAGGAAAACUUCUCGUUUGGAGACUUGAAAAAUCCAAGUCACUAAGUGGUCGUGAGACUUCCGAGUAUCAAGGUGCAGUAGCAUAUGGUAGGAGUCCCCCAAGUCUCCGGUCGAGGAAGUUGACGAAUGAGGCAUUUCCUUUCUAAGUGGUAGCCUAAAACUCAUUCUUCAUAUAUAUAUUUGUUAUGAAAGUUGUUAGGCUCAAAGAAGAGGAGGCCUAGGCAAUUUUUUUCUUUUCGAAUUUUCGAAUUUUUGAAUUUCCGAAUUUUUGAAUUUUUGAAUUUCAGAAAAAAAAAAUUAUAUAUAUAUAUAUAUUUUAAAGUUUUGUAGAAGCUUUGGUGUUGAAGCUUUGUAGGUGAAGCUUUGAGGUUGAAGCUUUGUUGGGCACCAUGAAUUGAUUUUGCUUCACACUAUCUUGAUCAAGAUAGUGUGAAGCUUUUGUAGGUGAAGCUUUUGUAGGUGAAGCUUUUGUGUUGAAGCUUUGUAUGUGAAGCUUUUGUGGGUGAAGCUUUUAUGGGUCAAGCUUUUGUGGGUCAAGCUUUUGUGGGUCAAGCUUUUGUGGGUGAAGCUUUUAUGGGUCAAGCUUUUGUGGGUCAAGCUUUUGUAGGUGAAGCUUUUGUGGGUCAAGCUUUUUGUGGUGAAAGCUUUUGUGGUGAAGCUUUUGUAGGUGAAGCUUUUAUGGGUGAAGCUUUUGUAGGGCAAGCUUUUGUGGGUCAAACUUUUGUAGGUGAAGCUUUUGUGUUGAAGCUUUUAUGGGUGAAGCUUUUGUGUUGAAGCUUUUGUAGAUGAAGGUUUGGAGUUGAAGCUUUGUAUGUAAAGCUUUGGAGUUGAAGCUUUUGUUGGGUACCAUGAAUUGAUUUUGCUUCACACUAUCUUAAUCAAGAUAGUGUGAAGCUUUUGAGAAUUUGUAGUUGUCCUCCAUUGAUGAAGCUUUUGUUGGUGAAGCUUUGGAGUUUGAAAGUUUUGUGUAGGUGAAGCUUUGGAGCUUGAAGCUUUUGUUGGCGAAGCUUUUGUUGGUGAAGCUUUUGUUGGGUACCAUGAAUUGAUUUUGCUUCACACUAUCUUGAUCAAGAUAGUGUGAAGCUUUUGAGAAUUUGUAGUUGUCCUCCAUUUGAUGAAGCUUUUGUUGGCAACCAUAUAAAUUGGUUUUGCUUCACACUUGUCUUGAUCAAAGAGUGUGUGAAGCUUUUGAGAAUUGUGGUUGCCUUCCAUUGAUGAAGUUCUUGUUGGCGCCAUAAAUUGAUUUUGCUUCACACUGUCUUGAUCAAGAGUGUGUGAAGCUUUUGAGAAUUGUGGUUGCCCUCUAUUGAUGAAGCUCUUGUUGGCACCAUAAAUUGGUUUUGCUUCACACUGUCUUGAUCAAGAGUGUGUGAAGCUUUUGAGAAUUGUGGUUGCCCUCCAUUGAUGAAGCUCUUGUUGGCACCAUAAAUUGGUUUUGCUUCACACUGUCUUGAUCAAGAGUGUGUGAAGCUUUCUACGAGUUGUAGUGUUUGCAUUGUUACAGAGGGGAAAUGUUUGAAGCAGAUGCAAGAGGGCUGAAUAGCUUGAUCUUCGUAUGCCAUGCACUGAAGUUGUUGUUGGCUUGCAAUAAGACUUUGUUGGUGACUAUAACUCUUGUUGGGCAUAAGUGCUCCCCUAGUUGAGUUGUCAAGCUUGAGGGUUUUUUUGAUUAUUUGUGAAUGCUAGGAGUUCACAUGUACAAGUUGUACCACUCGUCUUCUGGUAGGUGGAAUGAAUGGUGAGUUGCUUUCAUCACUUGGUUGGUGGUACGAAGGUGAGUUCCUUUUUCCUCUGGUUGGUGGCAUGAAAUGGCAAGUUGCCAAAUGAUAUUAGAGUACGGGUUGUACAUUUCAUCACCUGGUUGGUGGCAUGAAAGGAGAGUACAGGUUGUACAUUUCAUCACCUGGUUGGUGGCAUGAAGAUGAGUUCCUUCUUCACCUGGUUGGUGGCAUGAGUGGCAAGUUGCCAAAUGAUAUUAGAGUACGGGUUGUACAUUUCAUCACCUGGUUGGUGGCAUGAAGGAGAGUACGGGUUGUACAUUUCAUCACCUGGUUGGUGGGCAUGAAUGGCAAGUUGCCAAAUGAAUAUUAGAGUACGGGUUGUACAUUUCAUCACCUGGUUGGUGGCAUGAAGAUGAGUUCUUCUUCACCUGGUUGGUGGCAUGAGUGGCAAGUUGCCAAAAUGAUAUUAGAGUACGGGUUGUACAUUUCAUCACCUGGUUGGUGGCAUGAAGGAGAGUACGGGUUGUACAUUUCAUCACCUGGUUGGUGGCAUGAAGAUGAGUUCCUUCUUCACAUUUCAUCACCUGGUUGGUGAGAAUAAGGGCAAGGUGUCUAGGCACAUUGUAGCAAGUGUCGAAUGACACAAAAUAUGUUGAACCCUUUCAAAGCACAGUUGGCUUAUGUAUGAAUGUGUUGGAAUGUAUGAUUGAACGAAUAUACUGUGAAGCUGUUCGUUUAUUUGUAUAGUCUUGUUGACAUAUACUUAGACUUUGUUUCAUGUUGGAAGCAUUCAUGUUGAAGCUUUGAACCCGAGUGUUUCAUUGCUAGGAAUGUAAGAGGAUUAGGAUCAAGUUGUCUAAAUCACCUCUUUAUUGAAUUCAUGCCAAAUAGUCUUCGUUACAUAGGAUGCCGAACGGCUGAAGCUUAACACUUGUACAAUGUGAGUUUACUUGUAAUAGUACUUCAAGUGAUCAGCGUUCCAUGGAUGGCCAAGGGUCUUGCCAUCGGAGCUUCUAAGCUUGUAGGAGCCAGGGCGACUGAUGCCAACAACUUCAAACGGUCCAUCCCAGUUUGGACUAAGUGUUCCUUCACUCGGGACUCUGUCGCAGAGUAAUCUUUUCUUCAAUACCCAGUCCCCCACUUUGAAAGAACGAGGUUUGACCCUUGAGUCAUAGUAGUUGGAGAUGCGCUGCUUGUAGGCGACAUUCCUCAAGUGAGCCUGGUUUCUGUGUUCCUCGACUAGAUCUAAGUUGAGGGUAAGUUGUUUGUCAUUUUCGCUUUGCACGUAGUUCUGGACUCGGAACGUUGCUUGCUCAAGCUCAACUGGGACAACUGCCUCUGUACCAAAGGCAAGUGAGAAUGGGGUUUCUCCUGUUGAUGUCCGAUACGAAGUGCGGUAUGACCAAAGAACUUGGGGUACAAAUUCUGGCCAACAACCUUUAGCCUUGUCCAAGCUGGUUUUCAAAGUUCGCUUGAUUAUUUUGUUGAUGGCUUCAACUUGUCCAUUAGACUGGGGAUGAGCUGGGGAGGCAAAACAUAAGUUGAUGUUGAACUUAGAGCAGAACAUCCUGAACUUAUUGUUGUCGAACUGUCGCCCGUUGUCAGUGACUAUCGCAUUGGGAAUGCCGAAUCUGCAAAGGAUGUUCUUCCAUACGAAGUCUUCUAUUUUUGCCUCAGUAAUGGUUGCCAAGGGUUCUACUUCGGCCCACUUUGUGAAGUAGUCAACUGCAACGAUUGCAUAGCGAACCUUGCCCUUCCCUGCAGGCAUUGGGCCGAUCAAAUCAAGUCCCCAUUGGGCGAAGGGCCAAGGGCUGAUCAUAGGAGUGAGCGGCUCGGGAGGGGAGUGAGGAAUAGUUGCGUAGCGUUGACACUUAUCACAUGAGCGGGAUAUUCUGAUGGCAUCUUGGUGGAGUGUUGGCCAGUAAUAUCCUUGGCGAAAAGCCUUGUGUGCUAGGGAUCGAGAUCCAGCAUGAUCUCCGCAGACUCCUUCAUGUAUUUCCCGAAGGACAGUUUCCGCCUCUGCGGGCGUAAGGCAUCUUAGGUAUGGUAGGUUAAAACCCCCGCUUGUAGAGUUGGUCAUUAAUGAUCAAGUAACGGGUAGCCUUGUAUCGAAUCUGCUUAGCUUGGACUUUGUCAUUUGGAAGGGUGCCAUGAGCAAGGAAUCUAUAAAUCGGGGUAAUCCAACUAUCUCCCUUGUUGUAAGUUGCACACUUCCGCAGCCAUGGUGCUUGGUGCUGCCAACAAUUCGACCUGAAUUUUUCUCCCAAUCUUGUCUUCCACCGCUGAGGCGAGGCGAGCCAAAGCAUCUGCAUGACUGUUUGCCGCUCGAGGAAUUUGGGUGAUCUGGUAGUGGAAGUGCUUGAGCAACAAUUGUGUUUGUGCCAGAUAUGCUGCCAUGGAGCUAUCCUUAGCGUCAAAGUUGUUGGUGACCUGGUUAACCACCAAUUGGGAGUCACUGAAGAUAUCAAUUCGUUUAACCCCAAGGUGUUUGGCCAAACGUAAGCCUGCUAGGAGGGCUUCAUAUUCGGCCUCAUUGUUCGACGCCUUGAAUUUGAAACGAAGAGCAUACUCCAUCGCCACUUUUGUCAGGGUCGUAAGGACUAGUCCUGCUCCACAACCCUGUUGGUUGGACGAGCCAUCAACAUAUAGACUCCAUGCUGGGGCUGUUGGUUCUAUUUUCUGAGCUUCCGAGGGUAAUGAAACCACUUCUUUAGGCGUAGAAACAAUGUCAACAGGAUAUGUGAAGUCGGCGAUGAAGUCUGCCACUGCUUGGCCCUUCUCAGCUGGCUUUGGUUGGUAGGAGAUGUCAAACUCACCCAAUGCUAUCGCCCAUUUGAUCAUUCGCCCGGAAGUGUCAGGACUUUGGAGUAUCCGUCGAAAAGAAUGAUUGGUAAGCACGAUGAUGGAGUGUGCUUGGAAGUAAGGGCGAAGUUUUCGAGCAGACAUGACCAAUGCUAGAGCCAAUUUCUCUCAAUGUUGGAGUAUCGUGUCUCCGCAUCUUGUAAGGCCUUGCUAGCGUAGUAGACAGGUCCGUUCGACAUUACCAUCAUUUCGAAUGAGAACGGAACUUACUGCUGAAGCCGAUACCGACAGAUAGAUAAUGAGAAGUGUCACCAAACCUCAGGUUUGGAGAGCAAAGGGGCUUUACUCAUGUAGUCUUUGAGGUUCUUGAAUGCCUCAGCACAUUCAUCAGUCCAUGUAAUGUACUUCUUACUUCCCUUAAGUGCUUUGAAGAAAUGAGCACAUCUGUCUGUGGCCUUAGAGAUGAACCUAGUUAAGGCUGCCACCUUGCCAGUAAGGCUCUGGAUGUCUUUUGAAGUUACCGGUUCCUUCAUGUCGAGGAUUGCUUUGAUCUUCUCGGGAUUAGCCUCAAUGCCUCGUUGGCUUAUCAUGAAGCCUAAGAAUUUGCCAGAGCCUACGCCGAAGGCACAUUUGUUGGGGUUCAACCUCAUUCGAUACCUCUUCAGAAUGGUGAAAGUUUCAGAUAGGUUGGUGAUGUGUUGGUCAGCAUGUUUGCUCUUGACUAGCAUAUCAUCAACGUAAACUUCCAUGCUCUUCCCAAUCUGUUCGGCGAACAUUGAAUUGACCAGUCUCUGAUAAGUCGCUCCUGCAUUCUUUAGGCCGAAGGGCAUGACUUUAUAGCAAUAUAGUCCCCUGUCAGUAGUGAAGGCUGUGUGUUCUUGGUCCGGAGGGUUCAUGAGGAUUUGGUUGUAUCCUGAGUAAGCAUCCAUGAAGCUCAGGAGUUCACACCCUGCCGUAGAGUCUAUAAGUCUGUCUAUGAGAGGAAGAGGAAAGCUAUCCUUCGGGCAUCCUUUGUUUAGGUCGGUGUAAUCGACACACAUUCUCCACAAGACCUUUUGGAGCAGGAGACUUUCCUUGGUCGGAUUCUUCUUAACAAGGACAACAUUUGCUACCCACGUUGGAUAAUUGACUUCGCGGACGAAGCCUAUGCCUUUGAGUUUUUCAACUUCUGCCUUCAUUGCCUCGUACCGUUCAGCGUCAUAAGAUCUUCGCUUCUGUCUCACUGGCUUGGUCUUGGGGUCAAUACUUAAGCGAUGACAGAUGAUAUCGGGAGAGAUGCCUGGCAUGUCCUCGUAUGACCAGGCGAAGACCUCAGUGUUCUCUUGCAAAAAAGAGAUCAAUGCCAACCGAAUGGGUGGUGACAAGGUGGUACCAAUCUUCACCAUGCGAUCCGGAUAAUCUUUUGAGAUAGAGACCUUCUCCAACUCUUCAGCGGGUUGUGCUUGCUGGGUGAAAGAGUCAUCUCGAGGAUCGUCGGGUUGACUGUUGCCACCGUGAAGAUCCAAGUUGGCUUCGUCUGGGCUGGUCUUUAUGACUUUGGUCAUGUAUAGAAAGGGUUUCCUUGGGCACAGGCAGGUGUUGUUGCUUGACCGAAGUGUUGUAACAUGAUCGUGCACUAAGUUGAUCUCCUCUGAUGUAACCAUUGCCAUAGGGGGUUGGAAAUUUCAUCAACAACAUAUGUGUGGAUACCAUGGCCUUGAGAUCAUUGAUGCCUGUGCGUCCGAAAGAUGACAUUGUAUGCCGUUGGGCAAUCAACCACCAGGAAGUUAGUGGUAAUGGUAGCUGUGUAAGGGCAUGUACCAAUGGUGAAAGGUAAGUGUAUGCUCCCCAAAGGUUGCACGAAUAUCACCGGAGAAGCUUAUCAGAGGGGAAAUCGAGCGAUCGAGCAAGUGUUCAGCUACAUUAAAUGCUCUGAAAGCUUCAGCAAACAUGAUAUUGAUCGAAGCCCCCGUGUCUACCAGGAUUCGUCGUACUUCAAAGUUGGCUAUGUGAGCUUCCCACGAUCAGUGGGUCGUUGUGAGGGUAGAUGAUACCUCUUUCUUCCUCAGGGUAGAAACAUAUUGGAUCCCAGUUAGGCUUUUGAUACUUACCUCCCCUGAUGUCUUCCACGUGAAACACUUGGUGGCCAGACCUUAAAGCUCGUUCACUAUUUUUCAUGGCCCUGUUGGAAGAUUUAGAUAUGGGUGUGCCACCACUUAUGGAAUAUAUCACAUUUUACUUGGCGUUGGUUACGGUUACCCUUUGGAGGGUGAAGGAGGAAUUGAUCAAUUUUUCCUUCACGUGCCAAAGCUUCAAUAUGAUCACGAAGGGUGAUACACUUCUCGCCGUCAUGGCCGUUAUGCUCGUGGUAGCAGCAAAACGUGCCCGUGUUCUUCGUGGGCUUGUAAAUCCGGGUGCCUCGGCUUUGGCUUCGGUUUCAAGGUGUGCUAUGCUGGGGUAAAUGGCCAUGCAUGUGGCGUUCAAAGGUGUGUAUGCCUUAUACCUCGAGGUAGGGGCUGUCCUGACACGUGCUUGACCCACUGUGUUGACUGCCUGGGGUCGAGGAUUAUCAUGGCGAUACCCUUGGUUAUCGCGGUAGUGUCCUGUUGAUGCACAAAAUCAGCGAAGACUUUGGUACAACAGAAGUGUCAGGUUUUGUGACCUUCGUGGUUUCUUCGGUCACUAGUGAGGAUAAGUACGUAAAUGAAUAGAGACAGAGAAGCAACACAGGAUGUACGUAGUUCACCCAGAUUAUCUACGUCCACGGAGUAGAGGAGUUCUUAUUAGUAGUGAAGGGCUUACACAAGUACAAGGAUCAAGCUCUCAAUUUAGUGAGUUCUUGUGAAUGAUUUAACACAAAUGGCAUUAGGCAAUAUUGUGGAGGUAUGACCCUAUUUAUAGAAAAACUUGUAGCUUUGUCACAUUGACAUGUGUCAUGUUAUGAUGGUUCUUAUGUUGACACGUGCUGCGCUCUGAUUGGCUUCUAAUCUUGACACGUGUCGAGUAGGAUUGGCCUCAUGGUCGGAGGGGAACUCUUCUGGGUCUUGACAUAUAACGUGGCCCGGUGCUCGGUAGUUUCGGGAUUGGUCAAGAUGGUACAAACAGUGCUCCCUAAGUUUCCCGAGUAAGGGAAACUCCUCGGUUGGGGACUUACAAGAUCCAAUCCCUUNNNNNNNNNNNNNNNNNNNNNNNNNNNNNNNNNNNNNNNNNNNNNNNNNNNNNNNNNNNNNNNNNNNNNNNNNNNNNNNNNNNNNNNNNNNNNNNNNNNNNNNNNNNNNNNNNNNNNNNNNNNNNNNNNNNNNNNNNNNNNNNNNNNNNNNNNNNNNNNNNNNNNNNNNNNNNNNNNNNNNNNNNNNNNNNNNNNNNNNNNNNNNNNNNNNNNNNNNNNNNNNNNNNNNNNNNNNNNNNNNNNNNNNNNNNNNNNNNNNNNNNNNNNNNNNNNNNNNNNNNNNNNNNNNNNNNNNNNNNNNNNNNNNNNNNNNNNNNNNNNNNNNNNNNNNNNNNNNNNNNNNNNNNNNNNNNNNNNNNNNNNNNNNNNNNNNNNNNNNNNNNNNNNNNNNNNNNNNNNNNNNNNNNNNNNNNNNNNNNNNNNNNNNNNNNNNNNNNNNNNNNNNNNNNNNNNNNNNNNNNNNNNNNNNNNNNNNNNNNNNNNNNNNNNNNNNNNNNNNNCAACACAUUUUCAUCUUUUCAUAUCAAAUAAAUUUUACGAUGUAAAUUAUAUAAUUUCUGAAACAAACUUUAAAAGUUCUUAAUUAAAUUUUUCUAACCAUAAAUCAUUUAUUCUCGAUUUACUCCACAUAACAUGUAUUUUAAAUUUUCAGGGUAUUACAGCCUUCUCACUAAGUUCUUUGAAUUUUCUUUUUGUUGAAGCUUGUGUAUGUUGAAGCUUUGUGAGUAAAGCAUGUAGGUUGAGGUAUGCUCCCUUAAUUCCCGAGUGAGGAAAACUUCUCGUUUGGAGACUUGAAAAAUCCAAGUCACUAAGUGGUCGUGAGACUUCCGAGUAUCAAGGUGCAGUAGCAUAUGGUAGGAGUCCCCCAAGUCUCCGGUCGAGGAAGUUGACGAUGAGGCAUUUCCUUUCAAGUGGUAGCCUAAAACUCAUUCUUCAUAUAUAUUUGUUAUGAAGUUGUUAGGCUAAAAAGAGGAGGCCUAGGCAAUUUUUUUCUUUUCGAAUUUUCGAAUUUUUGAAUUUCCGAAUUUUUGAAUUUUUGAAUUUCAGAAAAAAAAAAUUAUAUAUAUAUAUAUAUUUUAAAGUUUUGUAGAAGCUUUGGUGUUGAAGCUUUGUAGGUGAAGCUUUGAGGUUGAAGCUUUGUUGGGCACCAUGAAUUGAUUUUGCUUCACACUAUCUUGAUCAAGAUAGUGUGAAGCUUUUGUAGGUGAAGUAGGUGAAGCUUUUGUGUUGAAGCUUUGUAUGUGAAGCUUUUGUGGGUGAAGCUUUUAUGGGUCAAGCUUUUGUGGGUCAAGCUUUUGUGGGUGAAGUUUUAUGGGUCAAGCUUUUGUGGGUCAAGCAUUUGUAGGUGAAGCUUUUUUGUGUAGGGCAAGCUUUUGUGGGUCAACUUUGUGAGGUGAAGCUUUGUGUUGAAGCUUUUAUGGGUGAAGCUUUUGUGUUGAAGCUUUUGUAGAUGAAUGAUUUUUGUAUGUGAAGCUUUGGAGUGAAGUUGAGUUUUUUUUCACACUAUCUAAUCAAGAUAGUGUUAAGCUUUAAUUUGUAGUUCCUCCAUUGAUGAAGCUUUUGUUGGUGAAGCUUUGAUGAGUUUUGUAGGUGAAGCUUUGGAGCUGAAGCUUUUGUUGGCGAAGCUUUUGUUGGUGAAGCUUUUGUUGGGUACCAUGAAUUGAUUUUGCUUCACACUAUCUUGAUCAAGAUAGUGUGAAGCUUUUGAGAAUUUGUAGUUGAACUCAUUUGAUGAAGCUUUUGUUGGCAUCAUAAAUUGGUUUUGCUUCACAUUGUCUUAAUUUAAGAGUGUGAAGCUUUUGAGAAUUUGGUUGCCUUCAUUGAUGAAGUUCUUGUUGGCGCCAUAAAUUGAUUUUGCUUCACACUAUCUUGAUCAAGAGUGUGUGAAACUUUUGAGAAUUGUAGUUGCCCUCUAUUGAUGAAGCUCUUGUUGGCACCAUAAAUUGGUUUUGCUUCAUACUGGCUUGAUCAAGAGUGUGUGAACCUUUUGAGAAUUGUGGUUACCUCCAUUGAUGAACUCUUGUUGGCACCAAAAUUUUGCUUCACACUGUCUUUGAUCAAGAGUGUGUGAAGCUUUCUACGAGUUGUAGGUUUGCAUUGUUACAGAGGGGAAAUGUUUGAAGCUGAUGCAAGAGAGCUGAAUAGCUGAUCUUCGUAUGCAUGCACUGAAGUUCUGUUGGCUUGCAAUAAGACUUUGUUGGUGACUAAACUCUUGGGCAUAAGUGCUCCCCUAGUUGAGUUGUCAAUCUUGAGGGUUUUUGAUUAUUUAUGAAUGCUAGGAGUUCACGUGUAUAAGUUGUACCACUCAUCUUCUGGUAGGUGGAAUGAAUGGUGAGUUGCUUUCAUCACUUGGUUGGUGGUACGAAGUGAGUUCCUUUUUUCCUCUGGUUGGUGGCAUGAAUGGCAAGUUGCCAAAUGAUAUUAGAGUACGGGUUGUACAUUUCAUCACCUGGUUGGUGGCAUGAAGGAGAGUACAGGUUGUACAUUUCAUCACUGGUUGGUGCAUGAAGAUGAGUUCAUUCUUCACCCUUUGGUGGCAUGGUGGCAGUUGCCAAAUGAUAUUUAGAGUACGGGUUGUACAGUUGUCAUUCAUCCUGGUUGGUGGCAUGAGAUGGCAAGUUGCCAAAUGAUAAUUAGAGUACGGGUUGUACUUUCAUCAACUGGUUGGUGGCAUGAAGAUGAGUUCUUUCUUCACUGUUGGUGGCAUGGUGGUAAGUUGUCAAAUGAUAUUAGAGUACGGGUUGACAUUUCAUCACCUGGUUGGUGAGAAGAGAGAGUACGGGUUGUACAUUCAUCACCUGGUUGGUGGCAUGAAGAUGAGUUUCUUCUCACAUUUCAUCACUUGGUUGGUGAGAAUAAGGGCAAGGUGUCUAGGCACAUUGUAGCAAGUGUCGAAUGACACAAAAUAUGUUGAAUCCUUUCAAAGCACAGUUGGCUUAUGUAUGAAUGUGUUGGAAUGUAUGAUUGAACGAAUAUACUGUGAAGCUGUUCGUUAAUUUGUAUAGUCUUAUUAACAUAUACUUAAAUUUUGUUUCAUGUUGGAAGCAUUCAUAUUGAAGCUUUGAACCCGAGUGUUUCAUUGCUAGGAAUGUAAGAAGAUUAUGAUCAAGUUGUCUAAAUCACCUCUUUAUUGAAUUCAUGCCAAAUAGUCUUCGUUACAUAGGAUGUCGAACGGCUGAAGCUUAUGAGUUUACUUGUAAUAGUACUUCAAGUGAUUAGCGUUCCAUGGAUGGCCAAUGGUCUUGCCAUCGGAGCUUCUAAACUUGUAGGAGUGAGGGCGACUGAUGCCAACAACUUCAAACGGUCCAUCCCAGUUUGGACUAAGUGUUCCUUCACUCGGGACUCUGUUGCAGAGUAAUCUUUUCUUCAAUACCCAGUCCCCCACUUUGAAAGAACGAGGUUUGACCCUUGAGUCAUAGUAGUUAGAGAUACGCUGUUUGUAGGCGACAUUCCUCAAGUGAGCCUGGUUUCUGUGUGUUCCUCGACUAGAUCUAAGUUGAGGGUAAGUUGUUUGUCAUUUUCGCUUUGCACGUAGUUCUAGACUCGAAGCGUUGCUUGCUCAAGCUUAACUGGGACAAUUGCCUCUAUACUAAAGGCAAGUGAAAAUGGGGUUUCUCCUGUUGAUGUUCGAUACGAAGUGCGGUAUGACCAAAGAACUUAAGGUACAAAUUCUGGCCAACAACCUUUAGCCUUGUCCAAGCUGGUUUUCAAAGUUCGCUUGAUUAUUUUGUUAAUGGCUUCAACUUGUCCAUUAGACUGGGGAUAAGCUGGGGAGGCAAAACAUAAGUUGAUAUUGAACUUAGAGCAGAAUAUCCUGAACUUAUUGUUGUCGAACUAUCGACCGUUGUCAGUGACUAUCGCAUUGGGAAUGCCGAAUCUGCAAAGGAUGUUCUUCCAUACGAAGUCUUCUAUUUUUGCCUCAGUAAUGAUUGCCAAGGGUUCUACUUCGGCCCACUUUGUGAAGUAGUCAACUGCAACGAUUGCAUAGCGAACCUUGCCCUUCCCUGCAGGCAUUAGGCCGAUCAAAUCAAAUCUCCAUUGGGCGAAGGGCCAAUGGCUGAUCAUAGGAGUGAACGGCUCAGGAGGGGAGUAAGGAAUAGUUACGUAGCGUUGACACUUAUCACAUGAGCGGGAUAUUCUGAUGGCAUCUUGAUGGAGUGUUGGCCAGUAAUAUCCUUGGCGAAAAGCCUUAUGUGCUAGGGAUCAAGAUCCAGCAUGGUCACCGCAGACUCCUUCAUGUAUUUCCCGAAGGACAGUUUCCGCCUUUGCGGGCGUAAGGCAUCUUAGGUAUGGUAGGUUAAAACCCCGUUUGUAGAGUUGGUAAUUAAUGAUCAAGUAACGGGUAGCCUUGUAUCGAAUUUGCUUAGCUUAGACUUUGUCAUUUGGAAGGGUGCCAUGAGCAAUGAAUCUAUAAAUCGGGGUAAUCCAACUAUCUCCUUGUUGUAAGUUGCAUAUUUCCGCAGCCAUAGUGCUUGGUGCUGCCAACAAUUCGACUUGAAUUUUUAUCCCAAUCUUGUCUUCCACCGCUGAGGCGAGGCGAGCCAAAGCAUCUGCAUGACUUUUUGCCGCUCAAGGAAUUUGGGUGAUCUGGUAGUGGAAGUGCUUGAACAAAAAUUGUGUUUAUGCCAGAUAUGUUGCCAUGGAGCUAUCCUUAGCGUCAAAGUUGUUGGUGACCUGGUUAACCACCAAUUGGGAGUCACUGAAGAUAUCAUUUGUUUAACCCCAAGGUGUUUGGCCAAACGUAAGCCUGCUAGGAGGGCUUCAUAUUCGGCCUCAUUGUUCGACGCCUUAAAUUUGAAACGAAGAGCAUACUCCAUUGCUACUUUGUCAGGGGUCGUAAGGACUAGUCCUACUCCACAACCCUGUUGGUUGGACGAGACAUCAACAUAUAGACUCCAUGCUGGGGCUGUUGGUUCUAUUUUUUGAGCUACCGAGGGUAAUGAAAUAAUUUCUUUAGGCAUAUAAACAAUGUCAAUAAGAUAUGUGAAGUCGAUGAUGAAGUCUGCCACUGUUUGGCCUUUCUCAGCUGGCUUUGGUUGGUAGGAGAUGUCAAACUCACCCAAUGCUAUCGCCCAUUUGAUCAUUCGCCCGGAAGUGUCAGGACUUUGGAGUAUCCGUCGAAAAGAAUGAUUGGUAAGCACGAUGAUGGAGUGUGUUUGGAAGUAAGGGCAAAGUUUUCGAGCAGACAUGACCAAUGCUAGAGCCAAUUUCUCAAUGUUGGAGUAUCGUGUCUCUGCAUCUUGUAAGGCCUUGUUAGCAUAGUAGACAGGUCGUUCGACAUUACCAUCAUUUCGAAUGAGAACGGAACUUACUGCUGAAGCUAAUACCGACAGAUAGAUAACGAGAGUGUCACCAACCUCAGGUUUGGAGAGUAAAGGGGGCUUUACUCAUGUAGUCUUUAAGGUUCUUGAAUGCCUCAGCACAUUCAUCAGUCCAUGUAAUGUACUUCUUACUUCCCUUAAGUGCUUUGAAGAAAUGAGCACAUUUGUCGGUAGCCUUAGAGAUGAACCUUGUUAAGGCUGCCACCUUGCCAGUAAGGCUCUAGAUGUCUUUUGAAGUUACCGGUUCCUUCAUGUCGAGGAUUGCUUUGAUCUUCUCGGGAUUAGCCUCAAUGCCUCGUUGGCUUAUCAUGAAGCCUAAGAAUUUGCCAGAGCCUACGCCGAAGGCAUAUUUGUUGGGGUUUAACCCUCAUUCGAUACCUCUUCAGAAUGGUGAAAGUUUUAGAUAGGUUGGUGAUAUGUUGGUCAGCAUGUUUGCUCUUGACUAGCAUAUCAUCAACGUAAACUUCCAUGCUCUUCCCAAUCUGUUCGGCGAACAUUGAAUUGACCAGUCUCUGAUAAGUCGCUCCUGCGUUCUUUAGGCUGAAUGGCAUGACUUUAUAGCAAUAUAGUCCCCUGUCAGUAGUGAAGGCUGUGUGUUCUUGGUCUAGAGGGUUCAUGAAGAUUUGGUUGUAUCUUGAGUAAGCAUCCAUGAAGCUUAGGAGUUCACACCCUACCGUAAAGUCUAUAAGUCUGUCUAUGAGAGGAAGAGGAAAGCUAUCAUUCGGGCAUCAUUUGUUUAGGUCGGCGUAAUCGACACACAUUCUCCACUAGCCUUUUAGAGCAUGAGGCUUUCCUUGGUCGGAUUCUUCUUAACAAGGACAACAUUUGCUACCCACGUUGGAUAAUUGACUUCGCGAACAAAGCCUAUGCCUUUGAGUUUUUCAACUUCUGCCUUCAUUGCCUCGUACCGUUCAGCGUCAUAAGAUCUUCGCUUCUGUCUCACUGGCUUGGUCUUGGGGUAAAUACUUAAGCGAUGACAGAAUAUAUCGGGAGAGAUGCUUGACAUGUCCUCGUAUGACCAGGCGAAGAUCUCAGUGUUCUCUUGCAAAAAAGUGAUCAAUGCCAACCAAAUGGGUGGUGACAAGGUGGUACCAAUCUUCACCAUGUGAUCCGGAUAAUUUUUUGAGAUAGAGACUUUUUCCAACUCUUCAGCGGGUUAUGCUUGCUGGGUGAAAGAGUCAUCUCGAAGAUCAUCGGGUUGACUGUUGCCACCGUGAAAAUCCAAGUUGACUUCGUCUGGGCUGGUCUUUAUGAUUUGGUCAUGUAUAGAAAGGGUUUCCUUGGGCACAGGUAGGUGUUGUUGCUUGACCGAAGUGUUGUAACAUGAUCGUGCACUAAGUUGAUCUCUUCUGAUGUAACCAUUGCCAUAGGGGGUUGGAAAUUUCAUCAACAACAUAUGUGUGGAUACCAUGGCCUUGAGAUCAUUGAUGCCUGUGCGUCCGAAGAUGACAUUGUGUGCCGUUGGGCAAUCAACCACCAAGAAGUUAGUGGUAAUGGUAGCUGUGUAAGGGCAUGUACCAAUGGUGAAAGGUAAGUGUAUGCUCCCCAAAGGUUGUACAAUAUCACCGGAGAAGCUUAUCAGAGGGGAAAUCGAGCGGUCGAGCAAGUGUUCAGCUACAUUAAGUGCCCUGAAAGCUUCAGCAAACAUGAUAUUGACCAAAGCCCUCGUGUCUACUAGGAUUCGUCGUACUUCAAAGUUGGCUAUGUGAGCUUCCACGAUCAGUGGGUCGUUGUGAGGGUAGAUGAUACAUCUUUCUUCCUCAGGGUAGAAACAUAUUGGAUCCUAGUUAGGCUUUUGAUACUUACCUCCCCUGAUGUCUUCCAUGUGAAACACUUGGUGGCCAGACCUUAAAGCUCGUUCACUAUUUUUCAUGGCCCUGUUGGAAGAUUUAGAUAUGGGUGUGCCACCACUUAUGGAAUAUAUCACAUUUACUUGGUGUAGGUUACGGUUACCCUUUGGAGGGUGAAGGAGGAAUUGAUCAAUUUUUCCUUCACAUGCCAAAGCUUCAAUAUGAUCAUGAAGGGUGAUACACUUCUCGCCGUCAUGGCCGUUAUGCACGUGGUAGCAGCAAAACAUGCCCGUGUUCUUCGUGGGCUUGCAAUCCGGGUGCCUCGGCUUUGGCUUCGGUUUCAAGUAUGCUAUGCUGGGGUAAAUGGCCAUGCAUGUGGCGUUCAAAGGUGUGUAUGCCUUAUACCUCGAGGUAGGGGCUGUCCUGACAUGUGCUUGACCCACUGUGUUGACUGCCUGGGGUCGAGGAUUAUCAUGACGAUACCCUUGGUUAUCGCGGUAGUGUCCUGUUGAUGCACAAAAUCAGCGAAGACUUUGGUACAACAGAAAGUGUCAGGUUUUGUGACCUUCGCUUGGUUGCUUCGGUCACUAGUGAGGAUAAGUACGUAAAUGAAUAGAGACAGAGAAGCAAACACAGGAUGUACGUAGUUCACCCAGAUUAUCUACGUCCACGGAGUAGAGGAGUUCUUAUUAGUAGUGAAGGGCUUACACAAGUACAAAGGAUCAAGCUCUCAAUUUAGUGAGUUCUUGUGAAUGAUUUAACACAAAUGGCAUUAGGCAAUAUUGUGGAGGUAUGACCCCUAUUUAUAGAAAAACUUGUAGCUUUGUCACAUUGACAUGUGUCAUGUUAUGAUUGGUUCUUGAUGUUGACACGUGCUGCGCUCUGAUUGGCUUCUAAUCUUGACACGUGUCGAGUAGUGAUUGGCCUCAUGGUCGGAGGGGAACUCUUCUGGGUCCUUGACAGUAUAACGUUGGCCGGUGCUCGGUAGUUUCGGGAUUGGUCAAGUAUGGUACAAACAGUGCUCCCCUAAGUUCCCGAGUAAGGGAAACUCCUCGGUUGGGGACUUACAAGAUCCAAUCCCUUGAGUAAUCACGAAACUUCUAAGUACCGAAGUGUGGUCUGAUCUUCAUCUGCCCUUCUCUGGAAGUACUUUUCCUCCAUCCGGGAAUGGUGUAUUUAGCUGAUGUUGACGCACAAGGUAAUGUAUCAAUUUCACUUGAAGUUUAGUUGUAGUUUCGGGCUUAGUCAAGUGUGAUACAAACCCUAUAGUAGGAGUCCCCCAAGUCGCCGAGCUAGGAGAUCUGCCGAAAGAGGUGACAGACAAGGUAAGCAGUCAAACUUCCAAGUAAGCAACCCAGGAUCAGAGGUUUGACUUCGGCUUCCGGUUGAUUGUUCUCAUUCUCCUUGUCUCUCAUUCAACUGCCAGGAUAAGGAGAAGCAAAUGGAUAAGAGAUGAUAUGAGAUACUUUUGCUUUUUGGUGUGGCUUAUUUGCUGAGGUAUUAUCGGGGGGAAAUAAAGCUGAGUAUUUCGAGAGGUUAUGUUGAGGGUUGAGCAUUUUUGCAGGUUUGCCUGUCCGUUGAGGAGGGAGGUCAAUGUAUAUAGGGAUUUCCCAAUAACAAGUAGUAAUGCUAUUCCUUUACCCUUCUUGGUCACAGCAAUGUAGUGGGAGCUGCCAGCUUCACGUGUUUUAAUUUUGUCAGAGCACUUUGAAAAGUGGUAUGUGGUAUCUGGAAAGCUGAUAUUACGUGUGAAGAUUACAGACAAGCUUUAUCUAAGGAAAUCUGGCUCUCGAAGUUCUGAGAGUUGUGCCUCUUCGGUUUUCGAACAAGCAAUCCCGUCGAGGAUCUGACUCUCGAGAUUCGGAAAGCGGUGCUACUCCGGUUUUUGAGAAAGUAAUUAUGUUGGGAGUCUUUUCUCGAAUGUGAGUAAAGGUUGGACGUUCUUGCCAACCUGUCUUGCCGCAAAACACGGAGGUCGACACACAUAGGGACUUUCCAGUUGUCAAGCAGUGGUGCUGUUCCUUUACCCUUAUGGGUAAUAGUAGGGUAGCUGGAACUUCGAAAUUCUCGUGCCUAAACUUUGUCAGAGAUCUUUGACAAAGUUAUAUGUGGUACCCGAGGAGUUGAUGGUGCAUAUGGAGAGCGGUGAUUGAACAGUAAGAUUCACGUGCUUUCUACUUCACCAGAAAUCUUCGACAGAGUGCCCGUAAUUUCCGCAAAGCUGAUUGUGCAUGUGACAGGUGCUGACGAGGCUGAAAAAGCAGGUGCUUCUUCGAUUUCUGAGAUCGGCCCUCGUGGUCUCUGAGCAGCCCAGCUUUUGAGAAAGCAAACGCCUCUUCGAUUUCUGAGAUCGGCCCUCGUGGUCUCUGAGCAGCCCAGCUUUUGAGAAAGCAAACGCCUCUUCGAUUUCUGAAGCUCCGUCGAGUGCAGAUUUUUUAUAGAGGCUGGCAUUAAGUUCCACAGCACACUUGAAUCUCUACCAGUAGAAGCUCAUUUCUUGCACUUCUAAGAUCUUGAUUUGUCUGACCUCUUCCUUCUUCAACACAUUUGAAAAUGUCUGGACCCUCCGACCGUCGUUUUGACUUGAACCUUGGAGAAGAGACAGCCACGCCUUCUCCAGACAACAUAUGGCGCCCAUCCUUCAUAUCCCCUACUGGUCCUCUUACCGUUGGGGAUUCUGUGAUGAAGAAUGAUAUGACCGCUGCAGUGGUGGCCAGGAACCUUCUCACUCCCAAAGAUAACAGACUACUUUCCAAACGGUCUGAUGAGUUGGCUAUUAAGGACUCUCUGGCUUUUAGUGUUCAGUGUGCAGAUUCUGUGUCUAAUAUGGCCCAACGCCUAUUUGCUAGAACCCGCCAAGUUGAAUCAUUGGCUGCUGAAGUGAUGAGUCUCAAACAGGAGAUUAGAGGGCUCAAGCAUGAGAAUAAGCAGUUGCACCGGCUCGCCCAUGACUAUGCUACAAACAUGAAGAGGAAGCUUGACCAGAUGAAGGAAUCUGAUGGUAAGGUUUUACUUGAUCAUCAGCGGUGUGUGGGUUUGUUCCAAAGGCAUUUAUUGCCUUCGUCCUCUGGGGCUGUACCUGGUAAUGAAGCUUCAAAUGAUGAACCUCCAAUGCCUCCUCCUUCUGGGGUUUUGUCAAGUACUGGGGCUCCGGAUAACCACCCUCCGGUGCUUUCUCUUUCUGGGGCUCUACCGACUGCUGAGACUUCCCCUAAGCAACCUUUGUGAAGGCUCCCUUUUGUUUGUUUUAUUUUGACUCAUGUAUAUGUACAUAUUUGUGGCUUAUCGAAAAUAUUAAUAAAUAAGCUUUGCUUCAUUUCAACAUAUUGUGUUAAAUACACCAAAGCCUUCUUCAUAAAGUUCUUUGAAUUUUAGCUUUUGUUGAAACCUGUAUUGUUGAAGCUUUGUGAGUGAAGUAUGUAGUUUGAGGUAGUGUUCCCUUAAUUUCCCGAGUGAGGAAAACUUCUCGGUUGAGACUUGAAAAAUCCAAGUCACUGAGUGGUUGUGAGACUGCCGAGUAUCAAGGGUGCAGUAGCAUAUGGUGGGAGUCCCCCAAGUCUUCAGGCGAAGAGAGUUGCCGAAUGAGGUGUCUCGCGUGUUACUAAUUUGUCAAAGUAACGAAUCCUUGUUUUCGAUGUCACACAUUCGUAUAUGCUUUAUCUAAAAAUAUUUCCAACUUUUUGUGUGUUUGAUGCUGCAUGCUAUUGACUAGACAAGAUCAAGUGCAAUUAGUAGAUUUUCUCUCUUUUCAUCUUUUCUUUGGUGGAAUUGCUUUUCGUUUCCACUAAUCAGCCUGAGUGUGGAUGCAAGAUAACACCUUUCUCUAUAGCUCAAAAUGCAAAGUCGUCUUCAUGAAAGUUUUUCCUUAUCUUGUGAACUACAACAUAUCCAAAUUUGAGAUCCAUCGGAGUAGUACAACUUCAGAAAUUCAAGUAUGAUGAGUAACUGUUCAUCAAUGUUCUGUUAAUCCGUCAGACUUGUUGUGAGCUUCGAAACUCCAUUUUCUCUUGUUCAGAUCAACAUACUUUCUUCAUCGAAGUUGUUCCUCAGCUUGUGAACUACAACAUAUCCAAAUUUGAGAUCCCUCGGAGCAGUAUAACUCCAGAAAUCCAGGUAUGAUGAAUGACUGGUUAUUAUUUUUCUGUCAACCCGUCAGAUUUUUUGUGAGCUUCGAAACUCCAUUUUCUCUUGUUCAGAUCGGUAUGCUUUCUUCAUUGAAGUUGUUCCUCAGUUCGUGAACUACAACAUAUCCAAAUUUGAGAUCCCUCGGAGCAGUAUAACUCCAGAAAUCCAGGUAUGAUGAAUGACUGGUUAUUAUUUUUCUGUCAACCCGUCAGAUUUGUUGUGAGCUUCGAAAUUCAGAAUGAACUAAUGGUUAAAAAUUCAGAAUGAACUAAUGGUUAAAAAUUCAACAUAUCCAUUUUCUAUUGUUCAGAUCGGCAUGCUUUCUUCAUUGAAGUUGUUCCUCAUCGUCUCUUUCAUAACAUAUCAAAAAUUCAGAAUGAACUAAUGGUUAAAUAUUUCCAGAUCUUCGAAACAUCACAGCAGCUUCGAAAUCUGCAAGAAUCCGACUGUCAUGUUUGGAGCUUCAACACUUUAAUUUCCGUCGCUCAAACAGAAAUGGUUCCUUCUUGAAAGUUGUUCAUAUGCUCAAGAACUAUAGGGUGUCCAAAAUUCAGCUCCAUUGGAGAAGAGCAGAGGUUGCAGAAAUUUGAUAGAUGAAAGGAGGCGGAAGAGGGAGAGAGAGAAAAAGUCUCUUGGGUUGGAUUUCUAUUUUGGGGCAGAUUCCAAUUUUUGUAGCACCUUCAUUAUUGAUGAAUUGCUUGUACUUUUGUCCAUUAUGAAACUUGGGACUUUGGCUUGUUGUUGGAUCUAUUAUAAUAUGUUUGGGAAACAUAUAUAAGUGAAUAAAUAAGAAGGAAAAUUUUGGCCCUUGUGGGUGUAAAACAAAAAAUGUUUAUGUUUACCCAAGUGUUUUUGUACAAGUUCAAAGGGCAUCUUGGGUUUUGUGAACAAAAUUUGUUUUUGGAGCAAGGUUUUUGUGUGAAGCUUUGUAGGUGAAGCUUUGUGUGAAGCUUGUGUUGAAGCUUUUCUUUGAGGUGAAGCUUUGAUGGUGAAGCUUUGUAGAUGAAGCUUUUUGAUGGUGAAAGCUUUUGGUGAAGCUUUUGGUGAAAGUAUGUAGAUGGGAGCUUUCUAGGUGAAGAUUUUUAGGUGAAGCUUUGAUGGUGAAGCUUUUGAAUUUGGUGAAGCUUUUUUAGGUGAAGCUUUGUGGGUGAAGCUUUGGAGGUGAAGCUUUUCGGGUGAAGCUGUUUUUUUUUUUUUUUUUUUUUUUUUUUUGGCGCUUGACACGGUCUUCAUUUGCUUGUUUUGUAGUGACUGUGGAAGACGGAUUGCUUUCUGAUUGAGAAGGGUUCCGGCAUCGCUUGCUAUGAAUGUAAAAGAGUGAGGGCUGAGUUGGCUAAAUUACCUCUUUAUUGAAUUCAUUGCCAAAUGGCCUUCAUUACAUAGGAUGCCGAACGGCUAUAGCUCAACACUUGUACAUCGUGAGUCUAUUUGUAGUAGUACUUCAAGUGAUCAGCGUUCCAUGGAUGGCCAAGGGUCUUGCCAUCGGAGCUUCUAAGUGUGUAAGAGCCAGGGCGACUGAUGCCAAUGACUUCAUACGGUCCAUCCCAGUUUGGACUAAGUGUGCCUUCACUCGGGACUCUGUCGCAGAGUAAUCUUUUCUUUAAGACCCAGUCUCCUAUUUUGAAAGAACGAGGCUUGACCCUAGAGUCAUAAUAGUUGGAGAUGCGGUGCUUGUAGGCGACAUUCCUCAAGUGAGCUUGGUUUCUGUGUUCCUCGACUAAAUCCAAGUUGAGGGUGAGUUGUUUGUCAUUUUCACUUUGAAUGUAGUUCUGGACUCGGAAUGUUGCUUGCUCGAGCUCAACAGGGACAACCGCCUCUGUGCCAAAGGCAAGUGAGAAUGGAGUUUCUCCUGUUGAAGUCCGAUAUGAAGUGCGAUAUGACCAAGAACUUGGGGUACAAAUUCUGGCCAACAGCCUUUAGCUUUGUCCAAGCUGGUUUUCAAAGUGCGCUUGAUUAUUUUGUUGAUGGCCUCAACUUGUCCAUUAGACUGGGGAUGAGCUGGAGAGGCAAAGCAUAAGUUGAUGUUGAACUUAGAGCAGAACAACCUGAACUUCUUGUUGUCAAAACUGUCGCCCAUUGUCAGUGACUAUCGCAUUGGGAAUGCCGAAUCUACAAAGGAUGUUCUUCCACACGAAGUCUUCUAUCUUUGCCUCAGUAAUGGUUGCCAAGGGUUCUACUUCGGCCCACUUUGUGAAGUAGUCCACUGCAACGACUGCGUAACAGACUUUGCCCUUCCCUGCCGGCAUUGGGCCGAUCAAAUCAAGUCCUCACUGGGCGAAGGGCCAAGGGCUGAUCAUAGGAGUAAGAGGCUCUGGAGGGGAAUGAGGAAUAGUUGCAUAUCGUUGACAUUUGUCACAUGAGCGGGAUACUUUGAUGGCAUCCUGGUGGAGUGUUGGCCAGUAAUAUCCUUGGCGAAAAGUCUUGUGUGAUAGGGACCGAGAUCCAGCAUGAUCUCCACAGACUCCCUCAUGUAUUUCCCGAAGGAUGAUUUCCGCCUCGGCAGGCGUAAGACACCUUAAGUAUGGCAGGCUAAAACCUCGCUUAUAGAGUUGAUCAUUGAUGAUCAGGUAGCGAGUAGACUUGUAUCGAAUUUGCUUAGCCUGGACUUUAUCAUUUGGGAGGGUGCCAUGAGCAAGGAAAUUAUAGAUCGGGGUGAUCCAACUAUCCCCCUGUUGUAAGUUGCAUACUUCUGCGGCCAUGGUGCUUGGUGUUGCCAACAGUUCGACAUGAAUUUUUCUUCCAAUCUUGUCUUCCACAGCUGAGGCGAGGCGAGCCAGGGCGUCUGCAUGACUGUUUGCCGCUCGAGGAACUUGGGUGAUCUGGUAGUGGAAGUGCUUGAGCAAAAGUUGUGUUUGCGCAAGAUAUGCUGCCAUGGAGCUGUCCUUAGCAUCAAAGUUGUUGGUAACCUGGUUGACCACUAAUUGGGAGUCACUGAAAAUAUCAAUUUGUUUAACCCCGAGGUGUUUUGGCCAAACGUAAUCCUGCUAGAAGGGCUUCAUACUCGGCCUCAUUGUUUGAUGCCUUGAAUUUGAAACGAAGAGCAUACUCCAUUGCUACUUUGUCGGGCGUAGUCAAGACUAGUCCCGCUCCACAGCCCUGUUGGUUGGAUGAGCCAUCAACAUACAGACUCCAUGCUGAGGUCGUUGAUUCUACUUUCUGAGCUACCGAUGGUAAUGAAGCUACUGCUUCAGGUGUAGAAGCAAUGUCAACAGGAUAUGUGAAGUCGGCGAUGAAAAUCUGCUACUGCUUGACCUUUUUCGGCUGGUUUUGGUUGGUAGGAGAUGUCAAACUCACCCAAUGCUAUCGCCCAUUUGAUCAUUGGCCCAGACGUGUCAGGACUCUGGAGUAUCUGUCGAAGAGGGUGAUUGGUAAGCACGAUGAUGGCGUGUGCUUGGAAAUAAGGGCGAAGUUUCCGAGCAGACAUGACCAAUGCUAGAGCUAAUUUCUCAAUGUUGGAGUAUCGUGUCUCCGCAUCUUGUAGGGCCUUGCUAGCGUAGUAGACGGGCCGUUCGACACCACUGUCCAUUCGAAUAAGAACAGAACUGACUGCUGAAAGCCGAAACCGAUAGAUAGAUGAUGAGAGUGUCACCAACUUCUGGUUUGGAGAGCAGAGGGGCUUUACUCAUGUACUCUUUGAGGUUCCUGAAUGCCUUGGCACAUUCCUCCGUCCAUGUAAUGUACUUACUUAUUUCCCUUGAGUGCUUUGAAGAAAGGAGCACAUCUGUUUGUGGCCUUAGAGAUGAAUCUGGUUAAGGCUGCCACCUUGCCAGUAAGGCUUUGGAUGUCUUUUGAAGUUAUUGGCUCUUUCAUGUCGAGGAUUGCUUUGAUCUUUUCAGGGUUAGCUUCAAUGCCUCGUUGGCUAAUCAUGAAAGCCUAAGAAUUUGCCAGAGCCCACGCCGAAGGCACAUUUGUUGGGGUUCAACCUCAUUCGAUACCUCUUUAGAAUGGUGAAAGUUUCAGAUAGUGGUCGGUGAUGUGUUGGUCAGCAUGUUUGCUUUUGACUAGCAUAUCAUCAACGUAAACUUCCAUGUUCUUCCCAAUUUGUUCGGCGAACAUUGAAUUGACCAAUCUCUGAUAAGUUGCUCCUGCAUUCUUUAGGCCGAAAGGCAUGACUUUAUAGCAAUAUAGUCCCCUGUCAGUAGUGAAGGCCGUGUGUUCUUGGUCUGAGGGGUUUAUGAGGAUUUGGUUGUAUCCUGAAUAAGCGUCCAUAAAGCUCAAGAGCUCACACCCUGCCGUAGAGUCUAUAAGCCUGUCAAUAAGAGGAAGAGGGAAACUAUCUUUCGGACACCCUUUGUUUAGGUCGGUGUAGUCAACACACAUCCUCCACAAGACCUUUUGAAGCGAAAGACUUUCUUUGGUCGGAUUUUUCCUAACAAGGACCACAUUUGCUACCCAUGUCGGGUAAUUGACUUCGCGGACAAAGCCUAUGCCUUUGAGUUUUUCAACUUCUGCUUUCAUUGCCUCGUAUCGUUCAGCGUCAUAAGAUCUUCGCUUUUGUCUCACCGGCUUGAUCUUGGGGUCAAUACUCAAACGAUGACAUAUGACAUUGGGAGAGAUGCCUGGCAUGUCCUCGUAUGACCAGGCGAAGACUUCAGUGUUCUUUUUCAAAAAAGAUAUCAAUGCUAACCGAAAAGGGUGGUGACAAUGUGGUGCCAAUAUUCACCAUGCGGUCUGGAUGAUCUCUUGAGAUAGGUACCUUCUCCAACUCUUCAGCAGGUUGGGCUUGCUGGGUGAAAGAGUCAUCUCGAGGAUCAUCGGGUUGAUUGUUGCUAUCAGGAAGAUCCAAGGUCGCUUCAUCUAGGCUGGUCUUUGUGACUUGGUCAUGUACAGACAGGGUUUCCUUGGGUCCGGGCAAGUGUUGUUGCUUAACUGAAGUGUUGUAACAUGAUCGUGCACUAAGCUGAUCUCCUCUGAUGUAGCCGUUGCCAUGGGGGGUUGGAAAUUUCAUCAACAGCAUAUGCGUGGAUACCAUAGCCUUGAGAUCAUUGAUGCCUGUGCGCCCAAAGAUGACAUUGUAUGCCGUUGGGCAGUCAACCACUAGGAAGUUAGUGGUAAUGGUAGCCGUGUAAGGGCCUGUACCAAUAGUAAAGGGUAAAUGUAUGCUCCCUAAGGGUUGCACGAUAUCACCGGAGAAGCUUAUCAGAGGAGAAAUCGAGCGAUCGAGCAAGUGUUCAGCUACACUGAGUGCCCUGAAAGCUUCGGCAAACAUGAUAUUGACCGACCGAAGCCCCUGUGUCUACGAGGAUUCGUCGAACAUCAAAGUUGGCUAUGUGAGCCUCCACGAUCAAUGGGUCGUUAUGAGGGUAGAUGAUGCCUCUUUCUUCCUCAGGGUAGAAACAUAUCGGAUCCCAGUUAGGUUUUUGAUACUUCCCUCCCCUGAUGUCUUCCACGUGAAACACUUGGUGACCAGGCCUCAGACUUCGUUCACUGUUUUUCAUGGCCCUAUUGGAAGAUUCAGAUAUGGGUGUGCCGCCGCUUAUGGAAUAUAUGACAUUCACCUGGCGUUGGUUACGGUUAUCCCUUUGAGGGUGAAGAAGGAAUUGAUCAAUUUUUCCUUCUCGUGCCAAAGCUUCAAUACGAUCACGGAGGAUGAUACAUUUCUCGCUAUCAUGGCCGUUAUGCUCAUGGUAGCAACAAAACAUGCCCGCGCUAUUCGGGGGCGUGUAAUCUGGGUGCCUCGGCUUUGGCUUUGGUAUCAGGUGAGCUAUGCUGGGGUAAAUGGCCGCGCAUGUGGCAUUCAAGGGCGUGUAUGUCUCAUACCUUGGGGUAGGGGGUAUCUUGACGCGGGUUUGACCCACUGCAUUGACUGCCUGGGGGCGAGAGUUAUUGUGGCGAUACCCUUGGUUAUCGGGAUAGUGUCCCUUACUCUUUUUACUGAAAGGAGAGUGGUGAGGAUGGAAAUCCUUCCUCUUGCCUUGAAAUUGAUAUGUCUGUUGAUUCGGUGAAGCAUUAUGCAAGGCAUGGGGAGGUGCCACUGCUGUUUGGAAAGUCGAGGUCUUCUCAUUUAGGUGAGUCUGGCUUCCACCUCCCACUUGUUGAUAAAGGAUGGUUGUAGGGGGUUUCUCCUGAUAUGUCUUUGCCUCGGCGGAGGCAUGGUUAUAAGCCUGCGCCAUCACCUCAGAGUAAGUCUUCCAAGUAUUGGCAUUGAUCAUGUAUUUAAAGAAACAAUCACGUAGGCCUGCCGUGAAGGCUUUGAGGGCAGUCUUGUCGUCUGCCUCGGCACACCGGGAGUAUUCAUGGCUGAAGCGGCCAGCAUACAUACGUAAUGACUCGUCUGGCUUCUGGCGGAUAGUGUACAAGUCAUCUGCAGAGUGCAAGCGAUCGGUUUGGAAAAUGUGUUGGGAAACAAAUAGUUUCCUCAAUUCCUCAAAUGAGUCUACCGUCUCAGGUGUAAGACGACAAUACCAAUUUAGAGCUCCACCAGAGAGGGUGGAGGGGAAGAGAAGACAUCGCUCUUCGUCGGUGUGCAUCCGGUAUGCCAUGGUGGACUCAAAGAGGUUAAGGUGCUCAAUCGGGUCCUCUUUUCCAGUAUAAAGUUGCAAGCCAAGCUUUUGAUUUGUCUUUGCUUGAAGGGGGGUGUUGAGGAUCCUCCUUGUAAGAGGGUCAGGCCUGGGUUGGUUCCAGUCAGGUAUUUCAGCCUGACGUUCAGCCUUCAACUUGUUUACUUCCUCAAGAAGUUGUAGGACAAGGGGGUCCUGAGCGGAGUUAUGUGUCCCUGGAGCUUUCUUUCGUAAAUCUCCAUCUCCUCUUGGAAUUAGGAAGGUUUGAUCAAGGGCAUGUGAUUUUUCCCUGGACUCGCUGUACUGGCUUCCAGGGUAUGUCUGUCGGAACACCUCUGAGUCCCCUGUACCCUCAUGUCUCUCUAGGACUUGUUGCCCCUUCCCCAAAUUGGUGGCCGGCUUGGGCCGUGGCAGGGGACCGAGUCUCUCAGAAAUCCUUGGGUCAUUAAUCUUUGAGCUUAUAUGGAUGGAAUUCUCUCGACGUUGCUUCAGGAAAUCCCGACAAUCGCGAAAGACGGCUUUCGAUCCUUCUGCCCCUUCAGCAAAGAGGUGUCUCCCUCCACUUCUCAUGGUUCGGCUCGAAGCAACUGGGUUAAGAGAAGCCUCAUGUUGAUUAUCAAGUCGAGGGUAAUCUGUUCCCUAUCAGGGAUAUCUAUGUCGAAUGCAUGUGACCCUCCAUGUUGGAGGGCACCCAGUUGAUGGUUGACUUCCACGGGCGGGGGCAACAAGCUCGCGUGUCUAAGCUUGCCUAGCUUCGUGGAGUGUCUCGAAGAGCUUCUCAUAUUGCUCCUGGAGGACCUCAUUCCUCAUUGCUAUCUUGUUGUUCUGAGCUUCCAACUCAUCGACUUUAGCUUGAAGAAGAACUCGUUUUCCUUCCUUCUUUCGUUGUUUCGCACUAUGUGCAAGGGGGGUGUCAUUCUGUGUGCUGUGGCUUCCUUCGCUUCCCAUGUUGGAGAGGGAUGCCUGGUCAAAAAGAAAGUGUACGAAUGAUAGAAACCAGCUUGACACAGCUGAAGAGAGUAGGAAUAAGUGUCGUUUCCCACAGACGGCGCCAAAUGUUGAUGCACAAAAUCAGCGAAGACUUUGGUACAACAGAAAGUGUCAGGUUUUGUGACCUUCGCUUGGUUGCUUCGGUCACUAGUGAGGAUAAGUACGUAAAAGAAUAGAGACAGAGAAGCAAACACAGGAUGUACGUGGUUCACCCAGAUUGGCUACGUCCACGGAGUAGAGGAGUUCUUAUUAGUAGUGAAGGGCUUACACAAGUACAAAGGAUCAAGCUCUCAAUUUAGUGAGUUCUUGUGAAUGAUUUAACACAAAUGGCAUUAGGCAAUAUUGUGGGGGGAAUGACCCCUAUUUAUAGAAAAACUUGUAGCUUUGUCACAUUGACAUGUGUCAUGUUAUGAUUGGUUCUUGAUGUUGACACGUGCUGCGCUCUGAUUGGCUUCUAAUCUUGACACGUGUCGAGUAGUGAUUGGCCUCAUGGUCGGAGGGGAACUCUUCUGGGUCCUUGACAGUAUAGCGUUGGCCGGUGCUCGGUAGUUUCGGGAUUGGUCAAGUAUGGUACAAACAUGUCCCUUACUCCUUUUACUAAAAUGAGACUAGUGAGGAUGGAAAUCUUUCCUUUUUCCCUGAGAUUGAUAUGUCUGUUGACUUGGAAAAGUAUUAAGUAAGGCAGGGGAGGCACCGCUGCCGUUUGGAAGGUCGAGGUCUUCUCAUUUGGUUGGAUCUGGCUUCCACUCCCUACUUGCUUAUAAGAGGUGGUUGUGGGGGUUUCCCUUGAUAUGUCAUUGCUUCGGCGAAUGCAUGGUUGUAAGCCUGUGCCAUCACCUCAGAGUAAGUUUUCCAAGUGUUGGCAUUGAUCAUGUACUUGAAGAAACAAUCACGUAGGCCUGCUGUGAAGGCCUUGAGGGUGGUCUUGUCAUCUGCCUCAGCGCAACGAGAAUACUGAUGGCUGAAAUGACCAACAUACUCUUGUAGUGACUCGUCCGACUUCUAGCGAAUAGUGUACAAGUCAUCUGCAGAAUGGAAGCGAUCGGUCUGAAAGAUGUGUUGAGAGACAAACAGUUUCCUCAGUUCUUCAAAUGAGUCUACUGUCUUAGGUGGAAGACGGCAAUACCAGUUUAGAGCUCCGCCAGAGAGGGUGGAGGGGAAGAGAAGACAUCGCUCUUCGUCGGUGUGCAUCCGAUAUGCCAUGGUGGACUCAAAGAGGUUAAGGUGUUCAAUUGGGUCAUCCCUUCCAGUUUUGAGUUGUAAACCAAGCUUUUGUUUUGUCUUCGCUUGAAGGGGGUGUCAAAGAUCCUCCUUGUGAGAGGGCCAGACCUAGGUUGGUUCCAGUUAGGUAUCUCGGCCUGACGUUCGACCUUCAACUUGUUUACUUCCUCAAGGAGCUGUAGGACAAGGGGGUCUUGAGUGGAGUCAUGUACCACUGGGAUUUUCUUUCGUAAGUCUCCAUCGCCUCUUGGAAGUAGAAAAGUUUGAGCAAGGGCGUGUGAUUUUUCCUUGGACUUGCCAUACUGACUUCUAGGGCGAGUCUGUCGAAAUACCUCAGAGUCCCUUGUACCUUCAUGUUCCUCUAGGACAUGUCGUUCAUUCCCUAGAUUAGCAGUUGGCCUGGGUCGUGGGAGGGGACCGAGUCUUUCAGAAACUCUUGGGUCAUUGAUCUUCGAGCAUAUGUGGAGGGGAUUCUCUCGACGUUGCUUUAGGAAGUCUCGGCAGUCACGAUAAACGACUUUUGAUCAUUCCAACCAUUCUGCAAGGAGGUGUCUUCCUCCACUUCUUUUGAUUCGGGUCGAAGCAGCUGGGUUGAGAGAAGUUUUAUGUUGAUCAAUGUUUUGAUGAUUAACUCGCUCCUCAUCAGGGAUACCCAUGUCGAAGGAAUGUGACCAUCCGUGUUGGGGGGCACCCAGAUGAUGGUUAAUGUCCACAUGAGCAACAAGCUCGCGUGUUUGAGUACGCAUAGUUUCAUGGAGCGUCUCAAAGAGCUUCUUAUACUGCUCCUGGAUGACCUCAUUUUUCAUUGCUAUCUUGUUGUUCUGAGCUUCUAGCUCAUCGACUUUAGCUUGAAGAGCAACCCUCUUUCCUUCAUUUUUUCGUUGCUUCGCACUAGGUGCAAGAAGGGUGUCAUUCUGUGUGUUAUGGCUUCCUUCGCUCCCCAUGUUGGAGAGGGAUGCCUGGUUAAAAGAGAGUGUACGAAUGGUGGAAACCAGCUUGACAAAGCUGAAGAGAGUGGGAAUAAGUGUCGUUCUCAUAGACGGCAUCAAAUGUUGAUGCACAAAAUCAGUGAGGACUUUGGUACAACAUAAAGUUUUAAGUUUGUGACCUUCGCUAGAUUGCUCACGUCAUUAGUGUGGAUAAGUAUGUAAAUGGAUAGAGACAGGGAAGCAAACACAAGAUGUACGUGGUUCACUCAGAUUGGCUACGUCCACGGAGUAGAGGAGUUCUCAUUAAUUGUGAAGGGUUUACACAAGUACAUAGGUUCAAGCUCUCCUUUAGUGAGUACUAGUGAAUGAUUUAGUACAAAUGACAUUAGGAAAUAUUGUGAGAGAAUGAUCUCUAUGUAUAGAAGAAAGUUUCUAGUUUCAUUCUAACAUUGACAUGUGUCGUGUUGUGAUUGGCUUCUGAUGUUAACACGUGUCACGCUAUGAUUAGCUUCUGAUGUCGACAUGUGUCGCGUUGUGAUUGGCCUCCUGGUUGAAGGGAAACUCUUCUAGGUCCUUGACGGUAUAACGUUGACCAGUGCUCAGUAGUUUCGUGAUUGGGGGUACAAACACCUUUAAUAGCUUGAAGUUCUUGUUGUAAGUUGAAAGAGGAUGGUGGUUUGGGUAUCCGUGAUCUUUUUUAAUCCAAUCAUUCUCUCCUUCUUAAAAGAUGCUGGGAUGUAAUUUUUUCUACCUCACCAACUUCUAAUUGGUUACGUAACAGAUUUCUUAAAUACAACUUUCAUUUGCUAAAAUCUUAGGCCAUCUCCAACCGAGCCGACCAAAGGGCUAUAGGCCAAAACAUAGUCUGUUUUGACACAAAACCUAUAUGGAGGGUUGGGCCAAAAAAAUUUGAGACCCACCUGGCCAAAAUAUAGCCAAAUGGCUAGAGGGUUGGGCAAACAUAGCCAGCCACCUAGCCAACCUUAAAAGUUAGGCCCAACUGUGCUGCUAGUUGACGUCAUGUAGCCUUUUUUGUUAAGACGAAUUUUUAAUUUUUAAUUUUUUCCUAUACAUACCUAAGCCAUUUCUACACCAUUUCCCACAUCUUUUUCACCUUUCCAUAAUAUCUUACCUCAUUUUAAUGUCUAAGCUGUUAACAUGCAAAUAAAAUUAAAAUAUUUAAUAACAUGAAACUUAAAACAACAUUUAGCGACAAGUGACCCUCAAAAUAUAUCCAGAAACCUUAUUUAAUGUGGUAAUUUAAUUUAAUUAACCAAUAAAAAUUAAGAACUAAAUUAAAAUAUUAAAUUAUUGAGAGGGCUAAAAAAUACCUCAUUGGGUUGGAGAUUGUAUGUAGAUAUUGCCUGGCACUAUUCAUUAAAAAAUAAUUUCUUGCAGGGCUAUAAUCUGGAUGGAGGCUAAAUGUAGCCCCUUCGGUUGGAGAUGGCCUUAUAAGAAGUCUUUCGUUUGGUUGGGGUUUAAACAAGUGUGGCCCUCUUUCUAUAUAUAGUUCCCUUCAGUGGAGUGUUGGUGAUGGCCGUUAGAUUUCUUUUUUGUAUGAUAACUGGCUUGGAAUCCCUUUGCUCUCUAAUAUUGGUGAGGUUGACAUAAUUCUUUGAAUUCUAAGGUAAAAGAUUUUAUUCAGGAUGCAAAAUGGUCUCUUUCCAUUGCUUUUACUUCUUCUUUUUCUCAUUUUUCAGAGAAGAUUAUGAAGACUCCAUUGUCGAUUACGCACACAGAUGAUGCUUUAUUUUGGAUAGGUUCAUCUUUGGGUAUUGUUUCAGCUAAUGAGGCUUUUCCUCAUUUCUCAUAUUAUGCUCCGCGUAGAAAAUGUGCAUAAAUGGUUUGGCAUCAAUCUAUUCAGCCACACAAGAUCUUAGUAGUUUGGAAAGUUUAUCAUGGGAGAUUGUUGAUUGAUGAUUUAUUGCAAAAACUAAGGUGUGGGUGUGGCUUUAGUUUCUUAUUGCGCUUUUUGUCAUAAUGCUAGAGAAUCUUGUGACCAUCUUCAUCUACAUUGUCCUCAAACAGUUGCUUUAUGGAAAUCGAUUUUCAUUCUUUUUGGCAAGCCUUAUGCUCCUUGGUAAUUCUGUGAAGAUAUUUUUAUGGUUCUUUGGUCUCAUCUUUCUCCAAGUCUGUUCGGAAACUUGGUUCUUGUUUAUUUGCUAUUUCUUUUGGAUUCCAUUCUUCUGUUCAAAGUCAUGAGAAGCAAAUUGUUGUUGUGGAGGUGGAUUUUGGCAGUGAAAUAUGAGCAGCCGGAUUAUGGAAAAUCAAUUCAGGUGACUGAAGCUGAAGAAUUCUUAAACUAGAACAUAUUAUUUUCAUUAAUUGUUUUUAGCGGGUAUUGGCCUAGUCCCCCGCUUGUUUUACUUUUCCUUUUUUGUUCAUAUUAUUAAUAAAAUCUAGUAGAGGAGAGACGGGCGGAGGGUUUCUGAGUGCAACGAUCAUUUCUCCUUCAUGAGAGGGUUGGUACCUUGUACACGACUGUUGACGAAGAGCUAAUUUUGCCUAAUCCGUAGCUACAAAAAAAACUUAUUGAUGAGAUUAUUAAUAGCAAGUGGUAUUCAUUAUCGACAGAAAAAUUUGUGGGGGCAUUGAUUUUGUAAGUCAUCACUUGCCAUGCAUUGAUUUUGUAUGUCAUCACUCAAAAUAUAUGUAAGAUGAAUUUGCAUAAAUACCAUCUGAAUUGUUGCUGGUGUGCGCAUUUACCACUCUAAUUUUUAUUAUUUACUACCUAAACUUUGUUGUCACAUUCCGGUCCGAGGUGGACCACUUUCCAGGCCCGUUUCACCACCGUAGCACGAUAUUGUCCGCUUUAGGUUUACCAUUCCCUCACGGUUUUAUUUUUGGGAACUCACGAGCAAUUUCCCAGUGAGUCACCCAUCCUGGGAGUGCUUUAGCCUCCUUUUCGCUUAACUUUGAAGUUCCUACGGAACCCGAAGCCAGUGAGCUCCCAAAAGGCCUUGUGCUAGGUAGAGAUAGGAAUAUACAUUUAAGGAUCACUCCUUUGGGCGAUGUGGGAUGUUACAUUUCUAUUAUGUUGCAAUGUACCACCUACUAUUAGAAAUUCUGUUAAAAUAAACUAAUUUGUGUCCAAAUGGUGCACACUUAGGCUGGGUUUAUGUUGUCCUUAUCAUCAGUUAACAAAAAUUUUAACAGUGGAUGGUGCGUUGCAACAUAAUGCAAAGUCUAGGUGCUAAGUAAAAAAACUAAAAGUUUAGGUGAUAAAUAUGUACACCAACUACAAAAAUUUUAACAGUGAAUGGUACGUUGCAACAUAAUGCAAAGUCUAGGUGCUAAGUAAAAAAAAACUAAAAGUUUAGGUGAUAAAUAUGUACACCAACUAAAAGUUUAUUACUUAUUUUAUACAAGUGAUAUUAGUAUUUGAAGUUAUAUAUUCAGAGAGGGGGAUGGAUGUAGUGAAUUGAAGAAGAAUACAUAUUCAUUAGAACACUCCAUGUGACACUAUUUAAUUUAAAAGAUUAAUCGUACAUUCUUUGAUUCUCAAAAUUUAAAUGUAAGCGACCGUACAUUUUUUAUUCACAGAGAUCAACAAUUAUGACAUACUAGCGGCUGCUUAGUGCUGCACCCGUUGAAGCAUUAAACUAUAUAUUAAUAGGAGCACAAUUAUCAACAAAGUCAGUGAUCCCUACCCUGAAAAGAAAAUAUUUUCAUUUAAACAAUGGCUAUAGUUUGUUUAGUUGAUCGUUUAACCAUCUGCCAAUAAGAGCAUAACAAGGGGAUGCAGCAUGAUUACUUAAAGAGUAAUGCUAGAAAAAUUAAAUUUUGUAAAUUAAAUGACAUGUAAGUUGAUAAUUGAGUUAUUAUUUAAAUGUUAUAAAUAUGCUCAUUUCAUAUUUAUGACACAUCAUUUAGUUUACAAAUUUAAUUUUUUUAGCAUUACUCGUACUUAAAUCAAUAGUUUCUUAUUUUCCCUUCAUAUAUACGGCUAAGCACGUGCUUACAUGUUACUGGUACAAUAAUUUGCCCCCUAAAUUAUAUUGGAAAACAAGCAAAAGUGAUUUUAAUGGCUCAACAGCUUUUUAAAAUAUAAAAUCGAAGCUUUAUAAAAUAACUACUACUAAGUACUAACAAACAGCUUCGAUUAGAAUCAUCAAAUGCAUGUGCUCGCUCUUCCAUUUGUUAUGUUUGAAAUUUAUGCCCCGGGGGUGCCCUAUUCCAAAAUUUUAAUCCAACCUAUUUUUUAUUCACAUUAUAAUUCUACAGGAAAAUUAGGUUCACAUCUUUCUUUUUGUUACUUCAUUGAUUAAAAUUCUAUUCAUUUUCAAUUUUUAAUCAAGGUCCUUGGGUAUUAAUAACAUUAUUAAUUAUUUGAAUAAUAAAAUAUUUUUAUUUUUAAAUAUAUUCCUUUAAGGAUAAAAAUGUUACAAUUAGUAUAUUUAUAUUUAUGGCUAAAAUUUUUAUCAUAUAUUUUUAUUUUUAGUUUGUACCUAUUUUUAAUUUGCAAAUAUUUUUUAAUUUGUAUCAAUUUUCUUUUCAUUUUUAAUUUGUACCCAUAUAUUAGUUUCUUUUUGUGCCCAUAUUUUUUUUAAAGUUUUAUUUGUGUUUGUACCCAUGUGUAUACCAUCACGUGACAUUUAAUCAAUGAUAGAAAAAUUACAUAUGGUAUAUUAUAUUUUAUGCCUAAACUUUGUAUCAUAUAUUUAUAUUUUUAGUUUGUACCCACUUUUAAUUUGCAACAUAUUUUUUUUUAAAUUUAUAGUAUUUUCUUUUUAGUUUUAUUUUGUACCCAUGUAUUAAUUUCUUUUAGCGCCUACAUUUUUAAAAAAUCAUUUGUAUUCAUAAUUUUUAAUCUUUUAUCUGUACCCUAAUUUAUUUCUAAUGUACCCAUUCUUCUUUAUUAAUGUAUCACUUUGUUAUAUGUGAAAUGUACCAAUUUGUUUGUAAAAUGUACCAAUUUUUUUAACACUAUGGAUACAUUAUUUUGACAUUUAUUAUUUAUUAUUUUUACAUAGUUUUAAUCCAUUUAUUCAAUCAAAAUGUUUGAAUUUUUUUAUUGUAACCAUUUCUAAUAGUAUUAUAAUGAGGGAUUUUAAAUUUAUAGGAUUAUAAAUCUCAUAAAAUAUCAAACAAUUAAUGUCAAAACUAUAAAACUAUAAAUAUUAAUAGUAAUAUAAUGAGGUGUACAAAAUAAAGGGACCUUGAUCAAACUUUGAAUAUUAUUAAGAUUUUAAUCAAAGAAUGUUAAGAAUUAGGGACUGCAUCCAAAGUAUCCCUAAUUCUACUCACCAUAAAAAUUUUAAACAGCUGAAAUGCUAUUUCAUCACUCACCAUUAUUAUUAAAAUAACCUCUAAUAUAUCUAAAUUCUUUUCUAAUUUUUUAAAAGAAGAAAUAUUAAUAUGUUUCUAGGAAGAACCAUUAAUCCCUUCCUUAAUCGCAGCCACCCUCCUCAGCAAUCAAAACCUUUGGCACCUGCUUGGUGGCAUCUCCUUAGAGAGAGAGAGAGAGAGAGAUGGCCAGAAGGAAAGACAGGGGGAAUGGGGGAGAUAGGGUGGGGAUGCUGCGAGUUAUAUGUUUAUAUAUUUGUAUUGUUAACUGUAUAUACUAAAUAAUAGUGUUUUGUCUCGCGUCGAUGAAAUGCAUAUACAAUACCAAUUAUAACUUUUAUAUAUAUAUAUAUAUAUAUAUAUAUAUAUUUCACUUUGGAGCAGUUUGCUCUAGAUGAUCUGUGUGCUUUAAUUUUGUGCCUACUUUUUCUUAGAAAUGUGUCAUAAGUGUUCAGUUAGUGUUUAUGCUGUCAUGAUUUCCUUCAUUAAAAAAAGCGUGAAGAUUGCCGUGCAUGAAAAGUGAUAUGCUACAGUGAUGUGAACAGUGUUUAAUAAAUAGGAUAAUGGGACAAGUUUAGAAACACUCAAAAUUUUGAUAAAACAUGAUUUCUUUUUGGAGUCCUUGCAAUUCAAGAACUUGUUAAAAUUAUACUUACGUUAAAACGGGGACAAUAGGAUGUAUGGACACUCAAGAAAUGGUGUUUUAUUAAAAUUGAUAAAUAUUACCAGAUACAAUCAAGCACAAAAAAAAAAAAAAAAAAAAAAAAAACGAAAUUCAACUUGUAAAAUUACAAACAUAAAUAGAAAUACUAACUUGUUGAAGAUAGAGGCUUGCUAUGCAAUGUCCUUGGACAGGAUUUUGUACCCACUUGUGUGCUUGUGGUUGUUUGGAUGUUGUCUAACCAGAAUUCAAUUAUUUAUUUUCUAAGGUUCGUGCACUUGAUUCUUUGAAUCUGGCGAACUACUUUGAGUUUCUCUCAAAGAAACUAGACACGAAUUACAAAAAUUCUGCAGCCAACUUUUGUGUGAAAGUGUCCAAACGCCCACCAGUCGAUGAGCCUAAAACUAAUGCUAGUUUCCCUUACUUUCUCGAUCUCCCACAAUACCCGACACGUUUUGUACUUGAAUCAUAAGGAGUUUGUUGGAAGGGUAAUGUUAAGCAGAUUAGAUUUAGAAAACUAAAUAACAUAGAAGUUAAUGAUUGGAUAUUACUUAAAAGUUGAUGAUUGGAUAUUAUUUAAGUAUUGAUAAUAUGAUUAAUGCUAUUGAUGACACAUUAUUUAGUUUGCAAAUUUUUCUACAAAUUUAAUUUUCUUAGCGUUACCCUUGUUGGAAUCUUAAUUGGGUAUUUCAAAAUACAAAUUUGACACACCCCGACCCGAAAUGUCCACUAGGACCCCGAAUCGAGCUGUACUGGCCGACACCUGGAAGGUGACGAAACCAUAAAGUAUGGUGACGUGGAAAAAGUGAAUAAAUUUAAACCUAAAAGUGCCUAAGUACACGAGUGCGCGGUGAGCAAGUAUGGACCCAUUUCACACGUGAUUACAGAGCAUAAGUAAAGUACAAUAAUGUAAGAUAAGACUUAUACCAUCUUAUAGGAAGCCACCUGUACUGGAAUAUGCCAAGAAUCCUUGUCAAAACAGAAACUUUGCUACUAGAACUUGGAGGGGCGCAAAACAGAAAACGUGAGUGGGUAAAAACAAAGCUUUUUAAAACCGUUUCACUUAUCAAAUAUAAUAACCCCUCGCCGUAAAACCUGUACAAUUUCCCAGAAAAUAGCAUGCAUAUAUAUCUCAAAACCAUACUCAAAACAAUAAAUCCACAAAUAUGCCAUGUCAAAUAUCUUAGCAAAGAAAUAAGUAAGCCAGGUGAAAUUAAUCAAUAAAAGAUGGUAUGUCAACCGGAGUCACCUAACGUGACCUGUACGGCUGAGCCUAUAGCUCAUCUACUAGUUCCCUGCACACAAGUCGGAACCACCUAAAGUGGUCUGUACGACAGGCUGGGCGUAAAUAAAUACGUUCAAGUUCUACGAUCACGUGAAGGCUGUGCGAAGUAUUGCAAGUCACCUACGAGUCAAAACCACCUAAUGUGGUAUGGACGACAGGCUGGCACCUGCCUUGGAUCCAAGGUGAGCGUGUGGUGCGGGAGGUGAACGAUCACGUGAAGGCUAGCACUUGUCCUCGGGCUGAGCACUAACACCGAGGUGCAGGAAAAUGAGCUAUAAAUGCAUCUCAACACAAUCAUACUCUCUACCAUCAAUAUAUACUCACCUGAAACUUACCUAAGCGUCUGCAGCGUCAGGCAACCAUAUAUAUAACCAUACUAAUGCAUAAUCAAACAUAGGGAGUAUUUGACAUGGCAUUAUAUAAAACCAUUUAAAUAAGGUUUAUGGGAAAAAGACAAGUGUAUAUAUAUAUAUAUAUAUAUAUAUAUAUAUAUAUAUAUAUAUAUAUACUGAAAACCAAAGGCCCACUCACAUGGAGUUCACACUACAACUCCCUACAAGUAGCGGUUAACGUUUUAUUUUAUCAACGUACAAAUCCAAUUCGGGAAGACCCGUGUGUCAAAUUCCCAAUCAGUAAGUUUCUAUGAUCCUUAAAUAUUAUGUACUAUAACAUAUUAAAUUUUGGUGACGAUCCAACAGUCGGAUCGUUAAUUCACAUUUUUACCAAGUAACGUAUCCUAAUGAAUUUAGGUUCAACGAUCAACCUACGUUAUACGAAUAUCAAAACUGAAUUCAAGACAUCUAAUUUAGCCUAAAAGUAGCAUCGACAGUCCCCUGGCCACAUGCCGCCGCACGCGCCGCCGUGAGUGGCGGUCGGCCGUCCCAACUCGCCAGAAAAAUCAAUUAUUUCUAAAAAUUACCAAAUUUUACAGAAUUGUAGGUCUCCAUGAGUAGAGUAAACUUUAUACUUGUGACUAAGGCCAAUUUGUCCGGGAAAAGCUCCAAUUAUACUAAAAGCCGUCGAAAACCCUAGGUUUUGGGUGUGUUCGAUUCAUCCUCAAUUUGAAACCCAACGCCCCCAAACCUGUUUGGGCCUUGUUUUUUAGGUUGAGAGAAGUCGAAUUGGGGUGGUGAUGGUUGAUGAAACUCACUGGAACAGCGGAUCACCGCCAAGAUCCCAUCGAUGUCCCCGUCGCCAACUGUCACGAAUUUGCCUCACUUUCUGUCGAAAUUUGGUGUUAAAUGAAGGAGAAGAGGUAUGGUGAUAAUUGCAGGUGAAGGUGGGGUGAAAAUCUCAAAAAAUUCGAUGGAUAUUGUUGGAAAACUCCAUCAGUUCGAAACCGGGUUGCUGUGGGUGUACGGGUCAAACGGGUUGGGUGUUCCACACCUCCAUCCUUUCCCCUCAUUUCCUUCUCUUUGGUUGGUCAGCCUCUUCCUCUCUCCUCUCCCGAUUCGCCACCAUAUCCCCUCUUUUUUUUCCUCCUGAAACUCUCCUUCCUUACUCUUGCUGUCAUUCGGCAAUUUCUAAAUGUUUUUUUUUUAAAUAACCUCAAACUCAUAUAAUAAUAUUUAUGAAAAUAUAUAUAAUAAUAAAUGGAAAUUCUUAGAAACAUAGUUUUCAUAUUUGUAGCUCCGUAAAACUUCAACUGUAACUCCAAAUUCACUUCUUCUUACGUCUAUGCGUUCGUAUCACCGGGUACUACGCAAAUACGCUAAAAGAAUAAGUCGUAUGUCUCACUAAACGUUGGUCAACAAAAGUCAAUACCCUCACCUCUAGGGCAUUUUCAUAAAAUAAUGCUUUUAAAAUUUGUAACAACAUAAAAUUAGGGACGGGUCGUCACAAAUUUGUCCGAUUAAUGUUAUUCCAUUAUUAUUUUCAUACUGCAUUGUAUAUCAAUGUCAAGCCAUUUCUCCCUGUAAUAUUAUAUCCUUAAAUCACUAUACGGUGGUUUCUUUCAUUUAUAUUGGAAAACGUUGUUCUCCGUUUAAGUAGCUAAUUAUAUGUCAAAUAUUUAGUAUGCAAAUAAAAGUCAUUAGCUUCAUGUAUACUUACUAUUAAGAGGUUGCUAAUGCAAUGCUCUUUAAUUUCCUAACGUUCUAUUUGAGCCCUUAAAUAGCUUCCUUUGUUCCGAGUAAUCCUUUUCUUCCCUAUAAACUCCACCUAGUUGAAAAGAAUCCCACCGUCCUCUUCUUUCUUGAUCUCUUGUAUUCUUUCAAUUGCUGUUAUAAUUUCCAACUCUUAUAUGCCAAAGGAAAGAAUCGAGCUGUUCACUCGAUCCAAGUAUUGUGAGUGUACAUUUACAAGGAUCAUAGGUUAUUGUAUCCUGGAGCGUAGGACACCAUAACCUGCAAUAUCAAGAUAUAGUCUCCAAGGGGCAAAAUUUACUCUUAAGGAUAGUGAACUAACACGCCUCGACCUACAAUGUUGUUCAAUGAAGCCUCGACGAAGAGUAGUUUCUACACUCUAAAAAAUAAUAUUUUAUUGUAUAUGUUUAUAGUAUCUAAUUAAUUGUGGCAACAUAAAUUACUAUGUACUAAUAUUUAUCUUACAAAAUUUGUUGUAGGAGAAGUAGCAUCCAUGCAUAUGGCCGAAUAUUUCUAACAGAGUCAUCUAGAAAAAUAAAACAAUAAGUUGUAUGAUGAGGAAUGUGUUUGUAAGGGAGUUUCCAAAACACAAUAAACAAAAAUUAUCCAUUUGAAUUUUAAAUCAAAGAACACUGUAUCUUGCAAUGUCUAAAAUUUAGAACGUGUUGUUCUUGGAAAAUAAAAAAAUUAAUGCAUAGGAGCUUGCUUCCAGCUUUAAUGGUAGAGCACUUUAUGUUUGAAUCUUGUUCUUCCUGUGCACUUGAAUCAUAUGUCUCAUAUCUCUCCAUCAUGGUAGUUUGCGCAGCUCAGCUCAGUCUUCACUUUGUCUUCUCUUUCGACCUUUUUGUAAACAAAAGCAUUCGCAAUUAACACAUAAACACAAAAAUUUAGUGUGCUCAAAACUGCCAGCACCCAAUAGAAGUAAUCGAGGUGAGCCCGAUUGAUAUUGUCACCAAGCCAUUUGUCACCAUUUCUUGAGGUAAUUAACUCCAGAACAGAUAUAAUCCAAUUGCUAAUGAAGCUGCCAACUCCUAUAACACUCAUAGACGCAGCCGCUCCCAUGCUUCUCAUUUGCUCUGGCAUUUGACCGUAGAAUAAUUCUUGAAGUCCAACCAUGACGAAUGCAUAUGCGAGGCCAAGAAUCAAGUAUUGUGGGAGUAACCACCAUACCCUCAUUGGUAUUAUUGCUUGAGGUUCAUCAAUGAGAUUGUAGUCUUUUGCAAUGUUGAGCCUUUUGGCCUCUACUAGAGCCGACACAACCAUAAGGAGUAUGGAUAGAACUAGCCCAGUGCCGAUUCUUUGUAGCACGGUAAUACCCGAGGGGUGUCCCGUAUAUUUUUGGGCUAUUGGGACAAAAAACCGAUCGUAGAUUAGAAUGGCGAAUAUGUUUGCAAUGCCAACGAGGCCUGGAAGUGAUGCCGCAGGAACCUGGAAAUGGGGACCGAUCGACCGGAUGGUUGUGCUACUUUGUUUGGUGAAGAAGGUAUGAAGUUGGGCUUGGACUACACCAAACAUUAGGAAACUCAACCAUAGGGGGAUGAGUCGGAGGACGAGCUUCACUUCUUCCACUUGAUUGAGAGAGCAUAGCCUCCAUGGAUUUCUAGGGUUUGUUGAAGCAUCUAGUUCGUCUAUGAUAGUUGCCUUGUCCAAGCAUCUGCAUUAUUUUUGUUUUCAUUACACAACGUAAGCUUGUUAAUUGUGAUUGAUGAUAAGAGGAUGAAUCCCGUAUCGGAAAAAGUAGAACGGACGGACUAGCUACGUGCUAUUACCAUAGGAAAAAUUGGGGAAAACAGCCAAGGUAAAAAGAAAAUAAUGUAUGAAUGCAUGUGGACACCCUAACUAGAGGUUUGGACGUCUAUGUCAUCUAUGACUAUAUAUCUAUAUAUUUUUUAUAUAACAUAAAGUUGUUUAGUAAUUAUUGUUAAAAAAAAAAGUUGUUUAUUAAUUGAUUAAGAGAUUAUAUGUGUCUGUUCUACUCAAAUGGACAACAAAAAUGUGAUCAAUUCUAAUCAACUCUUAAUCCAACGGUCAAGAUUGCUUGUAUUUCUCAUUUCAUAGGAAAUAAAUUAAUCUGACCAUUCAAAUGAUUAGAGGCUCUUUGUUGCUCAAAUGACCCUUAAUUAGGUUAGCACCCUUAUAGUGUGUAUGUCCAUACAUAUCAUGAUGCCACGUUAGAAUUCAUACUGAAUAAUGGCAUUCUAUUUGACAUUUUGUUUGAUUAUAAUGAUCAUUGUAGAGUUUUAACAAUAAAGUAUUAUUCUAAUCUAUUUAUUUAUUGUUUAAUUUUUUUUUUAAAAAUCGAUCCUGAAAAUAUCAUAAUCAUAACUUUUCAUUCCACAUUUCCUUAACACCUAGCUAACCUAACAGUUUCCUUUAUUACAAUUAUAUGACUAAUAGAUUUUCAUUUGGGCUGAUCUUUCAUAUGAAUUUAUAGUUUGAAAAAGAACAAUAAAAAAAUGACUGCCUUGGAUCAUAAAAGCAUAUUAUAAACACGAAAGAAUAGUACUUUAUGCAAUAUUAAGUUUGUACCUGAGUUGAUUAGUACGAGCCAAAACUUGAGGCUGCGACUGACCUUGUAGCAGGGCUUCACCCUUGUCAUCUCCAUAAUAAACACUCUCACAAUUGAGUGUUUUAGUGACAUGGCAUUUUCGAGCUGCUGCAACGAGCACUUGUGCCACCGUAGUUAAAGGGCUCCCUGGACGCCUUUGUUUCCUGUACCUCUUAGUUCCCACCAAGAAUGAUACUAGUGACACCACCAAAACCCCCGCCAAUAUUCCAAACCCUAAUCCCCACCCAACAUUAUCCUACAAGUAUAGUAAUUUCAAUUAAUUAGUGUACAGAAUUAAUUAAUUUAUCAACAAAAAAAUCAAAUCUAGUUACUUUUUUUUUUGUGGCAUUUUGAUGACUGAACUAGAUAAAUAGUAAGAUUAGUAAUGUUUUCUCUUUUGUCAAACCCCCUCCCAGACAACAACCACCGGCCGGCGUCCCUGACAUCACCAACGGCGUCAUCUACCAACCUCACAGCCAUCCUUCCUUCUCUAUCACUCUCGCAGCCGGUAUCCAUGUUCCUUCUUCCCUUCUCGAAAUUAUAUGAAAUAUGAAAUUCCCGCUAAUAAAACCCAAGAGCAAGGAGUUCCUUCAUUCAAUUAAAAACUUAAUUCGUAAGUUCUUUAAUUUCAGAUUCUUAUUUUGACUCUUUUUUUUUUUUUUUUUUUUUGAUCUUUUGAUGGUUGAGGGAAAAUCAAUUAUGGUGGUCGGGGAACGAGGAGGGGUGCAUGUAGGGGAAAGGAGGAGGGUUUUUUUUUAUUCUUUUUAUUUUUUAUUUUGUCAAACGAUAGAUUUGUUAAAUUAAAUGUUAGAUUAGAGAGCCGACGAGAUUUGAAUCCACACUGUAAUUCAAGGGUAACACUUCUCUCCACCACUAUGGUAGAGGGCUUCUUGUGUUUCAUUUUAUCUUUUUAUUUACAAUAUUUUAAGGGUAAUUUGGAAAUCAAAACACACUAAAAUUUUUGUGGGGUGAACUUAGAUGGGUAAUGUGAAGAGCAAGUUACCAUUGUAAAACAUUAGUGUUAGUCAAGUUAGUUAGUUGUUAGAAUAGUUACAAAUAGUUACCACUGUAACUAUUCUCUUUACCUGUGUAAAUCUAGUUUAUAUAAAUACCUCAGUGUAACUAAUUAUAAUGUAAUGAAAUCAUUUCCUAAUAUGGUAUCACUCGCUUAAGUCCACCGACUUCGAUCCUCUUUCUACUAUUUUCUUGCUUAUUUUCUUACCUACCAAACACCAUAGCUUCCGUCUGCAGAUCUUCGAUCUUGUUCAUCAAUGGCGGCAAAUUCUUCGAAUUCUUCCUCUCCUGUGGCUGCGCAUCCUCCUUCUCCGGCGAUCGCGGAUCCUUCCUCUUCGCUGCCUCCACAUCUCAAUCCUUCUCAGAUGAACCCUAACUCCUCCUUUCAAGCUUCACUCAACUCCAUCACGAUCCAAAACAUUGGGAGUAUGAUUCAAACAAAACUCAAGCGUCAUUACCUUGUUUGGCGUUCUUUGUUCGAACCGAUCUUCCGCCGCUACAAGCUCAGCGGCGUGGUUGAUGGAUCUGAACCGCCACCGCCUCAAUUUCUUGCUGAUCUUUCUGGAAAUUUGUCCUCGAUUCCGAAUCCAGCCUUCGAGAUCUGGUAUGAAAAGGAUCAAAACAUCCUCAUUUGGAUUAAUUCCACUCUUUCUGAGGAUUUGAUUCCCUUUACUGUUGGUGUUCAAUCCUCCCGUGAACUUUGGCAAAAUCUUGAGAAGCGAUUCGGUGGAGUCUCUCGUUCUCACAUUCAUCAGUUGCGAUCGAAUUUGCAAUUGAUGUCGAAAGGCACUUCCACAAUAUCUGAAUAUUUGCAACGAAUCAAAGAAGUUUCUGAUGCUCUCGCUGCUGCCGGUGCCCCUGUUGAGGAGUCGGAUCUCCUUCACCUCAUUCUUAAUGGCUUGCCUGACGACUAUGAUUCCUUCGUGGAUUCAAUUCAAUUUCGUCUUGCUGAUACUACUGUUGAUGAUCUCCAUGGAUUUCUUCUCAGCAAAGAAAUGGCUCUUGCUCGUCGCAAGCAAUCUCAGGGUUCCUCUGAACCGUAUCAGGCAUUCACCUCUAUUCCAGCAGCUUCCAAUGCUCCUCCUUUGCUUCCUACACCUCCACCACAUCAGGCCUACAAUGCUCAGUCUAAUGGUUCUCAGCAUUCUUACCCUGGCAAUAAUCGCGGUAAUUUUCAGCGGAACACUUCUCAAAGGCCCUACAACAACCGUAAUCGUUCCAAUCGGUUUACUAAUUUCUCAACUAAUCGUGGUGGAAAUCGAGGUGGAAAUCGUGGCUUCCGUUCUUUCACUUCUGCAGUCAUUCCGUGUCAAAUUUGUGAGGACACUGGCCAUCUUGCCAUUGACUGUUCCCACCGCAUGAAUCCAACUUUUCAAGGCCGUGUUCCGCCCGCCAAACUUGCGAUGUACGCAUCUUCUAGUACUUCUUCUCCACCACCAUGGCUACUGGAUUCCGGCGCAAGCUCCCAUAUGACCAAUAAUAUUCAUCAUCUUCAGAAUCCACAGCCCUAUACUGGUCCAGAUAAAGUCUACAUUGGAGAUGGCCAAGGUUUGCCAAUUCUCCAUACUGGUUCUACUUUACUUAAAACACCUUCUGCAGAUUUUACAUUAAAGAAUGUGUUACAUGUUCCCCACUUGAAGCAUGAUCUUCUUUCUGCCAAUAUGUUCUUGCGUGAUAAUUGGUGUUCAUUAACCCUCAAUCCUUUUGACUUCCAUGUCAAGGAUCUUACUACGGGGAGGAUGCUUUUUAGAGCUCCUGUCAGCAAUGGUCUCUAUCCAUUUUAUGCUUCUUCUUCACCUGCACCGAAGGUUCAUGCUCAUUCUGCAAUAAGGACCUCUUCUCAUGUGUGGCAUCAACGUUUGGGUCAUCCAUCGUUCAAGACUUUUCGAUCACUGUUAUCCAAGUCUAUACUACCUGAUUCUAAUAAUGUUCAACAAUUCUUUUGCUCCAAUUGUGUUUUAGGCAAAUGUGCCAAGUUACCAUUUCAAGAAUCUCUCUGUACUACUUCUAGGUCUCUUGAAUUGGUUCAUGCGGAUGUUUGGGGGCCAGCUCCAGUAUGUUCUGUUAGUGGCUACCGCUUUUAUGUCAUAUUUGUAGAUGAUUUUACCAAAUAUACUUGGCUGUAUCCUCUCAAACAUAAAUCGGAAGUGUUUCAAAUUUUUGUGCAAUUCCAAGCUCUUGUUGAAAAUCUGUCUGGUUACAAAAUUGGUACUUUACGAUCAGACUCAGGGGGUGAGUUUACAAGUUCUAACUUCAAGCAUCAUUUGUCUCUCCAUGGCAUUCAGCAACAAUUCAGUUGUCCUUACACUCCUCAGCAAAACGGUUGUGCUGAAAGGAAGCACAGACAUAUUGUUGAGACUGCUCGAACCCUCCUUAUUGCCUCACAAGUUCCUCACAAAUUCUGGGUUGAAGGUUUUCUUACUGCAGUCUAUCUUAUCAAUCGCCUACCUCCAGUCAACAAGUCUUCCCCUUGGGAACAAUUUUUCAAGAAAGUUCCAGAUUACAAGUCUCUUCGGGUAUUUGGAUGUCAGUGCUUUCCUUGGUUAAAACCAUACACCAAUUCCAAAUUAGAUCCCAAGAGCAAGAUGUGUAUUUUCAUUGGCUACAGCUUAGCUCACAAGGGGUAUAGAUGUCUAGAUCCCUUCACUAAUCGGGUUUAUCUCUCUAGACAUGUUCAUUUUGAUGAACAUACAUUUCCUUUUCAUGAUCCCCACCUUCUAAAGUCCUCCACUCCCCAUACCCCAGAACCUUACUCACAUUUUUCCCUUACCUUUCCCAAUCUUUAUUCUCCUAAUUCUCUCCCUUCCCGUGUUCCACCACCCAUCUCUUCCUCCCCUCCUCAACCUGCGCCCGUUACUGAGCAAGUUCAUUCUCCUGCUCCUUGUCCUGCACCUCUGCAACCUCCCUCACCUCCCUCUUCUCCUCUACCAGCCUCUCCUUCUCUACACCCUGCCCCUCCUCCUGUACCUCCUAUUUCCUCUGUUCACCCAAUGCAAACCCGCUCUAAGUCAGGCAUAUACAAACCUAAGGCUCUUACUGCCACAACCCAUCCUCUGCCUUCUCAUUUUGACAGUGAGUUUAUACCUACUACAUAUCUCCAGGCUUCCAAACAUUCACAGUGGAGGGCUGCUAUGCAGGAUGAAUUCAAUGCUUUACAAAGUACAGGUACUUGGCAGCUUGUUCCUUCUACCUCCACUCAUAAUUUGGUUGGCUGUAAAUGGGUUUUCCGGAUUAAGAGGAAACCAGAUGGUUCUGUGGAUCGUUACAAGGCUCGACUCGUUGCAAAAGGUUACAAUCAGCAAGAGGGCAUUGAUUAUGGUGAUACUUUUAGCCCGUCCAAUCAAACUGGUUUUACACCAGCUGGAUGUAAGCAAUGCUUUUCUCCAUGGUUCUUUGAAAGAGAAUGUAUAUAUGGCUCAACCACCUGGGUUCAUUGAUCAGGAUCAUCCUACUCAUAUCUGUCACUUGAAGAAAUCCUUAUAUGGCUUAAAGCAAGCCCCUCGUGCUUGGUAUGAAAAACUUCAAUCUGCUCUUUUCUCAAUGGGAUUUCAAGCUUCACACUCUGAUCAUAGUCUGUUUGUGCUGCAUCAACCUACCUUGGUUUUGGUUCUUGUGUAUGUCGAUGAUAUCAUAGUGACCGGACCUUCUUCUAGUGUCUGCAACACCAUCAUUUCUCAGUUGAGCUCUACAUUUCCAAUCAAGGAUCUCGGCGAUCUUCAUUACUUCUCGGUCUGGAAGUUCAGAAAUCCACCUCCGGAGCCUUUAUUCAUCAAUCCAAAUACAUAUUGGAUCUUCUCAAGCGUACCAAAAUGGAUGGGGCAAAGCCAUGUGCCACUCCCCUUAGUUCUGUCAAGCUUGAUCACACUGGUUCCUUGUUGUCGAAUCCCGAGGACUAUCGCUCUAUUGUUGGCGCCCUCCAAUAUCUUACAUGGACCCGGCCUGAUUUAUCCUUUGCGGUUAAUCUGGUGUGUCAGUUCAUGCAUUCUCCCCGGGAGCCUCACUUUCAAGCCGUGAAACGCAUCCUCCGGUAUCUAAAAGGGACACUUGGAUUUGGCUUAUGGUUUCCCAAAACCACAUCUCCCCUCCUUCUCAACGCCUACUCCGAUGCUGACUGGGCAGGAUGUUCGUGGGAUAGGCGUUCCACUGGAGGCUUUUGCAUCUUUCUUGGUCCUUGUCUAGUUAGUUGGAGUGCAAAGAAACAGCACACAGUUGCCCGAUCCUCUACCGAAGCUGAGUACCGCUCCCUUGCACAUACCGCUGCUGAGAUCACUUGGAUCUGUCAACUCUUCUCUGAUAUUGGUUUCAAGUUGUCCUCCUUGCCACAAAUUUGGUGUGACAAUGUUUUCUGCAAUUGCCUUGACUUCAAAUCCGGUUUUUUUUCAUGCUCGCACAAAGCAUGUUGAAAUCGAUUAUCAUUACAUCCGUGAGCUUGUUUUGGCUAAGCUUCUUACUGUCAAAUUUGUUUGCAGUGCGGAUCAAUUAGCGGAUAUUCACACCAAAUCUCUGCCAAGGCCACGUUUUCUUCAUCUUCGAUCCAAGCUUUCACUUCAACCUUCUCCGUUCAGCUUGAGGGGGUGUGAAGAGCAAGUUACCAUUGUAAAACAUUAGUGUUAGUCAAGUUAGUUAGUUGUUAGAAUAGUUACAAAUAGUUACCACUGUAACUAUUCUCUUUACCUGUGUAAAUCUAGUUUAUAUAAAUACCUCAGUGUAACUAAUUAUAAUGUAAUGAAAUCAUUUCCUAAUAUAAUGGAGUGUAACUAGAAAAACUCGUAUACUAAUUUCAUCUAAUAAACUACGUAGAGGAGCAUUUUGAAUUCGGGUGUUAAGGGGUACACUGUUCAAGCCAAUUUAAUUUAAUUUUUAUCAGUUAUGAUUAUGAUUAGUAAUGUUUUGUAAUACAGGAGAACAAAAGAUUCAAUAAAAAAAAAAAAAAAAGAGCACAAAAUUCAAUAAAGGUCAACAAGGUAAUUUCACGGAUAUACAAGUUAUUAGUAGUGUAUCCACAACUAUUGACCAAACAAAAUAGCUUAUUCAACAAUUGGAAGUAUUAAAUUUCUUUUGUGAUUUUGUUUUUAUUUUUAUGUACUAUUAUACUCUAAAUACUUUGGGAGGAUGUGGGAAUAUAGAACAAAGUUAUUACCUGGAGAUAUACAACUCCUAGUGUGGCAGAAGUGGCACCAAACCCGAACCCCAGGUACCACCAGUUGAAGAAGGAGCUCUUGACCUUUAUCUCUUCCGGCGUGUUCUCAUCGAACUGAUCUGCUGCAAAUGUUUGCAAGCAUGGCUGCUGUGCACCUUGAGCCACCGAUAAAAUGUACAGCGCCACAAAGAACACUGCUCGGCGACUUUGUGAAGGAAUUACUGAGACGGACAGAGUCAAAAGAACCAUGCCCUACAAUAUGAUAUAUAAGCCAUGAACACAACUACACAAGUAUAUCUAUCCAAUCAAACAUGAUUAGUAUUUUCUUAUCAAAUAAACUAGCUACGUUCUUACCAAAGCUGAACAUUCAAAGCAUUUAUUAACGGGAAAAAGUGCGAAGACUGAUUUACCAGGAAAUGGAUGGUGAUGGAUUAGGUUUUAAACUGACCAAAAUAGGAAUCUGCAAGAAAGGAGCCGAGGACAGGGAAGACUGAUGAGAUUCCAAGCCAGGUUCUGAUGAGACAUUUAGUUUGAUUCAUUCUAAAUAUGUUAAAAGAAUGAAAAUUAGUACCAAGUAUUGUCUUUUUGGUAUUAAGUAUUGUCAAAAAACCAAUUUAGCUAGACAAAUGAACUUAUUAUCUUUAACAACACUCUCUAUUCUAAGGAUUUGGAUCCUCUCCGAGGCAAUUGGUCAGGAUCCUCUUGACCAGUGUUUGUGGACCAUUGAAUUUUUAUCCAACAACUACAAAUAGGGACCCUCUAAAAGUUAUACUAGUUAUAACCGUUGGAUAAAAAUUCAACGAUCCACGAACACUGAUCAGAAGGAUCGCGACCAGUUGCCUCGAGAGGAUCCAAAUCCCUAUUCUAACAAACACUAUACUAUUUUAUCCAAUUUUUAUUUAUACCAAUCCAGUUUUUCGCUCUCUUCUCAAUUUUCCCACUUUGACCACUUUUUCUUUUUCAUUUUCACUUCCUUUACCUUUCCCUCUUCGCUUUCUUUUUUCCUUUAUAUGCUGCAGGCUAAUAUCAAAACCCAAAUCUUUCAGGAAACCAAGCUCCUCAUCCUCAUUUUAUCUUCAAUCUCUCCCAGUCCAUCUAACCCUAAUUUUCCCAAUUCAACUAUUUAGCUAGCCGACGUCCGAUGCGCUGAAGAAUGUCAAUCUCUCCCCAGACUCAGAAGUUAGCUCCGCUGCUCCUCAUUUACCACCGAAUCUCAUGACUAGAUGAACAACCACUGAAUAAUUUAUCACUGAAUCGAAAACGAAUCAGUUCAUUUGUACCGAUACGGAUUUCGGAUGCUCUUUCACCGUAUUCGGCCAUUAUGGUUUAGAUUCACAGUCUCUCGCAACAUAGUGAGCAUCAUACGGGCGUACCAAAACUGAACAUUCGACACAUAUAUUAAAGGGAAAAAAUGCGAUGACUUUUAGAUGAUUUACCAGGAAAUAAAUGGUGAUGGAGAAGACGAUGGUUUUGAACCGACCAAAAUAUGAAUCUGCAAGAAAGGCUCCGAGGACAGGGAAGACUAAUGAGAUACCAAGCCAGGUGUUGACAUUCUUAGCCGCGGCGGCUAAGGGCUGGUCCAAAACAUCUGUGAGGUACAUGAUGAGGUUACUUGCCAACCCAUAGAAUGCGAACUGCUGGGCCACCUCAACCACUGCAAGUAAAAUUUAAUUAAGCAACAAAUAAACAGAGUACUCAUGAAAGAUGAAACUUCAAUAAGUUUUCAGAAAAAUUGAUGAACUGAAUACAAAUAUUGAUCGCAACAAAAAAAUUCAAGUAAUUGUGGAAUUAAAUGAAAAAUAAGAAUAUAAGAUGAACAUAGAAUAACUUGAUUGCUUACAGAUGAUGAAAAUAGCAGCAUUCCAGCCACCCGUAUUGGGUUUUCCAGAAGCAAUAUUCAUAAUUGAUGGUGUUUAGAUUGCUGAAAUAUUAUUGGACCUCCUCAUCAGGAGAGAAAAGUACUAAAGAUUUGUCUGGAAAUUUGGUGGUUUUACAUUAAAUUUUUCUAAUUGAAUUACUAAAUAUGGAUCGUGUUUCCGAACUCAUAUACAUACAUACAUACAUACAUACAUACAUACAUACAUACAUACAUACAUACGUAUAUACGUAUAUAUAUAUCUCUCUUUCUCUCUGUGUAUAUAUAUGUAUAUAGUGUGGCCACUGGGCAAUUAAUUAGAAUAUAUAAAGUUAUUUGGUUUGAUGCUACUGGCCUUUUAUGCUUAUAAAGAAUUAUUUUAGGAGGCGUAGUUGUUUGCUGUGAACCACAAGUCAGGAGAAUGCAGCGCUUGACUGUGAUUCAUGUUGAUGAAUAUUCCCACGUGACUGAUUCACGUUGAUGAAAAACAUAUACGCUUGACCUGUCGCGAUAUUUUUUUUUUGGGAGACACACCAACCCAACGAUCGACGACAGAAUGGUAUUAACAAAUAGGGUAAAUCAUAGGGUAAAUCAAUAUUUGGUACAUAAAGUUUUUUCGUCCCAGAGUCGUACCUAAAAUGUUAAUUUUGGGACAGUCUCAUACAUCCAUUAGUCUAGCUGUUAAGUCUCCUGUUAAUUGAUGAUGUGGUGCCUAUGUGGACAAUGACUGGAAGCCACAUGUCAUUAAGGGGUUCAUGUGGAAAUUAAAAAUUCAAAAAUCUUUUUGGUCAUUUUCUACUUCCCCCGACGUCUUCUUCUUAUAUGUUUCUUCUUCUUCUCCCAACACAAAUAGCUAGGAUUUCUCUUCCUCCUCCUUCGCCGGCGCUACUCCCCUCCCAACUUUCUCUCGAACCCUCCCAUCCAAUCCGGCGACCAACCCCUAUUUCUUUUCUCCUUCUUUGCUCGUCAUUUGAGCUCGCCACCAGUGCCGGCACCAUCGGCCUGAGUUCGCGCUCGACCUGUUCGAGCUUACCCAUCAGAUCGUACGACGGGCUCCUCCAAGCCGUCGAGAUGCCAAAGGGGUCGAAGAGGACGCCGAAUUGGUUACCAUCUCUGUCUUGGGCGUUGACGAAUCGAACGGUGAGGCUUUCGUCGUCAGAAUUGUUUUGGGUGAGGAAAAAACAAAGGAGGUUGGUGAAAAGGUAGGGGUGGUGGUCGUCGAGGAAGAUGAAGGGUUUCUCGAGAGGUUUUGCGACUUGAACGAUGUUGUACGAUCUGCAGUUAAAUUUAGGGAUUAUUACAAAUUAUUGAAAUUAGGAGAUGAAUUGAUGUGGAAAAUUUUGAGAUGAUUAGGAAAUUGGGUUUAAGAAAAUACAAAUUAUGGUUUUGGGGGAGGGAAGGCGAGCUGCUAGAGUGGGCACAAUGCAUAUUAGGGUUUGGUGGGUUGGAUGGGUGGAAUCGAAGAUGGAGGGGGAAUGGUGGAUGUAUAACGAGUCGAAGAGGAGAGGAGAUGAGGGUUUGGUGGGUUGGUGCAGAGGAGAUAAUGGAGGGAUAAGGGAGGAAGGGAAGGUCGGGGGAGGUAGAAGACGACCACAUUUUUUUUUUUUGAUUUUUUAAUUUCCAUGUGGAUUCCUUGAUGGCAUAUGGUGCCUAGUCAUUGUUCACAUGAGCACCACAUCAUCAAUUAACAGAAGACUUAACAGCCAGACUAACGGAUGUAUGAGACUGUCCCAAAAUUAACACAUUAGGUAUGACUCAGGGACGAAAAAAAACUUUAUGUACCAAAUGUUGAAAACCACGAAACUUAAGGGUAGUAAACUGAGAUUUACCCUAACAAAUAAUAUGGAUGUAGGAUUCUCUCACCUUCUUUCACAAUUCUCACUUCAUCUUUCUUUCUAUAUAAAAAAGUCAACAUAAAAUGUUGAUGUGGUUUAAGCGUAACCGUUCAAGUAAAAAUGAGAGAGAAGGUGAGGGAAAAAUAAGAGAGAGAAUCCUCAUCAGAAUUUUAUACAAGAAAAUAUACUAUUAAUAAGUCAACUCGUGAUUCAUACACAAACUGGCAUCACCGAUUAUUGCAAAUGUUGUCAAUAAGUGUUAUUGUGUUGUGGCCAAUUUAUUGAAAGGGAAAGAGUGUUGACUUGUAUUAUUGGGAUUCUUACGAUUGUGGGAUUCCUAUUAUCUUGAGUUUCCUAGUUGGGAUAUACCUUUAAUUGAGAAGAAUACAAAUCACAUUGGAAAGCAUUCUUUCUUUUUGGCACCAAAGUCGAGUUAGAGAAAAAAAAUGACCGAGCCCUAGUUGGGUUGGUAUUGCCGUGCUCAAUAAAAUUUCGUUGUGCCUCUAUUUCGAUGUAAACAACGAGCCACUUAACGUCGUUGCUGUUGUUUUUUUGUCUCUAAUCGAUUGUAAUGAGCUACCCAACAUCAUUGCUGCCCAUGUUCUUUCAGUGUUCCGUCCUCGUGUUUCGUUGUUUUUUUUCCAUCACAACAUUGCAGUUUUUUAUCUGCACCGACAACAAGGCAGAUGGCUGACGAAAUGGUGACUGGUUCUGUGAUUGUUCGUGCUGCUACUCCAAUUAUGGGGUGCAGUCGGAUAAUUCUAGUUUCAAUAUUGGUGUCACAUCUCGCCCGGGUCCACCACAUCCCGGGCCCGUUCUACCACCGUAGCACGAUAUUGUCCGCUUUGGGCUUACCAUUCCCUCACGGUUUUGUUUUUGGGAACUCACGAGCAACUUCCCAGUGGGUUAUCCAUCCUGGGAGUGCUCUGGCCUCUUUCUCGCUUAACUUCGGAGUUUCUACGGAACCCGAAGCUAGUGAGCUCCUAAAAGGCCUCGUUCUAGGUAGAGAUAAGAAUAUACAUUUAAGGAUCACUUCGCUGGACGAUGUGGGAUGUCACAAUUGGUAUGGUAUUGGAUGAGAAUAACCUUUUAUUCAAAUCCAUAUCGUUGGGAGGAAGAAGAUGGGGUAUCUUCGUGGGUCAAUCAAGGCACCUAACGAAGACGAUCCUAAAUAUGAUGAUUGGUUCUCUGAAUAUCAAAGAAUUAAGAAUUGGCUAUUGUCGUCAAUGAAGCCAGAGAUUAUGUAAUGGUACAUUCGGUUAUCUACUUUGAAAGAGAUUUGGGACACUUUUAAGGCAACCUACUUUGAUGAGAAUGACGAGGCUCGAAUUUAUUCUUUGAAUCAGAAGGCAUUACAUCUUCGUUAGAAUGGCCGACUUUUAGCUACGUAUUUCAGGGAACUGACUGAGAUUUUCCAAGAGUUGGAUCACUUUAAUAAGGUGUCCAUAAAGUGUGAGAAUGACAUUCAAACAUUUCACAAAUCCAAUGAGAGACAAUGAGUUUGUGUAUUUCUUGGUGGCCUCGAUGAUGUGUUUGAUUAGGUUCUUGGAGAAGUGUUGCGGAAGGAUCCCCCGCUUGGGCUUCAGGCCUCUUAUGCUUAUGUUCGUCGUGAAGCUGGUAGAAAGGAAGUAAUGAACACGAAAGUCAACAAGAACGAACCUACUGACAUGACAACAAAGACUCGUGGAUCUUCCUCUUGGUCGGACCGAGCCAGGUCAAAAAACUGGCUAGGACAAACUCGCUCUAGCCAGACAAGCCGAGACUAUCCCCAAGGUAAGUGCCUACACUAUGGCAUGACAGGACACUCCAAUAGUCGUUGUUUUGAGCUGAUUUAAUAUCCCGAGAAUUGGGAUAAGACCCAUGAUCCUCGAGGCAACAAAUCUUAAGCUUCCGUUACAGAAAAUAGAAUGAUUCAAAUCAGAUAGCAGACAAUGCUUCUGCCAUGAUUGCUGCGGCAGGUAGUAGUAAUGGUAAGGCACUAAGUAUUUCCACUUCUAUUACUAAUAAUACAUGGAUAAUUAAUUCCAGAGCUACUGAACAUAUGACUUGUGAUUCUAGACAGGUUUCAUCCCUAAAAACUUCCACACAAACCGUGGUCAUUGUUGCUAAUGAAGAUGCGCCUCAGUUAUCGGGGAAGGCAUGGUUGCCCUUUCUGAUACCAUGAAACUUGACACCAUUCUUGUGAUUCCCUAUUUAAAUUAUAAUUUUUUAUUCGUUGCCCAAAUAACCCUUGCCUUACACUAUUUGGUUAAUUUUUUGGCCCAAUUUUUGUGUUUUUAAGGAUAUCUAGACGCGGAAGACAAUUAGUUAUGGUAUUAGAUGAGGGAAGCUUUAUUACUUGGAGUUGACUACCAGUAGUUCUGGCUUGCUGACUUAAGCCUUGGUUAUGCUAAUAAAGUGGUGGACAUCUGGAUGUGGCACUGACGCUUUGGGCAUACUUCUUUUGGAUAUCUGCAUAAGUUAUUUCCUAGUCUGUUUGUUAAAAGCGAUGUUUCUUAGUUUAAGUGUGAUGUUUAUGAUUUGGCUAAAAGCCAUCAAACUUCUUUUCUUCCAAGUUUAAAUAAAAGUUUCAGUCCUUUUAUAAUUGUGUAUUCUGAAGUGUGGGGUCCCUCGAAAAUAGCUACUCUUGGUGGUGCUUACUGGUUUGUUAUUUUUAUUGACGAUUGUACAAGAAUGACUUGGGUUAGUUUGUUAAAGUUAAAAAAUUAAGUGAGUUCGGCCUUUCAGAAGUUCCAUAAAAUGGUUAGCGUGUAGUACAACAUGAAUAUCCAGAUUCUUCGAAGUGACAAUGGUGGAGAGUAUGUUAAUACGGAAGUUCGUUCCUUCCUUGAUAGGUAUCGUAUUGUUCAUCAGACCACAUGCCCGUAUACUUCUUAACAGAAUGGGGUUGCUGAACGAAAAAUAGACACUUGUUAGAAGUGGUGUGUGUCUUGCUUAUUGAGGCACAUCUCCCUCUACAUUAUUAAGGUGAAGCACCCAUGUUCACAGCCUAUCUUAUUAAUCGUCUUCCUUCUCGCACUCUUGACUUCCAGACACCGUUUCAGGCCCUUAUGGCUCAAACUAAUUGCCCGUCGAUACUGAAUCUUCCCCUGCGGGUAUUGGGGUGUGUUGCUUUUGUUCACAUUUAUCCUCCCCACUGGAAAAGUAAAAUUGACCAUCGAGCCCUCCGUUACGUGUUUUUGGGUUAUGCCUUUACUCAAAAGAGAUAUCAUUGUUAUCAUCCUCCGACUAAGAAGAUGUUUAUAACUCUAGAUGUGAUUUUCCAUAAGAAUGAAAUGUUUUUUAGUUCCAUCGCGUCCUCACUUCAGGAAGAGUAUCGAGGUGAUGAAGUUAGGUAUUUUGAUUAUUUCCCUGCGGCAGGAAGUGAGUUGCAUGAAGAGCAGCAACCACAUUUGGAACCUACAACCUCUGGUGAUCAAGAUGACAUAAAACAAUAAUCCACUGACUAGUAGACCACUGAACAGUAGCCAAAGAACCAGGAACCAGCUGUUUGGCCUUGGGAGGAAGACCAUCACACGAGUUCUGGGCUUGAAAGGGAGCUACAACCGUACGUUUUAAUUGAUACCAAGCAGCAAUAGCUAGCUCGUGAUUCUUCCCCAGAUGUGGUCUCAAAUCAGAAUAUGGACUCAUCUUCUGUUAGUACACAUAAUCAAUCGUCUUCUACAUUGGAUGCACAUCCACUUCGUUGCCUUCCCGAGCAUAUUAAUCGAGGUAUUCCUAAACCCACUUACAAGGCAAACCCUAAGUGUAAAUACAAGUAAUCUGUGAGUGAACCAAAUUCUGAUUCAAUAGUGAGAUAUCCAUUAAAUAAUUAUGUGUCUACUCGUCACCUGUCUGAAUCAAAUAAGUCAUUUGUAUAUCAAUUAUCUAUUGUAGCUAUUCUUAACAACAUGCAAGAAACCUUAAUAGAUUCCCGCUGGAAAUAUGCAAUGAAAGAGGAAUUAAGAUCGUUGAAGAAGAAUGCUACCUAGGAAAUAAUUGACUUGCCAGCCAUAAAGAAACAUGUGGGAUGCAAACGGGUCUAUACAGUGAAAUACAAAGUGGAUGGAACAGUGGAUCGCUUUAAAGCAAGAUUGGUGGCAAAUGGGUAUACACAGAAAUAUGGCAUCGACUACACUGAUACAUUCGAACCAGUGUCCAAGAUCAAUACAGCUCAUGUUCUAUUAUCCUCAGUAACAAACCUAGAUUGGCCGUUGCAACAAUUCGAUGUAAAAAAUGUGUUCCUCCACAAAGAUCUAACCGAGGUGAUUUACAUGGACCUUCCACCAAGGUGUAAUGAUUCGGGCAUAAAGAAACAAAAGGUAUGUAGGCGCAGAAAGUCAUUGUAUGGUUUGAAGCAGUUUCCAAAAGCUUGGUUUGGUAGGUUCACUAAGUCCAUGAGAGCAUUCGGUUAUAUGUAGAGUAAUUGGGAUCACACAUUAUUUUUGAAACGCAAGAAUGGAAAGAUUACAACUUUCAUUGUAUAUAUGGAUGAUAUGGUGGUUAUCGGUAACGACCUCAUUAAGCAAGCGGCCUUGCAUAAAUAUUUGUCUACAUAAUUAGAAAUGGAAGAUCUCGGUUCUUUAAAAUAUUACCUUGGGAUUGAAGUGUCGAGAUGCAAGUCCGGAAUAUUUCUGUCACAAAGGAAGUUUAUCUUUGACUUGUUAGAAGAAACUGGUAUGUCGGCAUGCAAGCCUGUGACUACUCCGUUGGCAGAAGAGAUGAAGUUGGGUAUUGAUCAGAACCAGGUGCCAGUUGAUAAAGGGAGGUACCAAAUAUUUGUGGGAAAAUUAAUGUAUUUGGCCUAUACUAGGAAAAAUCUUGCUCAUGCAUUAAGUGUAGUUAGUCAAUAUAUGCACAAUGUAGGAGAACAACAUAUGAGUGCCGUUAUGAGAAUAUUGAGUUACUUGAAAGGGUGUCUGGGUAAAGGAAUUCUGUUUCGAAAAAAUGGGCAUUUCAGAGUUAAGGGUUAUAUAGACGCUAAUUGGGCAGGAUCAGUAGAUGAUAGGUGCUUAACAUCCGGAUAUUUCACCUUUGUUGGGGAAAAUCUAGUAACGUGGAGAAGCAAGAAGCAAAAUGUAGUGGCAAGGUCAAGUCAGAAGCUAAAUACAGAGAUAUGGCACUUGGUAUUUGUGAGAUCUUGUGUUUUAAGUUUUUGUUACAAGAUUUAGGGGUCAAACAUACUCAACCAAUGAAGUUAUUCUGUGACAAUAAAGCGGCUCGAGAUAUUGCUUACAAUCUAGUGCAACAUGAUCAGACCAAUCAUGUGGAGGUUGAUAGGUUCUUUAUUAAGGAGAAGUUGGAUGAUAGGGUAAUUGAGGUUCCUUCCAUAAGAACACAAGACCAAGUGGCGGACAUUUUCACCAAGGCGGUUUCUUGCAACAAGUUCUCGAGGUUUCUAGACAAGUUAGGCAUGUGCGACAUUUAUGCACCAACUUAAGGGGGAGUGUUGACUUGUAUUGGGAUUCCUACGAUUAUGGGAUUCCUAUUAUCUUGGGUUUCCUAGUUUGGGAUAUAUUUCUUGUAAUCAAUUGUAUUUAUUCUUUCCUUAUUAUGGUAGGAUUGUAUAUGAUUGUAUAUAUACCUCUGAUUGAGAAGAAUACAAAUCACAUUGGAAAGCAUUCUUUCUUAUGAGAGAGGGUGCAUCAAGAGAGAGUGCAGAGUGAAUAAAGCGUAGAUGUAUGUGUCUUUAUAUAGUAAACCAUAAGGAGAGAAAAAGUUGCUCUCCAAGUAAUACAAAGUCUAAUAGGACAGAAUUCCUAGAACAAAGAACAAUCCUAAACCCAAUAUACAUAGGAUUUACACAAUCACACUGUGAAAUAUUAAUUACAACAUAUUGUUUAUUGUUAAUGACCCUUUCAAAAUGUUGUUGAUGAUUUUGGGGGUAAGGCAGUACAACAUAUACAUUAUAUUUGUCAUAAUAAUUUAGUAUGAAUUCGCCAUCAAUGAAAUUUGAACCUAAAAUUUUUCAUUUACAAAUAAAGAAAAAUAUUAAUCUGUACCAUUGAGUGGCAACAUUACUGCUAUGUUUGAAUUAGGUACUUCUACUCUCUUUGGAGAAGAAAAUUUUAAAAUUUUGCAUGAUUUUAUAUUAAUUGUUACAAAUUGGGUAAAGUACAAAAAACUAUCUCAACUAUUGGUGUCACGACACUUUUAUACCUCAUCUUUUAAAAUUGACAAUAUCAUACCACAUCUUACGAAUUUGUGACAAUGUCAUACCUCCGUCAGUUUUUCUGUUAAAUGCUGACGUGGCCCGAUACGUGUCCCACUCACUAAUCCAAUUGGAUUAAAGAUAAUCAAAAAUUAAAAUAUAUAUAUAUAUAUAUAUAUAUAUAUAUAUUAAAUCUCUCUCAUUCUCUCUUCUCUCUCUCCCACUUUCUACCCACUCUCUCUUCUCUGCAACCCAAAACCUUUUCCCACCCGUCCUCCACCACCCUCCCCCCUUUCUUGCCUCUUUCUCCCCCCUUUCUCGCCACUCUCUCUUCUCUGCAACCUAAAACCCCUUCCCACCCGUCCUCCACCACCCUCUCUCUCUCUCUCUCUUUCCCCCCUUUCUCGCCACUCCCUCACUCUGCCAACCCAGUUUGUCCCCUCCCAACCCAAUGCGCACUCAUCUCCCCUCCCCCAUCUUCAUCUUCUUCCCCUUUUCCCUCUACUUGCAACCCAGAAAAAAAAAUUCGAACCCAGUUUCAGCCCAAGAAGAAGAAAAAGAAGAACCCUCUCUAUCUCCUCCCCAUCUUCAUCUUCGUCCCCUUUUCCCUUUGCCUGCGACCCAGAAACAAAAAAAAUAAAAAAUAAAAAAGAAAAAAAAAAUAGAAAAUGAAAAAAAAAAGUGACAAAUCCAGUUUUGGCCCAUGAGAAGAAGAAGAUGAACAUGAACAUGAACAUGAAGAAGAAGGAGGAGAGAGAAGAACAAAAAAAAUUGAAAUUGGUGUGGGAGAAGGAAAGGAUGCCGCACCCCUAGGAAUUUUUGUUUUUGUUUUUUUAUUCUUAAUUUUUUAAUAUUUAAUUAUUAAAAAUAUAUUUAAUUAUUUUUUAAUCCAGUUGGAUUAGUGAGUGGGACACGUGUCGGGUCACGUCAGCAUUGAAUAGAGAAAUUAACAGAAAAACUGACGGAGGUAUAACAUUGUCACAAAUUCGUAAGAUGCGGUAUGACAUUGGCAAUUUUAAAAGAUGAGGUAUGAAAGUGUCAUGACACUAAUAGUUGAGGUAGUUUUUUGUACUUUACCCUUAUAAAUUUAUUGCUAGAAGAAUAUAUGAAUUUUUCAAGGAAUUUAAAGCCAAAUCUCAAACAUUACAAAUGUACUACAAAGACAAUGACCAAAGGAUGAAAAUGAUACUUUUUAAGGUGUCAUUUGAAAUUUAUUGCACUUAUAUACAUUUAGGGGGUGUAUUCAAUUGAGAAUUUGAUAAAUUUUAAUAGAUUUAUAAAUCCAUGGAUUUUUAUGGAGUUUAAUUGAUUUGUACAGAUUUUAUAUUUAAUUGAUUUGUACAGAUUUUAUAUAAAAUUUUGAUUCAAUUCCCUCGAAACACUACGAAAUCUCUCAAAUUCCCUCUAAUUCCUCAACUUUCUCAAAUUCUUUAAAAUCAAUUUCUAAUUGAAUACACCUAGAAUGUUAUAAACUUCUUUAAAAUCCUAAUUGAAUACACCCAGAUUUCUAAGGAUUUUAAUAAACUAACUUAAAAUUCUAAUUGAAUACACCAUGAAUUUCAGAGAAUCACUUAAAAUCCUGAUUGAAUACCCCUAGAUUCAUUAAAAGAAUUAAAAUCCCUCAAAAUCUCAAUUGAAUAUGAAGUCCAGCCACAUAAUUAUUGAAAGUUAUCUGAAUUUAGUUAGCUUGACUAAACACAUGUCUACAACUAACCUCAAUUUUAAUUGGAGUAAUAUUUUUUUAAUAUUGCAGUAUAAAUAUGUCACUUAAAUAUCGUAGUAUACUAAUAUACUCAAAACAUACUAAUAUCAAAGUUGCUUAGGCCAUCUCCAAUCGAAGGGUCCAGAGGGUCAGAGGGUUGAAAAUAGCCCGAAAAUCGUCUCCAACUGAGGGCCAGGCCAAAGGGCUGUGGAAUUUGAGAGGGCUUGGUAGGAUUAAAAAAAGCACACCACAAAGUAGCACACAAUAUCCUAUUACUUUUCCUUAUUAACACUAAAAUUUGUCGAUUGUAGCAUAUGAAAAUAAAGAUCUUUCCCGUAGAAGAUUGUUUUAUCAAAAUACUUAAAAUGUCACAAAAACGGGAUGGCUGUCUCCACUGACCAGCCACCGAACAAUAAUUAUUAGACUAACUUACACUUAUCCAAAUGAAACGAACUUUUAUGCCCAUAAACUAGACACACCAAGCUAUGCUCACACAAAUUUUUGGGAUUUUUGGAGUUGAUUAUCUAUUUAAAUUAAAUCGGACAAAACAGGACCUCAACAAGUUUUAAAUAAUACCAAUAGAUUUUAAUUCACAAGUUAAGAAAACGAGUUAGGGGGAAUUGUUAUCCACCACCAAAUAAUCAUGCAAACAUGUUAUGUUUCAUUCAAAUUCCUUUUAUUUCCGGAUGAAGAUGCUCAAGUUGGCUCAAUGUUAGAACACAACCUAUUACUCUUUCUUACGUAUUAUGUUAAGAGAAUGACGUUUUCAACUUAACUUAGUUCCUAACAUGCAAUCUAGAAUGACGUGUUCAUAGAUUUAACAAGUAGAAAUCAUUAAGAAUUAAAAAAAAAGUUUGAGUCAUCACAAGGCAUCGUAAGUACUGGCGUUGUCUUACUUAUCCUAGAAAUCGGUUCACAUGUUAACCACAAUUAACAAGUGCUACUCUAGAACAUAUGUAGGUCCUCAUUCAACAAGGGCAGGUAAACAUAUAUUCAUAGCAUUAAAAUCCUAGAUAUGCUCACUAUGUAUGCAUCCAUAGAAAUACAUAAAGAAUUUAUCAAUGACAUAAGUAGUGAAACAAUUUUCAUCCUUUCAUAAAAGUCAUUCAAACAAAAUAUCACAACAAACUUACAAUCAUAUUCGGGGCUUCAAAACAGCCCCUAACUACUAAAAAUUAGUUACACAUUAUUCUCAAAUUAAACCAAAAGUAAAACAUGGGUUUGAGAAGAUAAAACCAUGAAAAGAAGAUUUGCCGUGCUUUUGUUGCCGUCAGUCUCCUUUGUUUUCUUUUUCGCGCCUGCUGCACCCUUCUGCUUCUGUCCGUGCCUUCUGCUUAGCUCCUUUCCUUUUUAUUUCUUUUUCCGCACACUUCCCUGCACCUGCCUUCUCUUUUCUUUCCACUCCCCACUCUUUUUUCUCUUCUGUCCCGUGUGCCAUCCUCUAAUUCUUUUAUUUUUUUUUUUCUAUUUUCUUUAUUCCAUUUUGCUUGAAAUUGAUCCUAAAACAAAAUUAACUGUACAUUAACACAAGGUAAGGUAAAAUGCCCCAAUUUUAACACAAAAACAUCACAAAGACUUUAGAAAUUGAUGGUAUAAAUGCAUGAAAUAUAUGAGUGAUCAGGGCCCCACGGAAUCGGAGAGGGUUAGCCACUUCCAGCCAGCCAGCCAGCCUUGGGCUGGCCAGAUUUUUUUUAAAUAUGUCAGAUUUCAUGUCGGUUUUAACCGACAGGAAUGCUAUGAAUUUUUUUAUUUUUAUAAUUUUAUUUUUUUUUAUUUACAAAAUUUUUCCUAUAACUUCUAUUUUUCAUAUUUUUUUUAAUUCUAUUUUUUUUUCCUAUAACUUUUAUUUUACAAAAUUUGUUUCAUAUAUAUUUUUUUUAAAUUCCAUUUUUUCCUAUAACUUCUAUUUCACAAAAUUUGUUUCAUUUUAUUUUAAAUUCUAUUUUUUUCCUAUAACUUCUAUUUCAAAAAAUUUGUUUCGUAUUUUUUUUUAAUUCUAUUUUUUUCCUAUAACUUCCUAAGCCAUUAUACAAUAUUAAAUUAAAUUCUGUAACAUGAAAUAACAUUAAACAAUAUGAAACAAUAUGAAACAACAUUAAAUAACAUUAACCAACAUAAAAAUUAUACAACAUAAAAAAAACAUUUAACAACAUGAAACUUAAACAUUUAAGUUGUAGUUUUUAAAUAAUAAAUUAUGUUUGGCCCUAUGGCCCUUUCGCCCUCGGUUAGAGACGGUUUUUUGUGAUAGGGUUAAAACGAGCCAUCUGGCCCUUUGUCUAUCGGUUGGAGACGGAGACAAAUAUGGUCAUGUACUGUUCAUUAAAAUAUUAAUAUCUUAGAGGAUCUUGGAGGGCCAGAUGAUUAAAACGAGCCCUCUGAUCAGUUAUUGGUUGAAGAUGACCUUAGUUCUGAGAUAGUUUUUUUUUUUUUGGCGCUAAGAAAUAAACUUGUUAAGAAAAGGAGAAUCUUCGGGAACACCCGGAGCCCAAACAGUGAAAAACAAGCUGUAGGCGUGCCUCACCAGGAAGCACCCUAUCCCAAAUACAAAUAUUGUCAACAUUUUGACAAUGGAAUUAAUUGCAUCUGCAAGAAGUUGACUCCCAAACAGUGAAAAACAAGCUCUUGGCGUGCCUCACUAGGAAGCACCCUAUCCCAAAUACAUAUAUUGUCAACAUUGUGACAAAUGGAAUUAAUAGCAUCCGCAAGAAGUUGACUCCCAAACAGUGAAAAACAAGCUCUUGGCGUGCCUCACUAGGAAGCAUCCUAUCCCAAAUAUAAAAAGUGAUGUGAUAUUCACACAUCUCAUUUUACUUUUCACACACUCCUUGAUAAUUUUUAUUUGUUGAUCUUCUUCAAUUCUUCUAAUUCGAUAGUCGAAAAUUAAAAAAAUAUGUGAGAAGUAAAAUAAGAUAUGUGGAUAUCACACCCUUACAAUCAACAUCGUAACCAAUGGAAUUAAUAGCAUAUGCAAGAAGGUUGACUUCUCUGUAAACAUGUUACCACUGAAUAGAUCAAACUAAGUCACCAGCCAUUUGAUUACCUCAAUAAUUGUUUUGAGCCUUCGAAAAAUCUUGCAACAGUCGAGAAUCCCAUCAAUUACAAUCCUGGAGUCAUUUCAACCACUACAUUCCUGACAUUUCUCUGUUUUGCAAAAAGGAGAGCAUCCCUAAGAGCAAUCCCAUCAAUAACAAUCCUGGAGUCACUUCAACCACUACAUUCCUGACAUUUCUUUGUUUUGCAAAAAAGACGGCAUCGUUCCAAAAAAAAAAAAAAAGAAAAAAAAAAGAAGGGCAUCGCUAAGAGCAAGGGCCUUGACAACAGUGAUACCAAAAUAUAUUUAAUUACAGUUUAUUACUUGAUUUUUAUACAAGUGAUAUUCGUAUUUGAAGUUAUAUAUUAAGACCAUCUCCAAUCUUUGGGUUAAAAGCCAAAUUUUUUAACCCGAAAAAUUUGGCUUUUAGUCCAGAAACAUCUUUUUUGCUCCAACCCUUAUGCUCUAAAAUUUUAGCCCGAAAUUAUUAAAGAAUGAACUUAGACUAAUUUUUUUCUUAAAUCAAUUUAAAAAAAAUAAAUAUGUAGAUUAUUGUAAAUUAAUUUUAUGAACAUUUUAAUUUAAAAAAAUUUAAACUCCGAUAAACAUUUGGCAUUUAGCCCGAGGGGAAAGCUGGGGGGUAUUUGGCCCACAAAUAACAUUUGGCGUUUAGCCUAAAAUUUUAACAUGGGUUGAAGAGUGUUUGGGGGAUAAUUUGAGGAGUAAUUUGACUUUUAGCCCAAGUUUGGAGAUGGUUUAAGAGAGGGGAGAGACCUGGUGAAUUGAAGAGGACAUAUUUAUUAGAACACUCCAUGUGACACUAUUUAAUUUAGAAGGCCAAUCGUACAUUCUUUGUCCUCAAAUUUAAAUGAAAGCAACCGUAUAUGUUUUAGUCACCAGGUAACUAAGAGGUGAACAAUUAUGACCUAAUGUAAUAUCAGUGGAUGCUUAGUGCUGCACCUUUGGAAACAUUAAGGACGUGUUUACCAAUCCGUAAUCGGAAUGAAAAGAAGGAGUCGAAUUCAGAUUACAGUUCAUACCUGUGUUUACUAAAAUUUGAAGGAAUCAACAGUGUGUGGGACCCACUCAAAUAAUAGAAUUCAAUUCUUGGAAUUGGAGGAAUUGGACUCCUUCCAUGGACGUGGUAAUUGAAUUCCGGGAGGGUGAGGGAAUCCGGAAUUCAUUUGCUCUUCCUAUUAUGCCCUCUUCUCUUAUCAAUAUGCCAUUCAACCCAACAAAUUAAUCUACGAGCUUGAAUUCUGGUAGGGUGAGGAAAUAAAAAAUCCGAUAGGUUCAGGAGAUCUGCAGGUCGCAUACGAGAUCUCAUUUCCGAACAUCGGAUCAUCGUCGUUCAGGAGGCGAUGAACCAGCAUCUUCGACACCGCCGACACGCACGCGUGGACUUAGUUCUGGGACGAUGACGUCAACAUUAGUAUCUCGCGGACAUGCUUCUCGCUCGCCUACUCAUCCUUUUGCGACAUCGCUUUAGCGACCGCGACCUCGAGAUCUAGUUUAUGGGUUUUUUCUUCUGCGGAGGGAAGAUGAUUGUGGCUAGGCUCUUACUUUGGCUUUUGCACAAUAGUGGACUUUAACUCUUUAGGAAAAGAAAAAAAAAUAUCUUCAGUUUAAGUAAAAAUAACUAGUUUAAAUGUUUUUAAAUAUAAAUAUAGAAUAAAAUUUAAAAAAUGGCAUUUUAGUAAUUAUAUUGAUUUUUAUUCCGAUUCAGUUGAUUUAGUAAACAACUUUUAUGAAUUUAGUUUCAUUCCUAUUUCGAUUCCUGAACAUUUAAGUAAACACUGAUUCAUCCUCAAUUCAAUUCCUCCUCAAUCUAAUUCAUUUUAUUUUGAUUACGAUUACGUAAACGAGCCCUAAACCAUAUAGUGCUUAGUGUUGUACUACUAUUUGAUUUGAUUGUAGGAACAUAGUAAUCAACAAAGUCAGUCAUCCCUACCAUAAAAAGAAAACAAUUUCAUGUAACAAUGGCCAUAGUUUGAUACAAUAUUAAAUAUUUAGUUGAUCGGUUCAGUAUAUUUCAAUAAGGGCAUACCAAAGCAUGCAUGAUUACUUAAACCACUAGUUUCUUUUUUUCCCUUCAUAUAUACGGCUAAGCAACUCUGCCUAUGUCUUACAUGGCCGGUCCCAAGCCCGGAUAAAUGAGGAGGGGGAGGGCGUCAGGUAGUCGACAGCCGGCACUCCAUGAUCACGUCGAAUCCUUAUGAAAAUGAAUCCAGAACAAAAUCGCGCUAAAGCUAGGGCGUCACCCGUAAGUGGCGUGUUGUGUGGCCCGAGCACAGUGAUAAGUGAGCAAGGGUCGCUGUAUCUCCAUCGGCACCCGGAUGCAGUGUUAAAUGAGCAAGGGGGCCAUAGAAACUUCUUUUCGAACGACUCCACUCAAAGUUGUUUGGGAGCAUAUGCUCUUAUCAACUUUACCCGGGACACAAAAGAAGUACUUUGAUCCUAUUAGACGGGGGAGGGUGAAGAAGCUAGGACAGAAGGGUAGAGUUCAAGAGAGCAAAAUGCGUUUAGGAACGUGGAAUAUAAGAACCUUAACGGGAAAAUCUAUGGAAGUAGUGGAAGUUAUGGUGAGGAGAAGGAUAAAUAUUAUGUGCCUACAAGAAACUAAGUGGGUUGGUAGUAAGGCAAAGGAUCUAGAAAACUCAGGGUUUAAACUUUGGUAUUCGGGCACAAAUAGAACGAGAAACGGUGUUGGCAUCAUCGUGGACAAGACCUUGGUACAAGAUGUUGUAGAUGUCAAGAGGGUAGGAGAUAGAAUCAUGGCAAUCAAGAUUGUAAUAGGACAAGAACUUAUCAAUGUGAUUAGUGCGUACGCACCUCAAGUAGGGUUGGAUACGAGUUCGAAGGAGAAAUUUUGGGAAGAUCUUGGAGACUUGGUGCAAGGAAUUGCUCAGACGGAGAAGUUAUUUAUAGGAGGAGAUUUAAAUGGACACGUGGGCAGGGAGACAGGCAACUAUGGAGGUUUUCAUGGUGGCCAUGGUUUUGGGGAGAGAAACGAGGAUGGGGAAGCUAUCUUGGAUUUUUGCAAUGGCAUAUGAUCUCUUCUUAGCCAACACCUUCUUUAAGAAGAGAGAAGAACAUGUGAUCACCUACAAGAGUGGGUCGUCAAAAACACAAAUAGAUUUUCUUCUAAUGAGGAAAGGGGAUCGUAUAACUUGUAAGGAUUGCAAAGUUAUACCAGGAGAGAGCGUGGCUAAUCAACAUCGCUUGUUGGUGAUGGAUGUACAUAUCAAAAGAGUAAGACAAAAGAACAAGACUUGGAAGUGCCCAAGGACUAGAUGGUGGAAUCUAAAAGAAGAAAAACAAGUCAUUUUCAAAGAGAAGGUAAUCACCUAAUGUGUGUGGGAUAGAGAGGGGGAAGCUAGCCAAAUGUGGGAUUCAAUGGCUAGUUGUAUCCGAAAAGUAGCAAAAGAGGUAUUAGAAGAGUCCAAGGGCUUUGCCCUACACCAAAAAGAAUCUUGGUGGUGGAAUGAGGAGGUACAAACAAAGGUGAAGGCUAAAAAGGAAUGUUGUAAAGCCUUGUACAAGGAGAUGACCGAUGAAAAUGGUGAAAGGUAUAGAAAAGCGAAGCAAGAGGCGAAGAAAGCUGUCAGAGAAGCUAAGUUAGCGGCUUACGACGAUAUGUAUAAACGACUAGAUACCAAAGAACGAGAGUUGAAUAUCUAUAAACUAUCUAGAGCAAGGGAAAAGAAGACAAGGGACCUAAACCAAGUGAGGCGCAUCAAGGAUGAGGAUGGAAAGGUUCUUGCUACAGAGAACGCGGUUAAAGACAGAUGGAGAGGUUAUUUUCAUAAUCUUUUCAAUGAAGGACAUGAAAUGAGUGCUUCUUUAGGGGAGUUGAGUAACUCAGAAGAGUGUAGAAACUACUCCUUUUAUCGUCAAAUCCGGAAGGAAGAAGUGGUUGUAGCUUUGAAGAAGAUGAAGCAUAAAAAAGCAAUAGGCCCAGACGAUAUACCAAUCGAAGUGUGGAAACUUUUGGGAGAGACAGGUAUAACAUGGCUCACUGACCUUUUCAAUAGGAUUUUGAAAACGAAGAAGAUGCCAAAUGAGUGGCGAACGAGCACUUUGGUGCCUAUCUACAAGAAUAAGGGCGACGUACAAAAUUGCAUGAACUAUAGGGGUAUUAAGCUAAUGAGUCAUACAAUGAAGCUCUGGGAGAGGGUCAUUGAGCAUAGAUUGAGGCAAGAGACACGGGUUUCGGACAACCAAUUCGGGUUCAUGCCAGGGCACUCAACCAUGGAGGCAAUCUAUCUCUUACGAAGAUUGAUGGAAAGAUAUAGAGAUGGGAAAAAGGAUUUACACAUGGUCUUUAUAGAUUUGGAAAAAGCGUAUGAUAGGGUCCCAAGAGACAUUCUUUGGAGGAUUUUAGAGAAGAAAGGAGUACGAGUAGCAUAUAUCCAAGCUAUAAAGGAUAUGUAUGAAGGAGCAAAGACUGCCGUAAGAACUCAUGAAGGACAAACCGAAAGUUUUCCCAUAACUGUAGGAUUACAUUAAGGCUCAUCCUUAAGUCCUUACCUUUUUGCGUUGGUAAUGGAUGAGUUAACAGGACAUAUUCAAGAUGAUAUUCCUUGGUGUAUGCUUUUCGCAGACGAUAUAGUGUUGAUAGAUGAAACUCAGGAAGGGGUAAAUGCAAAGCUUAACCUUUGGAGAGAAGUGUUGGAAUCUAAAGGUCUUCGCCUAAGUCGAUCAAAGACAGAAUAUAUGGAGUGCAAGUUCAGUGCAAAUGGAGGCCAAAACGAGUUAGGGGUGAGGAUCGGAGAUCAAGAAAUACCAAAGAGCGACCGUAUUCGUUACCUAGGAUCUAUCUUGCAAAAGAACGGAGAAUUAGAUGGAGAUCUCAACCAUAGAAUACAAGCUGGAUGGAUGAAGUGGAAAAGUGCAUCCGGCGUGUUAUGUGACCGCCGUAUGCCACUGAAGCUCAAGGGAAAAUUUUAUAGGACGGCAAUAAGGCCGGCGAUGCUGUAUGGCACAGAAUGUUGGGCGGUGAAACAUCAACACGUACACAAAAUGGGUGUAGCGGAGAUGAGGAUGCUUUGUUGAAUCUGUGGGCACACGAGAAAGGAUAAGAUUAGGAAUGAGGAUAUCCGGGGUAAAGUAGGAGCAGCCGAAAUUGAAGGAAAGAUGAGAGAAAAUCGGUUACGGUGGUUUGGACAUGUGCAAAGAAGGCCUACUGACGCUCCGAUUAGAAGAUGCGACUAUGGGACAGAGGUUCAGGGCCGAAGGGGUAGAGGAAGACCUAGGAAAACUUUGGUAGAGACUCUAAGAAAAGACUUAGAGUACUUGGAUCUAACGAAGGACAUGACACAGGAUCGAGCUACAAAUAUGUACAUAUACAUGAGUUAAAAUAAACACACAAGAGGGAGCCUUCACAAAGGUUGCUUAGGAGAAGUCUCAGCAGUCGGUAGAGCCCCAGAAAGAGAAGGCACCGGAGGGGGAUCAUUUGGAGCCUCAGUACUGGACAGAACCCUAGAAGGAGGAGGCAUCAGAGGUUGAUCAUUUGGAGCUUCAUUACGCGGUACAGCCCCAGAAGACGAAGGCAAUAAAUGCCUUUGGAACAAACCCACAAAUCUCUGAUGAUCAAGUAAAACCUGACCAUCAGUUUCCUUCAUCUGGUCAAGCUUCCUCUUCAUGUUUGUAGCAUAGUCAUGUGCGAGCCGGUGCAACUGUUUAUUCUCAUGCUUGAGCCCUCUAAUCUCCUGUUCGAGACUCAUCACUUCAGCCGCCAAUGAUUCAACUUGGCGGGUUCGAGCAAAUAGGCGUUGGGCCAUAUUAGACACAGAACCUGCACACUGAACACUGAGAGCCAGCGAAUCCUUAACAGCUAACUCAUCAGACCGUUUGGAAAGUAGUCUAUUAUAUUUGGGAGUGAGAAGGUUCCUGGCCACCACCGUAGCGGUCAUAUCAUUCUUCAUCACGGAAUCCCCAACGGUAAGAGGACCAGUAGGGGAGACGAAGGAUGAGCGCCAUAUGUUGUCUGGAGAAGGCGGGGCUGCCUCUUCAACAAGGUUCAAGUCAAAACGACGGUCGGAGGGGCCAGACAUUUUCAAAGGUGUUGAAGAGAGAAGAGGUCGGACAAAUCAAGAUCUUAGAAGUGCAAGAAUGAAGCUUCUACUGGUGGAGAUUCAAGUGUGCUUUGGAACUUAAUGCCAGCCCCUAUAAAAAUCUGCACUCGACAGAGCUUCAGGAAUCGAAGAGGCGCCUGCUCAGAAAUCGAAGAGGCGUUUGCUUUCUCAAAAGCUGGGCUGCUUAGAGAUCACGAGGGUUGAUCUCAGAAAUCGAAAAGGCGUUUGCUUUCUCAAAAGUUGGGCUGCUCAAAGACCACGAAGGCUGAUCUCAGAAAUCGAAGAGGCGCUCGCUUUCUCAAAAGUUGGGCUCCCCAGAGACCACGAAGGCCGAUCUCAGAAAUCGAAGAGGCACUUACUUUUCCAGCCUUGUCAGCACCUGUCACACGCACACUCAGCUUUGCGGAAAUUAUGGGCAUUCUGUCGAAGACUUCUGGGGAAGUAGAAAACACAUGAAUCUUACUGUUCAAUCACCCACUUCCCACACGCAACAAUAGCUCAUGGGUACCACAGAAAACUUUGCCAAAGUUCUCUGCCAAAGUUGAGCACGUGAAGCUUGCAGCUCCCACUACAUCGCUCUGACCAAGAAGGGUAAAAGAAUAGCAAAGAAACAGCACUAACAAAGUUUAGACCCAUAAAUUUUGAAGGUCUAGCUACCAUAUUAUUACCCACAAGGGUAAAGGAACAGUACCACUGCUGGAUAAUUGGAAAGUCCCUGUGUGUCAACCUCUGUGCUUCGUGGCAAGGUAGACUAGCAAACAUGUCCAACCUUUACUCACAUUCGAGAAAACACUCCCAACAAGAUUGCUUGCUCCAAAAUCGAAGAGGCACCGUCCUCCGAAUCUCGAGAGCCAGACUCCCAACAUGACUACUUUCUCAAAAUCGAAGAGAGGGUAAAGGAACAGUACCAUUGCUGGAUAAUUGGAAAGUCCCUGUGUGUCAACCUUUAUGCUUCCUGGCAAGGUAGACUAACAAACAUGUCCAACCUUUACUCACAUUCGAGACAACACUCCCAACAAGAUUGCUUGCUCCAAAAUCGAAGAGGCACCGCCCUCCAAAUCUCGAGAGCCAGACUCCCAACAUGAUUACCUCCUAAAAAAUCGAAGAGACACUGCUCUCCGAAUCUCGAGAGCCAGACCCCCAGCAUGAUUGCUUUCUCAAAAAUCGAUGAGGCAUCGUUCUCCGAAUCAAUCGAAGAGGCGCUCGCUUUCUCAAAAGCUGGGCUGCUCAGAGACCACGAGGGCCGAUCUCAGAAAUCGAAGAGGCACCUACUUUUCUAGCCUUGUCAGCACCUGUCACACGCACACUCAGCUUUGCAGAAAUUAUGGGCAUUCUGUCGAAGACUUCUGGUGAAGUAGAAAGCACAUGAAUCUUACUGUUCAAUCACCCACUUCCCACACGCAACAAUAGCUCAUGGGUACCACAUAUAACUUUGCCAAAGGUCUCUGCAAAAGUUGAGCACGUGAAGCUUGCAGCUCCCACUACAUCGCUCUGACCAAGAAAGGUAAAAGAAUAGCAAAGAAACAGCACUAACAAAGUUUAGACACAUAAAUUUUGAAGGUCUAGCUACCAUAUUAUUACCCACAAGGGUAAAGGAACAGUACCACUGCUGGAUAAUUGGAAAGUCCCUGUGUGUCAACCUCUGUGCUUCGUGGCAAGGUAGACUAGCAAACAUGCCCAACCUUUACUCACAUUCGAGAAAACACUCCCAACAAGAUUGCUUGCUCCAAAAUCGAAAAGGCACCGUCCUCCGAAUCUCGAGAGCCAGACUCCCAACAUGACUACUUUCUCAAAAUCGAAGAGAGGGUAAAGGAACAGUACCAUUGCUGGAUAAUUGGAAAGUCCCUGUGUGUCAACCUUUAUGCUUCGUGGCAAGGUAGACUAGCAAACAUGUCCAACCUUUACUCACAUUCGAGACAACACUCCCAACAAGAUUGCUUGCUCCAAAAUCGAAGAGGCACCGCCCUCCGAAUCUCGAGAGCCAGACUCCCAACAUGAUUACCUCCUAAAAAAUCGAAGAGACACUGCUCUCCGAAUCUCGAGAGCCAGACCCCCAGCAUGAUUGCUUUCUCAAAAAUCGAAUAGGCAUCGUUCUCCGAAUCUCGAGAGCCAGAUACCACAUACCACUUUUUCAAAGUGCUCUGACAGAGUUAAAACAUGUGAAACUGGCAGCUCCCACUACCGUGCUAUGACCAAGCAGGGUAAAGGAAUAGCAUUACUACUUGUUAGGGAGACUCCUAUAUAUGUCGACCUCCAUCCCCAACGGACAGGCAGACCUACAAAAAUGCUCAACCCUUCAUCAUAUCUGAGAGGGCACUCCCAACGAAGCUUUUCGAAAUAUUCAGCUUUCUUUCCCCCCGAUAAUACCUCUGCAAACAAGCUAUACUAGAGCAAGAAUAUCUCAUAUCAUCAGGGUUAAAAGCAAGAGUAUCCCAUAUCAUGCUUUUUCCCUGUCUUUUCCUUUGGCCUUGUUUUUACCUGCAAGACAAGGAGAAAGAGAGCAAUCAGUCAGCACUUGGAAUCAAGCUUCCAGCCAGGAACUGACUGCCUGGAACCCCUUACCUGAUUACUUACCUGGCAUUGCUCUCGAGUACUCAUCUUCAACAUCUUAUGUUUCCAGGGAAGAUUCCGCAUCUGCUUGAGGAACAGAUAGGGCAAGUGCGAAGGAUACAAGGAAGCAUGUGGAGACAAGCGUAACAGCACACGUGCCGAUACAUCCAUUACUCUGUCAAAAGCAAAAGUAUCCCAUAUCAGUAGGGUGGAGCGUACUCUAGAUUUGAUGGACUUGUUUUGACCCUCAAAUUCUUCAGUCGGCCUUAUACUCUGGAGGAAACCAGAAAACCCUCCAGCUCAGUUCAAGAAUAAGUCUGUGGAAAGUUACUUCUUCAAAAGCAAAAGUAUCUCAUAUCAUCUCUUCUCAUUUUUCUUCUCUUUAUCCUUCAUGCUUCUGCAAGAUGGGGAGAAGGUGAACAAUCAGUCGGAGCUCUGAUUGCUUACCUUGUCUGUCACCUCUUUCAGCAGACCCCCUAGCUCGGCGACUUGGGGGACUCCUACUACAUGGUUUGUAUCGCGCUUGACCAAGCCUGAAACUACAAGUAAGCUUCAAGUGAAAUUGAUACAUUACCUUGUGCAUCUCCACCAGUUAAAGAUACCACCCCUGGAUGGAGGAAAAGUACUUCCAGAGAAGAUGCCACAUCUACCUAUGAGACAGAUAAGGCAAGUCAAGACGACACCACACUCCGAUACUUAGAAGUUUCGUGAUUACGAGAUCAUUCUCCCACAAUAUUUUCUAAUGUCAUUUGUACUAAAUCAUUCACUUGUACUCACUAAAUGAGAGCUUGAACCUAUGUACUUGUGUAAACCCUUCACAAUUAAUGAGAACUCUUCUAUUCCGUGGACGUAGCCAAUCUGGGUGAACCACGUACAUCUUGUGUUUGUUUUCCUAUCUCUAUCCAUUUAUAUACUUAUCCACACUAAUGACCGGAGCAAUCUAGCGAAGAUCACAAAAAGCGACUGUUUUCGCUACCUAGGAUCUAUCUUGCAAGAGAACGGAGAAUUAGAUGGAGAUCUCAACCAUAGAAUACGAGCUGGAUGGAUGAAGUGUAAGAAUGCAUCCGGCGUGUUGUGUGACCGUCGUAGGCCACUAAAGCUCAAGGGAAAAUUUUAUAGGACGACAAUAAGGCCAGCGAUGUUGUAUGGCACAGAAUGUUGGGCGGUGAAGCAUCAACACGUACACAAAAUGGGUGUAGCGGAGAUGAGGAUGCUUCGUGGGAUGUGUGGGCACACGAGAAAGGAUAAGAUUGGGAAUGAGGAUAUCCGAGGUAAAGUAGGAGUAGCCGAAAUUGUAGGAAAGAUGAGAGAAAAUCGGCUCCGGUGAUUUGGACAUGUGCAAAGAAGGCCGAAUGACGCUCCGGUUCGAAGAUGUGACUACGGGACAGAGGUUCAGGGCCGAAGGGGUAAAGGAAGACCUAGGAAAACUUUGGAAGAGACUCUAAGAAAAGACUUAAAGUACUUGGAUCUAACGGAGGACAUGACACAAAACCGAGCGCAAUGGCGUUCUAGGAUUCAUAUAGCCGACCCCACUUAGUGGGAAAAGGCUUUGUUGUUGUUGUAUAUAUACGGCUAAGCACGUACUUACAUGUUAAUGGUACAAUAAUUGCCCCCCCCUAAAUUAUAUUGGACCAUAGUCAUUAGGACCUAGUUAAGAAAAACGUUCGUUCGUCAUUAAAAUUUUUGAAACUGUAUAUACUAUAUAAGGAUAGGGAGCACAAUCUCCCACCUAUACAGUCCCGGUACUGCAAGAGGCAACAUGAGGCAAAAUCCUAAGUUUAGCACCUUUGAAUGCGAUUAUCAUUCAGUAAUUAAGAACGAUUAAGAAUGACAUGUUUUGGACUCAUAACUUCUAAUUAAGAACGAAAUCCUGAGUUUAGCACCUUUGAAUACAAUUAUCAUUCAUGUUUCCCUGUAAACACAAUCUGAUUGUUUCCUUCAAUCCCUGCCAUUCAAAUUUGGUCUCUCAGUUCAAUAGGAUUUGUCAUCUCUCAAAGAAUCUUCAAAUCAUCUUAAUAUAUGAAUCCCAAUUGCACGGAAGCGAGGAAUAAUUUGUGGGCGUUUUGAGUUUUCCUUCAAAAUAAUAGACUUCCAUUGAUUAAAUUUAAGUUGAAAUGUUUACAUCCUUAACUAAAAACUUUUUUUAUGGUACCGAGACUGAAAAACAUUAAGAGCCAAAUAGUUCCACCAUUACAUGUGUUUGUACCAUACUUGACCAAUCCCGAAACUAUACUGAGCACCGGUCAACGUUAUACCGUCAAAGACCUAGAAGAGUUUCCCUCCAACCAGGAGGCCAAUCACAGCGCGACACGUGUCGACAUCAGAAGCCAAUCAUAGCAUGACACGUGUCAACAUCAUAAGCCAAUCACAACACGAUACGUGUCAAUGUCAAAAUGAAACUAGAAACUCUCUUCUAUAAAUAGAGAUCGUUCUCUCACAAUAUUUCCUAAUGUCAUUUGUACUAAAUCAUUCACUUGUACUCACUAAAGGAGAGCUUGAAUCUAUGUACUUGUGUAAACCCUUCACAAUUAAUGAGAACUCAUCUACUCCGUGGACGUAGCCAAUCUGGGUGAACCACGUAUACCUUGUGUUUGCUUCCCUAUUCUUAUCCAUUUACAUACUUAUCCAUACUAGUGACCAGAGCAAUCUAACGAAGGUCACAAACUUAACACUUCCUGUUGUACCAAAGUCCUCACUGAUUUUGUGCAUCAACAACAUGAAUGCAGAGUUGGAAAAUUAGCUACUGGUCUCAAUUGAUUGAGAGCCAUUUAUAUGAUUGUGCAUCGUAAUUGUUGCAUACUAUGGUAAUGAUAUAAUGGUAUGUGUAGAAAAUUUACUCAUAUCCUUGUAUUAUUAACGCCAUCUAACCAGCCAAAUAUUUUACAUACAAAUGAGGCCAGCAUACAUCCCAUCGUUAGUUAAUAGACUGAUCUUAGAAAACAAGCAAAAGUGAUUUUAAUAGCUCAAAUCUAUAUCAGCGAAGCUUUAUGAAAUAACUAUUACUAAUUAAGUACUAACAAAUAGCUUCAAUUAGAAUCAUCAUAUGCAUGUGCCAGCUCUUCCAUUUGUUAUGUUUGAAAUAUAGGCCACGUUUGGUGCCCUGUUCCAAAAUUUUAAUCCCACCACCCACCAGUUCUAUUUUCCACAUGUGCUAGCUCCUCCAUUUGUUAUGUGAAAUACAUGUCCAAACUCUGUACCGAUCGAUGAGACUAAAACUUUAUCCUAGUUUUUCCAACUUUCUUAAAACUCCAACAAUACCCCACAGUUUUGUAUUUGAUUCGUGAAGGGGUGGGGGCGAUGGGGGAGAGGAGAGAAUGACGCCGGCCGGGGGGGGGAGAGGGACGAAGGUAGGUUUUUUUUUUUUCCUUCUUUUUUUCUGGGUUGCAGCUGGUAGAUGGGGGAGAAGAGGAGGGAGGGAGGGAGGGAGGGGAGGAGGGAGGAGAGGGUAGGGAGGGACGAAGCUUUGCUUUUUUGUUUGUUUGUUUUUUAUUUUUUACUUUUCUUUAUUAUUUUAAUAUUUAAAAAAUAUUAAAUUUUUUUUUUAAUUUUUAAUAAUUUUUUAAUAGAAAAUGGGUUUCAAAUCAAGUCACGUCAGCAUUUAACUGAUAAAUUAACGGUCAAGCUAACGGAAGGUAUGACAUUGGCAAAAAUGUGUAAAAUGAGGUGUAACAUUGUCAAUUUUAAAAGAUGAGGUAUGAAAGUGUCAUAACACAAAUAGUUGAGAUAAUUUUUUGUACUUUACCCAAUUUUAAAUCUAAGAACUCUGUAUUUCGCAAUAUUUAAAUUGUAGAACGCGUUUAGUUCUUCGCAUUAAGUAUUAAUGUACAGAGGCUUGGUUCCAGCUUUAAUGGUAGAGCACUUUAUCCAUGUUUGAAUCUUGUUCAAUCUUCCUGCGCACUUGAAUCAUGUCUCAUAUCUCUCCAUCAUGGUUCUUUACAAGGGUCAACUCCGUCUUCACCUUGUCUUCUCUUUCGACCUUUUUGUACACAAAAGCACUUGCAAUUACCCCAUAAACACAAAAAUUUAGUGUGCUCAAAACUGCCAGCACCCAAUAGAAGUAAUCGAGGUGAGCCCUAUUGAUAUUGUCACCAAGCCAUUUGUUUCCAUUUCUUGAGGUAAUUAACUCCGCAGCAGAUAUAAUCCAAUUGCUAGUGAAGCUACCAACUCCUACAACACUCAUAGACGCUGCCGCUCCCAUGCUUCUCAUUUGCUCCGGCAUUUGAUCGUAGAACAAUUCUUGAAGUCCAACCGUGGUGAAUGCAUCUGCGAGGCCAAGAAUCAAGUAUUGUGGGAGUAACCACCAUACCCUCAUGGGUAUUAUUGCUUUAGGUUUAUCAAUGAGAUUGUAGUCUUUUGCAAUGUUGAGCCUUUUGGCCUCUACUAGAGCCGACACAACCAUAAGGAGUAUGGAUAGAACGAGCCCAAUGCCGAUUCUUUGUAGCACAGUAAUACCCGAAGGGUGUCCCGUAUGUUUUCUGGCUACUGGGACAAAAACCCGGUCGUAGAUUGGAACGGCGAUUAGGAUUGCAAUGCCAACGAGGCCUUGAAGUGAUGCCGCAGGAACCUGGAAAUGGGGACCGAUCGAUCGGAUGGUUGUGCUACUUUGUUUGGUGAAAAAGGUGUGAAGUUGGGCUUGGAUUACACCAAACAUUAGGCAACUCAACCAUAUGGGGAUGAGUCGAAGGACAAGCUUCACUUCUUCCACUUGAUUAAGAGAGCAUAGCCUCCAUGGAUUUCUAGUUUUCGUUGAUGCAUCUUGUUCGUCUAUGAUCAUUGCCUUGUCCAAGCAUCUGCAUUAUUUUUUGUUUUCAUUACGCUACUUAUGCUUGUUAUGUGUACUUGAUUAGAGUAUGAAUCUCGUAUCAGAAAAAGUAAAGCCAAGGUACUAGCUGUCUACUUUUACUAUACAACAAAUGGGGAAAAGCAACCAAGGGAAAAAGAAUAUAAUCUAUGAAUGCAAGUGGACAAUAUAGAAAGUGCAGUCGAUCAGUAUCGAGCUAGAUGUACACACACGACAAAGGGAAGCAGCUGACCAAUGCUUUUAAAGUUUGACUUUUGGACACUAGAGUUUCGGACGUCUACGCUUUCUGUUAACAAUCUAUGACUAUAUAUCUAUAUCUUUCUAUAUAACCUAAAAUUGUUUAGUCAUUCAUUAGGUCAUUAUAUAUGUAUCCGUUUUGCUCAAAUGAAUGACAAAGAUGUGAUCAAUUAUGAUCCACUCUUAAUCCAACGGCAAAAUUCUUUGUAUUUCUUAUUUACAUACCCAAUAAAAGAUCUUCAUUUGUGCUGAUCUUUCAUAUGGAUUUUAUUUUGAAAAAAUAAAAAACAAAAAAAAAAAUGAACAGUUUUGAAUGAUGAGAACACAUUAUAAGCAUUAAAGAGUAGUACUUUAUGCGAUAUUAAGUUUGUACCUGAGUUGAUUAGUACGAGCCAAAACUAGAGGCUGCGACUGACGUUGUAGCAUGGCUUCACCCUUCUCAUCUCCAUAGUAAACUCCCUCGCAAUUGAGUGUCUCAAUGACAUGCCAUUUCCGAGCUGCUGCAACGAGUACUUGUGCCACCGUUGUAAAAGGGCUCCCUGGAGGCCUUUGCUUCCUGUACCUCUUAGUUCCCACCAAGAACGAUACUAGUGACAAAACCAAAACCCCUGCCAAUAUUCCAAACCCUAAUCCCCACCCAACAUUAUCCUACAAGUGUAGUAAUUUCAAUUAAUUAGUGUACAGAACUAAUUAAUUUAUCAACAGGAAAAAUGGUAAGAUUAGUAAUGUUUCAUCUUUUGGCAAACGAUAGGACAAAUAUACUAGGAGUUUUUCUACCUAAGCCACGCAAUUAUCUGAAUUCACCCCACAAUUUUUGAUUUAUUUUGUGAAAUGCAGUUUUAUCCUUGAGGAAAUACACCCACAUCCUCAUCACAUGACAUUUCUCCCCCUCCCAGACAACAACCAUCGGCGUCCCUCACAUCAUCAACGGCGUCCCCUACCAACCUCAAAGCCAUCCUUCUUUCUCUAUCACUCUUGCAAGUUCUUUCAAAACCCAAGAGCAAGGACUUCCUUCAAUUUAAAACUUGAUUUGCAAGUUCUUUGAAUUCAGAUUCUUAUUUUGAUUCAAUUUGUUCUUGAUCUUUUAAUGGUUGAAAAUUUUAUGGGUCCAAAAUCCAAAACAGAGAGGGAGGGAGAGGGCGAUUAUCAGGCUGGUGAGGAUCACCGGCGUCGUGGUCGGGAUCUCGGAGGGUGCCGUAGGGGGAAGGGGGCUUGCUAGGUUCCUUUUUCUUUUUUUAUUUACAUUUUAAGGGUAAAUUUGGAAAUCAAACACUUUAAAUUUUUUGUAGGGGUGUACUUAGAUGAGUAGUGGGUCUAACUAGAAAAACUCAUAUAUACUAAUUUCAUCUAAUUAAAUAUAUAGGUAAGCAUUUGAACAUACCGAUGGGAGCACAUUACUAUAACAAAUUUGACUAAUUUUAUGUAUAUAAUAAUUAGGAUUAGUAAUUUUUUUAUUUUUUUUAAAACCUGGAGGUUAAAAUUGUCAUUAUAUAUUAAGAUAUAUAAGUUAUUUAAUAUUAAAUUUUAAUGUAAAAUAUAUAUAUAAUAUUACGUGAAAUACUAAUAAAAAAUCUUUUUUUUUGUGUACUAUUAUAAUCUAAAUACUUUUGGGAGGUUGUGAGAAUCUAAAAUACUAAUAAAAAAAUUUACUUUUUGUGUACUAUUAUAAUCUAAAUACUUUUGGGAGGUUAUGAGAAUCUAAAAGGUAAUUAUUACGGUAUUUGAUGGUAUUCUUCUUCGCUUAGAAAUAAGAGAUUUUAGAUUCAAAUUUCGUGAAUAGCGAAUUCGAUAUCAAAUUAAGCUAUCAAUUGUGUGGUUUAACAGAACACCCUCUCUCCCUAAUAUAAAAAUAUCGAUAUAUUAAAAAAAAAAAAAGUAAUUAUUACCUGGAGAUAUACAACUCCUAGUGUGGCAGAAGUGGCACCGAACACCAACCCCAAGUACCACCAGUUGAAGAAGGAGCUCUUGACCUUUAUCUCUUCCGGCGUGUUCUCAUCGAACUGGUCUGCUGCAAACGUUUGCACGCAUGGCUUCUGCCCACCUUGAGCCACCGAUAAAAUGUAUAGCGCCACAAAGAACAUUGCUCGGCGACUUUGUGAAGGAAUUACUGAGACGGAGAGAGUCAAAAGAACCAUGCCCUACAAUAUGAUAUAUAAGCUAUGAACACAACUACACAAGGACAUCUAUACAAUCAAACAUGAUUAAUGUUUUCUUGUCAAUUAAACUGGCUACGUUCUAUAUGUUUAUAUUAUCAAACUAUAAAUCUGAACAUUGGGAACAUAUAUUCAGGGGAAAAACUCUUAGAUGAUUUACCAGGAAAUAGAUGGUGACAGAGAAGACGAUGGUUUUGAACCGACCAAAAUAUGAAUCUGCAAGGAAGGCUCCGACGACAGGGAAGACUGAUGAAACACCAAGCCAGGUGUUAACAUUCUUAGCCGCCGUGGCUAAGGGCUGGUCCAAAACAUCUGUGAGGUACAUGAUGAGGUUACUUGCCAACCCAUAGAAUGCGAACUGCUGGGCCACCUCAACCACUGCAAAAAAAAAAUUAAUUAAGCAACAAAUAUACAGUAUACUCAUGAAAAAUGAAACUCCAAUAAAUUUUCAGAAAACUUAAUGAACUGAAUAUAAAUAUUCGUUGCAAAAAGAAAUAUCAAAUAAUUGUGGAAUUAAAUGAAAAAUAAGGUGCUGGUAAAACAAAACUAAAAAAUAAGAUGAAAACAAAAUUUGAUUGCUUACAGAUGAUGAAAAUAGCAGCAUUCCAGCCACCCGUACUGGGUUUUCCAUGUGCAGUAGAAGCAAUAUUCAUAAUUGAUAGUGUUUAGAGAGCUGAAAUAUUAUUGGACCUCCUCAUCAAGAGAGAAAAGUAGUUGAAAUUUCUCUGGACAUUUGGUGGUUUACAUAGUUUUCUCGUUGACUUACUGUCGAUCGUUAUAGUUUUCUCGUUGACUUACUAUCGAUCGUGAUUCUGAACGCGUAUAUGUAAAUACACGUGUGUAUGUGUGGUGGGCAAUUAGAAUUUACAAAGUUAUUUGGUUUGAUGCUAUUGGCCUUUUAUGCUUAUAAGAAUUAUUUUAGGAGGCGUAGUUUGCUAGCUGUGCACCCCAAGACAGGAGAAUCCAGCGCACAUUUCAUUGCAUGAUUGCAUAAUUUGCAUGCAUAGCAACGAAAAUAUCUUCUCUGUGCCCGACAUAUAAAAUGUUAUAAUACAAGUGGUUGAUUUUAUUUUUUUUUAAGAAUCAAACUUCUUAAAUUAUGACAUUUGAUGUAUCAAAUCAUAUUCUUGACAUAUUAAAAAAAAUCCCUCCAUUACAUAAAGAUAUACCCACGUAACUGUGAUUCAAGUUGAUGAAUUUUAUACGGGAAAAUAAACUAUUAACAAGUCAACUCUACAUCCAUACACAACCGACUAUUAUAAACGUUGUCAAAGUAUUUAUUGUUAAUUGAAGAGAAAGUUACUACAAUAAAUUGUAGUGAUAAUAACCACAAGUCAAAUGUUAGUUAGGUUGUUACUUAGUUUGCUAGGAAAGUUACCAUUGUAUAUUUUUUACUUUUACCUCUUUUACUUUUCUAAAGUGUAAGUAUAAAUACCCUCAUGUAACUUAUCAUUAUUCAAUCAAUGAAAUAUCAGCAUUCUUAAUAUGUUAUCCAUCGCCCAAGUCCAUCAGAAUCUGGCCUUCAAUCAACUGUUUUCCAUGAAAAAUGACUUUCAUGAUGCUUUCUCACCAAACCAAACCAUGAUAUUCACCUUCUGCUCUCAUUAGCAUCUUGCUUCAUUCUUCACUUCUGGCAGCACAAUUCGUCGACCUAUAAUGCUUAGAAUCACAGUUCUUCAACAAUGCAAAUCGAGGCAAUUAUCAAAGGAAUAACUAUCAGAAAGGCUAUAACAAUCGACAUCGAUACAACACUCAUGUCAAAUUCUGUCAAAUCUGUGAAGAUCCUGGCCAUCUUGCUAUUGAUUGUGUCAAUCGCAUGAAUCCUAAUUUCUAGGGGCGUAUUCCACCUGCAAAACUUGCUAUGUAUGCUUCCUCUAAUGCUUCUUCUCUUCCACCAUGACUCUUAGGCUCUGGCGCAAGCUCAUGACUAACAAAAUUCAAAACCUUCAAAACCCUUAGCCUUAGAUAGGGCCAGAGAAAGUUUACAUUGGCAACGGUCAAGGUUUGCCAAUUCUUCAUACUGGAUUUACUUUUCUUAAAACACCAUCUGCAACUUUUAUAUUAAAGAAUGUGUUACAUGUUCCUCAUCUCAAGCAUGAUCUUCUUUCUACAAAUAUGUUCUUGCGUGAUAAUUGGUGUUCUUUGACUUUAAAUCCGUUUGACUUCAAUGUCAAGGAUCUUACUACGGGGAUGAUGCUUUUUAGAGCACAUGUUCAUUGUGGUCUUUAUCCAUUCUUUGCAUCUUCUUCAACUGCAUCACAAUAUUUUGCUAAUAUUGUAAUAAAGACCCCAUCUGUUAUAUGGCAUCAAAGUUUGGGCAUCCAAUGUUCAAGACUUUUCGAUCUCUUUUGUCAAAGUCUAGUUUGCCUAUUUCUAAUUCUGUUAAGCAAUUGUUUUGCUCGAAUUGUGUUUUAGGCAAGUGUGCUAAAUUGCCAUUUCAGAAUUCUAUAUGUACUACCUUUAGAAUCUUAGAACUUGUUCAUGCAGAUGUUUAGGGUCCAGCUCCUAUAUGUUCUGUCAAUGGCUAUAGAUUUUAUGUCAUCUUUGUCGAUGACUUUACAAAAUAUACAUGGUUGUAUUGACUGAAACAUAAAUCAGAUGUCUUUCAUAUUUUUGUCCAAUUUCAAGCUCUUGUUGAGAAUCUUUAUGGUCACAAUAUUGGUACACUACGAUUUGAUUCAAUGGGUGAGUUUAUUAGUUCUCAGUUCAAAAAUCAUCUUUCCUCUCAUGGUAUUCAACAGCAUCUAAGAUGUCCAUACACACCUUAGCAAAAUGGCUGUGCUGAGAGAAAACACAUGCAUAUUGUGGGAACUGCCAGGACUCUUUUGAUUGCCUCCAAGGUUCCUCAUCAGUUUUGGGUGGAGGCCUUCCUCACUGCAGUCUACCUAAUUAAUAGAUUGCCCUCAAUCUCAUAGAGCAUCUCCAUGGGAACAAAUUUUUCACAAAGCUCUUGAUUAUACAACUUUAAGGGUGUUUGGCUACAGAUGCUUUCCCUAGCUCAAACCAAAUUCUACCUCGAAAUUGGAACCUAAGAGUAAAUUGUAUGUACACAAAGGUUACAGGUGUUUAGAUCAUUCUACACACAGGGUUUAUGUCUCUCGACAUGUUCAUUUUGAUAAACACACUUUUCCUUUCCAUGAUAUCACCAAGCCUCAACCAUCCACUAUUUCCAAUACCACACCUUCACCAACUUCCUCCAUCACUCUAGUAUUCCCAAAUCUUUAUCCUUCACCCUCUCAUCCUAUCAACUCCACACCAAUUAUUAAUCCCAAUUCCACUGAGUCAUUAUCAAAUUCACUACCAAAUUCACCUUCAAUAUCAACUUCUAUAUCAACCUCACUACCAAAUUCACCUUCAAUCUCAACCUCACAUAUUAUUUCAGCUCAUAUUUCUCAAUCUCUACCUGUCACCUCAAUUUAUCCUAUGCAAACAAGGUCCAAAUCAGGUAUUUUCAAACCAAAUGCCUUCACAGCAACCAAACACCAUGUGCAUUCUCACUUGGACAGUGAGUUUGUUCCUUCUACAUAUCUUCAGGCAUCAAAAUAUCCUCAUUGGCGAGCUGCAAUGCAGGAUGAGUUCAAUGCUUUACAAAAUACUAGAACUUGGAACCUUGUUUCUCCUACAUUUACACAUAAUUUGGUUGGUUGCAAAUGGGUGUUCCAGAUCAAAAGAAAUCUCAAUGGCUCUGUGGAUGGGUACAAGGCCCGUCUUGUUGCCAAGGGCUACAACCAACAAAAGGGUAUUGACUAAAGUGAUACCUUCAGUCUAGUUGCCAAACUUAUGACUAUAAGGAUCUUGCUUACUCUUGCAGUGCAAUCUAAUUGGUUCUUACAUCAGUUAGAUGUAAGCAAUGCCUUUUUACAUGGCAAUCUGGAAGAAAAUGUUUAUAUGGUCCAGCCUCUAGGAUUUGUUGAUCAAGACAAUCCUCAUCAUGUUUGCCAUCUUCAAAGUCUCAUUAUGGUCUCAAACAAGCUCCCCGAGCUUGGUAUGAAAAGCUUCAAUCAACACUAUUUUUUAUUGGAUUUCAAGCAUCUCACUCUGAUCACAGUCUGUUCAUUCUUCACAAACCUGUUCUUGUUUUAGUACUAGUUUAUGUUGAUGAUAUUAUAGUAACAAGACAUUCUUCCACUGCAUGUCAAGUUGUUAUUGAUCAACUCAGUGCUCAAUUUCCAGUCAAGGACCUAGGAGACUUGCAUUACUUUCUCGGAUUGGAAGUGAAAAGAUAAUCUUCAGGGAUAUUCAUCAGUCAAUCCAAAUAUAUCCUGGAUUUUCUCAAAAUGUCAAGCAUGGAUGGUGCAAAGCCAUGUUAUACUCCACUUGGUUUUGAAAAAUUAGAUCUUACAGGUUCUUUGAUGUCCAAUCCAAAGGAAUAUCGCUCUAUUGUUGGAGCAUUAUAAUACUUAACUACUAGAUUUGUCUUAUGCAAUUAAUUUGGCAUGUCAAUUUUUGCAUUCUCCUCGAGAACUUCAUUUUCAGGCAGUAAAACGCAUACUCAGAUAUCUCAAUUGCACACUUAACCAUGGUCUCUGGUUUCCAAAAACCACAGCUCCUUUUACACUUAAAGCCUUUUCGAAUACUUAUUGGGCUGGUUGUUCUUAGGAUAGACGAUAUGCGGGUGGUUUCUGUAUCUUUCUUGGUCCUUGUCUAGUUAGUUGGAGUGCCAAGAAAUAGCAUACCAUUGCUCGAAGCUCUACUGAAGCUGAAUAUAGAUCCCUGGCUCACACUGCUACUGAAAUAACUUGGAUUUGCCAACUUUUCACUGAUAUAGGCUUUAAGUUGCUUUCUCUACCUUAGAUUUGGUGUGAUAAUGUUUCUGCUAUUGCCUUAGCCUCUAAUCUAGUGUUUCAUGCUAGAACAAAACACGUCGAAAUUGAUUAUCAUUAUAUCUGGGAAUUGGUUCUAGCUAAACUUGUCAAAGUCCAGUUUGUAUGCAAUCAGGAUUGAUUGGCAGAUAUCUAUACAAAGUCUUUUCCCAUACAACGUUUUCUUCUUCUCAGAUCCAAGCUUUCACUUCAACCUUCUCCGUUUAGCUGAGGAGGUGUGAAGAAAGUUACUACAGUAAAUUGUAGUGAUAAUAACCACAAGUCAAAUGUUAGUUAGGUUGUUACUCAGUUUGUUAGGAAAGUUACCACUGUAUAGUUUGUUAAUGCACAAAACCGGAGGUCUUGGAACAACGUAAAUUCGACCUUGAAUUUGCAUGUAAUGUAAAUAACACAAGAUGUAGGUUCACCCCAAGAUUUGCGCUACGUCCACACUGAAUAUGUAUUUAUCUGAGGGAGAGAGCGCUCUGAGAGUGAGAGCUUUGAGAAGGGGUGAGAGGGCUUAGGAAUUGGCCUCAGAAAUGGCCUUUUAUAAUUGUGAGGGUAAGGGGUCAUUUUAUAGAAUAAGGACUCAUCACUUAUUACAUAUUUGCCCCUUCCUUUAUCAUAUAAUUACAUUUAAGUCCCCUAAGUAUUUAUACGAGGUCUAAAUACGAGGUCCUAAAUAUGGUAUAAACAGUAUUCCCCCAAGUCUUCAGUCAAGAAAGUCUUUUGGCUGGAGACUUGAAAUUCAGUCCAUGUGUGGGCCGAAGUAACUAGAUACUGUCUUGAACUGAUGCUCGAUAUAAGGUAGUGCUCAAUUUGAAAUAAUGCUCAACUAUAAGUAGCAUACGCUGCGAGGCUGCUCGACUUGUGGCUUAUGUUGCCUUGGUUGGCUCGGCUUGCGGCGUUUGAAGGUGAGGGAGUCCCUUUUAUAGAAUAAGGGCUCGCUCCUCAAUACAUGAAUGAUGGGCUAAAAUUGAUGCUCUCUAAUGAUGGUGAGAGAGUCUCUUUUAUAGAAUAAUGGCUCGUUCCUCAAUACAUAAAUGAUGGGCUAAAGUUGAUGCUCGCAGCGAGGCGGUUGCUUAGUAGGUGGCGAUGCUCUCUAAUGGUGGUGAGGGAGUCCCUUUUAUAGAAUAAGGGUUCUCUCCUCAAUACAUAAGUGAUGGGUUAGGAGUGAUGCUCGCAGUGAGGCGGUUGCUCAGCUGGCGGCGUUGCUCUCUAAUGAUGAUGAGGGAGUCCCUUUUAUAAAAUAAUGGCUCGCUCCUCAAUACAUAAGUAAUGGGCUAAGUCCCCCAAGUAUUUUUCAUGAGGCCCAGUUGAGGCCCAAUAUAUGGUACAUAAUGUAGUCCCCCAAGUCUUCGGUUAAUAAAGUCUGUUGGCUGGAGACUUCAAAUUGAAUCCAUGUAUGGGCCAAAAUGACGGUUGUUCAAAGGUGGUAUUUGUAUACCCUGCACUGAAGCUUUGUAGGCGAAGCUUUGCAAGUGAAGCUUUGUAGGUGAAGCUUUGCAAGUGAAGCUUUGAAGCUAGAGCUCUGUAAAUGAAGCUUUUGAAGCUAGAGCUUUUGUAAAUGAAGCUUUUGAAGCUAGAGCUCUGUAAAUGAAGCUUUUGAAGCUGAUUGGCAUGAGUGAUGCUCAUGAAUGUUUAUGUUGAUUAACAUGAGUGAUGCUCAUAAAUGUUGUCAUGAAUGAUGCUCAUGAAUGUUAACAUAAGUGAUGCUCAUGAAUGUUAACAUGAAUGAUGGUCAUGAAUGUUUAUGUAUGAUUGUCAUGAGUGAUGCUCAUGAAUGUUUAUGUAUGAAUGACAUGAGUAAUGCUCAUGUAUAAUUUGGAGUACUAGGCGUACUUUUGAUCACCUGGUUGGUGGCAUGAAAGAGAGUACGGGUUGUACAUUUCAUCACUUGGUUGGUGGCAUGAAUGGCUAGUUGCUAACUGAUAUUAGAGUACGGGUUGUACAUUUCAUCACUUGGUUGGUGGUAAUAGCGGCGGGUUGCCGAAUAAUUUUAGAGUACUAGGCGUACUUUUGGUCACCUGGUUGGUAAUAAUAGCAGCGGGUUGCCGAAUAAUUAUGGAGUACUGGGCGUACUUUUGAUGACCUGGUUAGUGCUAUUUUGGGCUUAUGGGCCUUCGCUCUCCACACAACAUUCCAGCUCAUUUAUUUUGGGCUUUGCCGUUUUUUUUAUUUUAAUUUUAUUAUUAUUACCCUCUGAUGGGAUUUAUACAGAUCUCCGAAAGAUAAGCAAAAUACAUCCUUCAAAAAAUAAGAAAAGUAAAUCACAUCAUUCUGAUGGAUGUUUAUUCCUUGCUUUUGCUUUCUUCUUUUUCUUUUCCACCACACCUCUUUCUCUGUCUCUGUAUCUAUCUCUGCGCUGCUGUCAUGCAUGUGCUCAGUCAAAACCCAAUCUUUUAGAUUUUAUUCUCUUCUCCCCUUUUGCUUUUGCUUUCUCUUUCCGCUCAUUCUCUGUAUACCCACGUUCUAUGGCCUUGGAGACCAUCUGACUUUAAGCUUUUAAUUGCCAUUGCUUUUCUUAAUUUUCUCUAAUGACAGCUGCUUGGACAUAUGGUAUGCCUGCCUGUCCGUGCUUGUCAUAUGCUUCUUUUUAUUUUCUCUCUUAUCUUCUUUCUUUCUCUCUCAUCGUCUUUUGAGCUCCCAGCAUCACUCAUUUCUUUGAGCUCCUAGCUAUCUGCACUUUAGAUCUGAAAAAAAACUUGUCGUUGUGGAUGUCCUUCUUCUGAGAAAGCAAGCACUCGAGAAUGCAUUCCUUGCAAUAGACGUGGCUUUUCUGGCAGAACAUGGGGUUGAUGAAGGGCUUAAGGCAAAGGCAGCAGGCGUCGAAGGGAUGAUCUCAGCCGUCCAUCCCAGAACCGUGGCGGCAGUGGUAGUGACCCUUCUCAGUUGCCGUUGUACUCGAAAAUACAUGAUUUGAUGCCAAAUGAACGCCAUCAUUUCAGAAAGAAAAAAAUCCCUGAGGAGUGACUUCUAGUAUGUAAGUAAUUUUACUUUCUUUCGUCAACACUAUGUUCCCGAACUCGUCGAUGACGUCCCCCAUCGCCUCCAAUGACCUAUGAGUCAUCUCGAUAUCUUUCUUUAGACCCGACCCGAAUUCCUUUGAGGGAGUUCAUCGCCGCCGCUAUUGGAACUCUACAUAAGCUGUUCAGCUGUGCUUGGAGACUUUUAUGCUUUCAGUCGCUAUUGUUUCAGUUUUACCAUUGCAGCGCACGGGAGAUUCGGAUCUAAUACGGGUUUGGAUCUGCGAUUCGGAGGAUUUGGAAUCGAGUUUUUGAGAAAUUUGGCGAUGGUAGUAGGAGACAGUUGUCAAGGGAAGGAAGCGGUCAUCUUGGAGAUGAUCCACUUGGCCUUGGGAGUGUUGCCGCCGAUGUGGAGGUAGAGCUUGACGGCAUUCCGACCUUGUGCCUCGAGUCUGGUCGUCGUCUUCGUUCUCCUUAUCUGAAGAUUCAAUUUCGCUUCUUCGAACGACGUCGUUGUCGGCGGUGGUUGAGAUUGCUGAUUCGUUAGGUACGACGUCGUUCUCGGCGUCGCCGUCUUCGUCGAGCCGUAGAGAGUCAGCGAGGGAGCGAGCGAGCCUUGACUUUUUUUUUAUGUUUAGCUUGUAUAAUCUGCGUUUGCAGAAAACCGAAAGAUGAAGUAUGGAGUGAGGCAGGAGAAAAGUAGAAAGCUUAAAAUGCAGAGACCAGAAAGAAAGAGAGAAAUAAUGAGAGAGAGAGAGAUAGAGCUUUCAGUCCCUCCGUAGGUGUUUGGUUUCUUGGAUUUUACAGAUUCACGAUGGAGGUGAAAAAAUGAAAGAGAACCGAGUAGUUUUUCGUGUCGAUUCCCACAUACUGCACCAAAUGUUGAUGCACAAAACCGGAGGUCUUGGAACAAUGUAAAUCCGACCGUGAAUUUGCAUGUAAUGUAAAUAACACAAGAUGUAUCGUGGUUCACCCCAAGGUUUGGGCUACGUCCACACUGAAUAUGUAUUUAUCUGAGGGAGAGAGAGCUCUGAGAGUGAGAGCUUUGAGAGGGGUGAGAGGGCUUUGGAAUUGGCCUCAUAAAUGGUAUUUUUUUAAUUGUGAGGGUGAGGGAUCCUUUUAUAGAGUAAGGACUCCUCACUUAUUACAUAUUUGCCCCUUCCUUUAUCACAUAAUUACAUUUAAGUCCCCCGAGUAUUUAUAUGAGGUCUAAAUAUGAGGCCCUAGAUAUGGUAUAAACAUAGUUUUUACUUUUACCUCUUUUACUUUUCUAAAGUGUAAGUAUAAAUACCCUUAUGUAACUUAUCAUUAUUCAAUCAAUGAAAUGUCAGCAUUCUCAAUAUUAAUGACCCUUUCAAAAUGUUAUCGUUGAUGAUUUAGGGGGUUAUUUGUCUUAGCUAGGCAGUAUGGUACGUAUACGUACACGUUAUAAUGCCAUAAUAAUUUAAUUUUAAAUUUGCCAUCUACAAAUUUAUUUAUUGUUAAACAAAAAAAAUAAAGUUAUAGAACAAUCGCCAUCUACAAAUUUUGAAUUUAAGAUUACUCACUUACAAAUAGAAAAAAUAUUAAUUUGUACUACUAAGUGGCAAGAUUACUACUAUUUUUUAAUUAUUACUAUCUUUGGAUGAGAAAAUUUUAAAAUUCUACAUAACUUUAGAUUUAAUUGUUAAAAAUACAUGGCAAGAAUAAUGAUAAGGAACUCCUCAAAGAAUUAAAGCUAAAUCUCAAACAUUACAAAUGUAUUACAAAAGGACUUUGGAAAUGAUACUUUUUAAGGUUUCAUUUGAAAUUCAUCUCACUUAUAUAACAUGUAGUCAUUCACAAAGUCCAUCCACACACUUUUGAAAGUUAUCCAAAUCUAGUUAGCUUGACUAAGCACAUGUCUACAAAUAACCUCAAUGUUAAUUAGGGUGAUUUAAAAAAAAAGAUCAAAUAUUAUAAGUAUAUUAAAAAUAUUUAUGCAAAUUAUAAAUAUGUCAAUUAAAUAUUGUGGUACACUAAUAUACUUAAAACAUACAAAAAUUCUAAACUCUGUCACUGUAUUCUAUACGUAUGGCAUAGUAUAAUAUCACAGCUGCUUAGUGCUGAGAUAGCUUUAAUAUAUAGAUAUAUAUUUUUAAUUAAAAACCAGUAAUAGAUUUAAUAAAUAAAUGUAUACAACUAAUUGAUGAUAUUAUUAAGAGCAAGUGGUAUUCAUUGUCCACGAAAAAUUUGGGUGAACAUUGAUUUUGUAUGUCACUUGCCUCGCAUUGAUUUUGUAUGUCAUCCCUCAAAGACAAUAUAAAUUAUACUAGCAUAUGGGCACACACAUAGUGUGAGAAAAUUUUUUAUUUCUGUUUUUGAAAUAGAAGGAGAGAGGAAGAAAGUGAUAUAGAAUGUGGGAGUGUGAAUUUUUUUUGUUUGUUUGUUUGUUUUUUUAAUUAAAGAUAUGUUAGGAUUACAUGUAGGUGAUGCUUUGAAAAAAAAAACCAAAAUUUGGUUGUGUGAAAUUACAUUUCUACCCCAUAUUUCUUAUUCAUAUUCUGUUUUAAUUAAAGGAUUAAACUGGUAAUUUCAUAGGAUUCUGUUUGACAAUGAUUGUUUUAUUAAUUAGUAGAGAUAAGGUUUUUAGUUAAAAUGGUCUCUAAAAUUUGUGUAUUUCCUCACUUUGGUAUUUGAGAUUUUGAAAUCGAUAGACGUGGUCCAUGAGUUUGUUUACCAUCAAUCAUUUUGAUUAUUCCAUGAAAAUUCUCUAUUAAAUAAGGAUAAAAAUGACAAAAAUACCUCAAUUUUGUCAAAUCAUUUUGGCCCAUUUUUCAUUAAAUUGAGGAUAUUUUUAUCAUUUUGCUCCUUAUUUAAUAGAAUUUUUCACGAAAUGACCAAAGUGAUUGAUAGUGGACAAACUCAAUGACGACUCCUAUCGAUUUCAAUUUCGGGAUUAAAGUAAGUAGUUAUGCCAAUCUCAAAAAUCAUUUUGGCUAAAAAGCUAAUUAUAUAUAUAUAUGUAUGUAUUUUUAGUACAUCGAUAUUUUUACACUAAGGGGAGAGAGAGUUCCGCAAGGCCACAAAAUAGACAACCUAAUUUGGUAUCGAAUUCGUCAUCUACGAAAUUCGAACCUAAGAUCUUUUACUUUCAACCAGAUCGUGGUACUAAGUGACAAAGCUAAUUAUAAGAAAAAUGUAUAAUAAGUUGAAAGAGGAGUACACAUUCAUUAUAACACUCCAUGUGAAGAUUAAAUUUAAAUGUAAGCUUGCAUUCUUUGGUCACGGGGUUACCAAGAGAAUAUUUAUGACAUAAUAUAAUAUACGAGACUGCUUAGUGCUGCCCCUCUGGAAGCAUCAAACUAUAAAUUAAUAGUGCUCAGUGCUGCACUUCUACUAUUUAAUUUGAUUAUAGGAGCACAGUAAUCAACAAAGCCAGUCAUCCCUACCCUAAAAGAAAACAAUUUCAUCUAACAAUGGCUAUAGUUUGGUACAAUAUUAGUUGGUGGGUUAACUAUCUCCCAAUAAGGGCAUAACAAAGUGAUGCAGUAUGAUUACUUAAACCACUAGUGUCAUACUCUUCUUAUUUUUCCUUCAUACGGCUAAGCGGGUAAUGGUACAAUAAUUUGCCCCCUAAAUUAUAUAAGGAUAAACUAUUACAAGAUGACUCAAUGAUUGUCUCGUACUUCACACAUUCCAUCUUGUAUUUGAUUCUUGGUACUGAUGAAUCGCAUGAUGAUAAUUAGCGGAAAGCUGAAAUUUCUCUGUGAUUCUUUUAUGCAAUUUCGGUAGCGCAUGAGUCAAAAUCCCGAGUUUUAGCACCUUUAAAUACAAUUAUCAAAUCAUAUCCUCUUAUUCAAAUCAAAUCAUAUCUCCAAAAUCUUAGAUCCAUAGGUAUCAAAUCAAAUCAUAUCCUCUAUUCAGGUCUCUCUGUAUACACAGUCUGAUUAUUUCCUUCAAUCCCUGCCGUUCAAAUUUUGGUCUCUAAAUUCAAUAGGAUUUGUCAUCUCUCAAGGAUUCUUCAAAUCAUCAUAAUACAUCAAUCUCAAAUUACACGGAAGUAAGGAAUAAUUUGUGCAAGUUUCUUUUCCUUAUAUUUUAAGUUGAAACAUUUACAUCCUCGACUAAAAACUUUUUAUGAGUUCCUAGACUAACAAAAAUUAAGAGCCAAAUAGUUUCACCAUUACAUGAAUGCGAGUUGGAAAAUUAGCUACUGACCUCAAUUGAGCGAGAGCAACUUAUGUAAUGCAUGUACAUCAUCAUUGUGGUGUUUCAUGAUAAUUUUGUAAUAGUAUGUGUUGAAAACUUAUACAUGUCAUUGUAUUAUUAACGUCAACUAACCAGCCAAAUAUUUUACAUACAAAAUGAGGCGAAUCUGACAUCCCAUCAUUAGUUAAUAGACUAAUCUUGGAAAACAAACGAAAGUGAUUUUAAUAGCUCGAACCUGUCAGCGAAGCUUUUUAAAUUAACUACAUUUGGUGGCCUCUUCCAAAAUUUUAAUCCCAUCACCCACCAGUCCUAUUUCUCACUUACAUUAUAAUCUCACCCACAAUAAAAAAUUUAAAAAUUAAAAUGUUAUUUCACAACUCACCAUUAUUUUUAAAAUAACCUCUAAUAUAUGUAAAUUCUUUUUUAACUUUUAGAAGAAUAAAUAUUAUAAGUUUUUUUUUUAGUAAGAACCAUUGUUCCCUUCCUGAAUCGCAGCAUCACACCUCCAUUACCCUAAUUGCACCCACACUCCCAAGUAAUCAAAACCUUUGACACCUACUUGGUGACAUCUCAUUUGAGAAGAGAGAAGAAUCGAAGGGGAGGAGAAACCGGGGGGGGGGGGGGGUGUUAGAGAGAAGGGGGGGAGAGAGAGAGAGAGAAAUAGGGGACAAAGAGAGCAAAACGGCCAGAGAGAGACGAUAAAGGGAGGGGAAUAGGGUGGGGGCAUUACGAGUUAUAUGUUUAUAUAUUAGUUAAGUGUAAAUAGUAGUGUUUUGUCACAACAACGAAAUGCAUAUGUAAUAUCAAUUGUAACUCCAAUAUACUCCACUUUGGAGAUUAAUGCAUAGACAAAAAAUUUCUCAAAUGUUGUCUUAUAUAUUAUUGGUAUUUACCAUGUUUAAUCAACUUGACAUCAGAGUAGUUCGCUCUUGGUGACAUGUGUGCUUUAAUUUGUGCCCAUUUUUUCUUAAUAUUGUGCCCUAAGUGUUCAGUUAGGCUUUGUGUUGUAAUUUCCUUCAUUAGAAAAAAAAUGUGAACAAAGUUGUGCAUGAACACUUAUCUACUAGAGUUGUUGUGAACUGCGAUUUGCUACAGUGCCGUGAAUAGCGUUUCUGCUACGGUGUUUCUUGUAAAUUGUCUCAAUUCCACUGUGUAUCUUAUGUGCCGUUAUUGUUCGUGUUUUAGCUAAAUGACCCAAUAUAAUUAUAGUGUUAUUAUGCACCUUGCUGGAAUAAAGAUGUGGAUAAUUGAUAUUGGAGUCACUGAUCAUGUGACUGGUGACCCUAGAGUGUUUGAUGAGUUACUUGAUUAUGUUCGUGAUCCGUAUAUUACAAGUGCAAAUAGAGCACCUUCACCUGUGAAGGGUGAAAGCAUUAUUUCUCUUACUCCUUAACAUCGAGCUUGUUGCUUAAGAAGAAAAUCCAUUGAUUGCUUAUGUAGCUUACCCCUUAGACCUUUUUGAAGAAGGUUCUGUCCCUAACAUAUUUACUUUCAUUUAUGUAAUUUGUUUGGGUUAAAGGCCUUGCGAGCUCCGUUUGAAGGAUUUGUGGAUCCCCAUGCUUAUGUUAAAACUUUCCAAGGCCCGCCUCAUGGUAUCCAAGUUGAGAGAGAAGAAUUAUGGUAGAGCAGUUUAUGAAUGUCUAUACGGUGGACUUGAUUUUACCAAAGAUGAUGAGAAUAUUAAUUCCCAACCAUUUAUGCGUUGGAGACCCAUUUCUUAUUUUUUUGCCGAAGCAAUUUAUAAAGCAUAGGCUGAAACAGAUGAAUCAAAGGGCAUUACUUGAACAUUACUGCAGGUACAUGCGAAGAGAUGAUCAAAAAAGCUGUAUUUACCAGAGAAUUAGGAGGGGGACCUUAUCACUGAUCCAUGCUCUACUUGUUCCUAACGGUAAGUGCAAUCUUUUUUUAGCAAUAAAACUACUUGAUACCUAUAUUGUUCCGCUCACUGUUACUCCAUGUUUUCAAGAUCUUAAAACUCAGAAGAUAAUUGGUCGUUAGUAAUAAAAUUAUUUGAUACGUAUAUUGUUCCGCUCACGUUUACUCCAUGUUUUCAAGAUCUUAAAACUCAGAAGAUCAUUGGUCGUGGUAAAAGAAUUGGGGUUUUGUACAUCUUGACUAUGAAGGAUACUGUGGUUUCAAGUUCAAGUAAUCAUCAAGUUUUAAAUGUCAAAGUGGAUAACAAACAUCAAAUUUGUUUGUGACAUCAAGAUAUUCAUCAUUCAGUUAUAUACUUCACCUAUUUCCUUCUUUGUUUCACACUUGCAAUGGUUUAGAGUUCAAGUGUGAAACAUAUGUCAUGGCUAAGAUAUAUUGUGCUUCCUUUCGUUGGUUUGUUCCUUUUAUUGAUUACUGUACUCGAUUAACUUUUUUCAUUGAAAUGGUGUCUACUCAGUUUCAGACUAAAGUUAAGGUUUCAAGUCUAAUAACAGGAGAGUACAUAAAUCACACUUUGGCAUGCUUCUUUCGAGACCAGGUUGUUAUUCACCAGAUAACUCCUCAGUUUACACCCUAACAAAAUGGUGUGUCCGAAUAGAAGAAUCGUUAAAUAAUGGAAGGUACUCACUCCUUGAUGUUAGAUACGUUUCUUUCUAAUCAUAUGUGGGGCCAUGUUAUUUUAACUGUUGUGUAUUUUAUCAAUCGUGUUCCAAGUAGGGUUUUGGAUUUUUAGACAUCACUUGAUGUGCUUCAAAAACAUGUCUCUCAUGUCUCUAUAUCCAAACUUUCUCCGAAGGUGUUUGAGUGCAUGGCGAAUGUGUAUAUCUACUCUCAUCGGUGAAGUAAACUUGAUACAUAUACUUUCCGAUGUGUGUAUAUUGGGUAUGCUAAUCAUCAGUAAGGCUAUAAGGGUUAUCAUCCUCCGACCAAAAAAACUUAUACUACCACGAAUGUUAUAUUCCAUGAGAAAAUUUCGUAUUUUAUGAAGCCUUCUUUUAACUCUUCACUUCAAGGGGACAUGAGGAGUGAAGUGUGGAGUUGAAGAAAUGGUGUGGAUGAUGUGUUGCAGGCUGAAUUGGAGACAUGACCUUUUCAGCUGCACGAUAUAGACCAAAUAACCAUAAAUAGUAACUUGUCAACUGUAAUUCUCGAGCUCUCUGAUGACCCAUUGGAAACACCCAAUGGCCAAUUGCCCAUGUGUGAUUCCACGAGUCUCUAUCUAUUAAUGAUCGAUUGCCUAAGGUUGGUAUGUCUAAUAAGUUGUAUGCUGAUGUUUCACCUAGUGAUGAUUCUUCAUAUGAAUUGGUACAAGUUGGCAACAUGCAAGAAGUAAAUUUUUAUCUCUUUUACUUAUUAGUUGCCUCAACAAGCUAAUCGUGGAAAAUCUAAAGUACAAUGUGAGCCUAAUAUGCAUGCCAAAGCUAAGUAUCUUAUCAACAAUUAUGUGUCUAUGCAUCAUUUCAAAACCAUAUGCAUGAUACACAUGUCAGCUAUCUAGUGUAUCUAUUCCAACAAAAUUGCAGGAUGCAUUGUUUAACCCUAAAUGGGUUAAUGUCAUGACUGUUGAGAUGGAAGCUCUAGAAAAGAAUUACACUUGAGAUUUGGUUCCUUUGCCAAAAGGGAAUAAAGUGUUGGAUGUAGAUGGGUGUUCACUAUUAAGCACAAAACAUAUAGUUCUAUUGAUGGGUUACAAAGCCAGAUUAGUUGCUAUAAGUUAUACACAAACCUUUGGUGUGUACUAUCAGGAGACUUUUGCUCAUGUUUCUAAACUUAAUAUUGUGCAUGUCCUUAUGUUCUUAACAAUAAACCAGGGUUUGCCCUAGUUUGAUGUUAAGAAUGCUUUCCUCCAUAGUGAUCUCAAGGAGGAAGUUUAUAUGGAUCUCCCUUCGAGUAUCGGAAUAUCUCCUUAAAAAUGUGGUGUGUGAAGAUUGCAAAAGGCUCUGUAUGGUUUAACAAUCUCCUAGAGCAUGGUUUGGGAGGUUUGCCAGUUCAUGUGAAGAAAUUUGGGUAUUCCAGAGCCAUUCAGAUCAUACUUUAUUUCUGAAGCGACGAAAUGGUAACCUAACUGCAUUGAUUAUUUAUGUUGAUGACAUGACAAUGACUGGUGAUGAUCAGAAUGAGGUACACCGUAUCCAAAAGUACCUAGAUAUUAAAAUUGAGAUGAAGGAAUUGGGUGAACUGAAGUGUUUUCUUGGAGUCGAGGUUGUAGAUCCAAACAUGGUAUUUUUAUGUCUCAAUAGAAGUAUGUUCUUGAUUUGUUAGCUGAAACAGGUAUGUUAGAUUGCAAACCUUUUGAUACUCCGAUUGAGCAGAAUCAUCGUCUGAGCUUAUUUUUGGAUCAAAUUGCUACUCAUAAGGAACAAUAUCAGAGGCUUAUAGGGAGAUUAAUUUAUUUGUCGCACACUCACAUUGACAUUGCUUAUGCAAUUAGUGUGGUAAGUCAGUUUAUGCACUCGCCUACUGAAGCUCAUUGGGCGAGUUCUACCACUAACUGACGGUCUCCAUUUGGAUACUUUACUUUUGUGGGUGGUAAUCUGGUUACUUGAGAAGUAAGAAACAAAAGUGGUUGCUAAGUGAAGUGCAAAAGCUGAGUUUAGUGAUAUGUAUCAUGUUGUAUGUGAGCUAUUGUGGUUGAAAAAAUUGUUGAGAGAUCUCAAGUUUGAACGGUGCUAUGAAACUCUAUUGUGAUAAUAAGGCUACUAAUAAGAUUGCUCAUAAUAUAAUGCAACAUGAUUAAACAAAACAUGUGGAGAUUGAUCGUCAUUUCAACAAGGAAAAAUUGGAUGCUAGAAUUAUUGUUUUUCCGUUUGUGGGGUAUGAAGAUCAGCAUGUUGACAUGCUUACUUAGGUUGUGUCUAGUAGUGUUUUUUUUCCAUCUCGGUUAACAAGUUGGGCAUGCGUGACAUCUUUACUCCAACUUGAUGAAGAGUGUCGCAAGUUAUAUGUUUAUAUAUUAGUUAAGUAUAAAUCGUUGUCUUUUGGUUCACAUCGAUGAAGUAUAUAUGUAAUACUAAUUAUAACUCCUAUAUAUACUCCAAUUUGAAAAUGAAUGCAUAUACAAGAAAUCUCUAUAUUACAAUAUCUAAAGUGUAGAACGCGUUUAGUUCUUUACAAAUAAAGUACUAAUGUAUUGGCUGGGGCUGCUUCCAGCGCCUUUAAUUGUAAAGCACUUUAACAAUGUUUGAAUAUUGUUCUUCUUGUGCACUUGAAUCAUGGCCUAUUAAUAUCUCAUAUCUCUCCACCAUGGUUGUUUGCAAAGCUCAAAUCCGUCUUCACUUUGACUUCUCUUCCGACCUUUUUGUACACAAAAGCAUUUGCAAUUAACACAUAAACACACAAAUUUAGUGUGCUCAAAACUGCCAGCACCCAAUAGAAGUAAUCGAGGUGAGCCCGAUUGAUAUUGUCACCAAGCCAUUUGUCACCAUUUCUUGAGGUAAUUAACUCCGCAACAGAUAUAAUCCAAUUGCUAAUGAAGCUGCCAACUCCUACAACACUCAUAGACGCUGCCGCUCCCAUGCUUCUCAUUUGCUCCGGCAUUUGAUCGUAGAACAAUUCUUGAAGUCCAACCGUGGUGAACGCAUUUGCGAGGCCAAGAAUCAAGUAUUGUGGGAGUAACCACCAUACCCUCAUUGGUACCAUUGCUUUAGCUUUAUCAAUGAGAUUGUAGUCUUUUGCAAUGUUGAGCCUUUUGGCCUCUACUAGAGCCGAGACAACCAUAACAAGUAUGGAUAGAGCUAGCCCAAUGCCGAUUCUUUGUAGCACAGUAAUACCCGAGGGGUGUCCCGUAUAUUUUCU
rnacentral:lncRNA from 1 species